ACUGCUCUCCUCUGUUUUUCUGUUCUUUCUUUUUGGCUGAGGGCGAUGGUUAGCAAGGAGUAGGGAAGGUAGGUUUUUAUGGUCUCUGUAAAAUAUAUCAUAUGUUAAAAUCAUAGGUGACAUAUCUUUUUUCUGGUUAAGGAGUUAAUGCCUUUACUUGUUCUAUGAAGUUUCAGUUUUAAUUAAUUUCAUUUUUAAGUUUCUGUAUCCUGAAAAAACUUGUUUCGUUUCCCAGGCAAAUUUAGUAGAACUAUUUGUUUGCAAAUUUCUUUGGUCUUUUGAUGAAUAAACUCUGCUGCAAUUUUAUGGAUAUCAUUUUAUAUAUUCCAAUUUUCUUACUGUCGUGCAUAUUUUUCUAUUAGGGAUGCUACAAAAUCCUCAGUACCGUCAACAACUGCAAGACAUGCUGUUAGCUUCCUACUGACCUUCUGCAUUUGAUUACUUUUAGGGGUUUUCCUUUCUCUUGAUUUACACUUGUCACAAGCACUGUCCCCAAAGAGAAUUUAUUGUUGCUUGCUUCUUGUCUAGUUCUAUUACAGUUGUCUUGCUCACUAUUGUAUCUGGACUUUUUAAUGUAUGAUUCCUGUUCUUCUUUUCUUCUUACAGAUUGUUUGAAUGGAGAGUUGGAAUAUGAUGAAAUUAGAAAUGAAUACUCUAAUAUAUUGAGGAAAAAUUCACUCGGAACUAUUAUUUCUCAAAAAUAUUUAUAGAUAUAUACAUGAAGCACUGAAUCAUGUAAGGAAAGAACAUCUCUAAUUAGAAUCUCUAAAAAUCAGCUAUAAUCCCUAAGCACCCCCCCUAAGGUUGGUGGUGCAUAGAUGUCUCGCAUGCCCACAUUGCAAAGAAGAUUAUGAUAAGUCUUACAGUUGAGCUCUUUAGUAAAAACAUCAGCCAACUGUCUUUAGGAUGCUAGAUAACAUAGCUUAAGACACUACUGGCUACUUUUUCCUUGAUAAAAUGACUAUCUAUUUCGAUGUGCUUGGUCCUAUCAUGUUGCAUUGGAUUUUGAGCUAUGUUGAUGGUUGCUUUGUUAUCACAGUAUAAGGUUGAUCCAUUUUCAUUCAACAACUUUAGCUAUUCCAAUACCUUUUGCAGCCAUAAAAGCUCACAAACACUUUGAUUCAUGGCCCUAUAUUCAGCCUCUGCACUUGAUCGAGUAAUAACACUUUGUUUCUUACUCCUCCAAGUGACUAAGGGCACAUUUGGUUCACUGUAUUGGAUUAGAGGUGUAAUGGAAUAGAGGUGUAAUAGAAUAGAGGUGUAAUAGCAAAUCAACUGUUUGGUUGAAUGUAAUGGAAUAGAGGCGUAAUAGUAAUCUUGUGUUUGGUUGAAUGGAAUAGAGGUGUAAUAGCAUAAUGGAAAAAACUAAAAUGACUAGAAUACCCUUAGCAUAAAUUUAUUUUGGUAAAUGAUUAUUGUUAUUGUUAUUUAAAGUUUAAUAAGAUUAUUAUUAUCAAUAAUAAAUAAUUUAAUCAUAUUUAAACAUAAUUAUUAUUAAAUAUAUUAAAUAUAUUAUAAUUAAAAUAUAUAAUUUAAUAAAAUUCUUAAUAAUCAAUAUUCUUAUAUGAAUUUAUAUACUCAUUUCCUUUUAUAUAUUAAUAUACCACAUUAACCGGUUUAUAUUUAUAUCAAUGGCACAAAAAAUUUGGGAGAAGAUUUUUGAGGACUGCUUUUGUUUGCAAAUAACAUCAUUCAUUCUGUAGGGAAAAAAUUAUGCAUGAGCCUGCUUAUUGAUUACUUUUUUUAUUUUGUACUGAAGUAGUUGCCACUGGUUCAAAAGUCGAUAUAUAUGUAAUAUUAUUAAAAUAAUAUUUUUAUUUUAAUUAUUUAAAAAUAUUUUUAAUUAAUGCAGUGUAUAUGAAUAUACACAUUUAAUUAGUUUUAUUUUUAAUAAAAUUUUUCUAAUUUAUUCAUUCAAUUUUAAUCACCUUACAAUUUAUUGUAUUAUAUCUACUGAUCCAAUUUUAAUAUAUUGAAUAUUUGUUUUUUAAUCAAGUUCUUUACUUGAUUAUAUCUAAUGUUCCAAUUUUAAAAAAUUCGAUUAAAAUUUUCGAACUACAUCAACUUAAGAAAUUCGAUCCCAAAUUCAAAUUAAAUAUACCAAUAAAAAUCAACUUACUACAUCACCACUUGCAAAAUAUAACUCUCCAAACAUUACUAUGGAGUAAACAAAAAAAAAAACUGAACAUAUAUAUGUCUUACAAUUUUUCUUUAGUUUAGAAGGUUUGAUAAGUUACCAAACCUCUUGAAUUGCAACUACAGCUUCAGCUUGCCAACGAUUUAUGUCUGGAGCAAAUCGGUAGCUAACAGUCCAAUACCUACAAAAUUCCACAUAGAACAUCAAUUUACUGGAACAACAGUGGUCAGAAUAAUAAUAUAUGACUUAUGUAACUAUUACACAAGUAAUGGUACUAUGACUUGAGAACAAUUCAGGGACAACAUGAAACUGAAAAAAGAUCAUCAAUACAAACUACUACAGCAGCAAUAAAAUUAUUAUUGCAAUUCCACCCAAAGUAUAUGGACGACAUCCCAUUGCCUCAGCACUAACAUAGCACAUUAUUUUUCUUAAUUGAACAAUUGGGCAAUAAACUGAUUUAAACAACAAAGUUGAGUUAGUAAAGGAAGAUAUGGCAGCUAUUAAAAAAACAUAUCUUACAUCUAGAUCAUACUUUUUAAAACAAUCUUCACAUAGUGCCCUAUCAUAUGUCCUCUUUGUUUUAUUUAUUUUCCACAUUAGCAUGUUGCAUCAAAGCUGGACAUUGACAACAAAUAUGCCCCUCACUAUAAUCACUAAGGAGGAAAUAUUUAUAUUGGUAGACAGUGUCAUACUGGUUGGAAAACUACUGGUUUUUUGUUGAGUUAGGAGCUCUGUCAAUGGAAGAAACAAAUGUAUAAUGAUUUGGUACCGGAAGAGACAACCGAAGCAAUGAGCCCAAUGAAGUUAAACAUAAUUUCAAAUAACUUCAGAGGGUUCUAGCAAGCAGUGAAAGAUUUUAUAGGUUCUGGAAAACAAAUGCAAAUCGAAACUCAAUCAUUCGGUUAGUUGAUUGUGUGGUUCUGUUUUGGUUUUAGAAGUGUUCAAACCAUCGUGAGGCAAUCUUAAUGUAGAAGACAUGAAAUAUUAUAGUUUGUGCGGAAAUGUGCAUAAAAUAUUGUGUAUUGUUGUUGUAUUUGAUUGUGGAGCAUAUGCACAGUAAUCCCAGAAUUUGUAAUUGAUAACUCAAGGAAUAGAUAUGAUUCUGCAUUUACCUGUUACAAAAUGGUUAAGUUGAUGUUUAUCGAUGCUUAAUGUAGGCUAGCAAGCAGGUUGAGGACGCUCCCAAGAAGAUAAUCAGAGUUCAAAAGCGAUGUUGGAGAUCCAUACCACAUUUGUCGAAGCCAGGAGAAACAACUUCGAACUUGAUGAAACCAAACAGAAAAUCCCCACAGCCUGAAAUAGUGGAUGGUAACAACAUGCUAUUGUAUUCUCCCUAACUCAUUCCUUAAAUAUAAAUAGGUUUGUGCAAGCAGGGUAAACCGAAUAGCUUGCAUAGGCAACUCUAGUUUGCAAAUCCAAUGAAAAUAGUUGAUGAUAAGUGAGAUAUCAAACGAAAAGCUUUUGAUAUGAUAACAAAAAGAAGUAAUUCAGAUUGAGCUAAUGACCACAUGAUAGUCUUAAGAUGUGGAAGAUAGAUGGUAGGAAAUCAUUUUCACUCGCUCUCUUCUGAAUCAUCACCACUACUGUCUUGUGAAUCAAUUUUCAAAGCCUUCACAGCAUUGCUUGCUUUAAAAUGUUCAACAGCCUUGUCAAAAGUGCACCUCACAUGCCUACACAUCAACAUCAGAUUUUGACAUGCAUCUUUCAAUACCUCUCUUGCUGGAUCACCUGUAAAUUUUCACAUAGAACAACUAAAGGAACUUGAACCCAACCAAAGUACUUGAAAAAGAGUGUUAUAUUGAGUUUACCAGUGGUUUGAACUCUAAUAUUAACUUGAGCCUCUGAAGGAUGAGGAAUACUGUAGCCACAGAAUGUAACCCUUGGGCUGCACAACAUAAAAAGGAUAGCUUCCACUUUCAAUACAAUCACUUAAAACAAAGAAAACCCAGCAUGAAUCAAAGCCAAAAACAGAGGUGAAUGAACUGACUCUUGAUUCAAAGUGAAUCUAACAGCAUUAGCUAUGGUAUGAUCCUUAUCAGUUAAAGAAAAAGUGGCAGCACUAUUAUCAGUGAAAGACCCGUGUUCCAUUGUUUCCUUUAAUCCAAUUUCUAAAUCUCCAAACCAAGAAACAAAACUAUUAAAAGGAUGAAAUUGAAUCCAAUAAUCAUUGGGAAAACAUAUUUUUAAAUACAAAAUAAGGUUGUAUCUUCCUUACCGGUUCCAAUGGACAGGACACAGUUUCACCGAUGGAGAGGAACGGAAAACGUGAGAAAGUGGCUCCUUUCUGAUCGGUGUUCGAAGUCCAGUUGUGACGCCAAAGAGAGGUAAGACAGAAAGGUAGAAGCGUGAAUCGGUGGAGAUAGAAAGGUAAGACAGAAAGGUGAUGAGAGUGGAGAAGAAAGGUAGAAGGAAGAAACAGAAGACAGUGGAUUUUGGGCAAGACAAAAGCGUGAAUCAGGAGGGUAAAAUAGGGACCAAAACUCAAUCCGGACCUAAACUGAGCACAAGGAAGGGAUUAGAAAUCGGUGGAAUUUGGGGAUUAGAUCAGUAAUUUAAUAGACCCGUAUUAGGCUAAUACACCCAACCAAACAAUGUAUUGAGUGGGGCCCACAAUUAGGGGUGUAAUGGCUAUGCCAAUACACCCAACCAAACAUGGUGUUAGGAUAUACGGAACUGAUACAGAGGUGCAUUAUUAUGCACUAUUAAACAGAAAGCACUAAAGUAUUAUACAGAGAACAUAAAUGUGCUAAUAAUUAGAGAGCACUUAAUAUCCUAAUAGUUCUAAUCUCGUCUACUUGGGUAAGUUAUUUAAUUCUUGUACCACUAAUCUAUAUAUUUAUAUCUUCUCCACCUUUAAUACAUGUAUUAUAUUUCAAAAUUCAUUAUUCAUCCAUAAUUUUCUAGUAAUCCAUAUCAUGUACUUCAUAUAUCACGUUUACAUGUUUUGCAAUUUAGUCAUCAGCACAAUAUUUCUUGUAGCAAAAUAAUACACUUUCUAAAUAUGCAUGCAAAAUAGAAUAAUAACCGGUCAUAAACCGACCAGACCAACAGGGCUUUCGUCUAACAUUAUAAUUAGCUAACAUUCUCUCAACAUAAGAACUCUAUCAGAACUGAACAAUUACACAUACAUAUCUCUGAGAAUAAAAGAAUAUAUAUAAUAUCAAGAAAAGAUCAUCAUGUUCAUUUCGACUGUAACCUUCACACACAGACAUCUUUACCACUUAAUUAUCAUUUCUCUGACUAAUUCUGUUAUCACACUUUAUUCCAUUCACUAAAAAAAACUUUAAAUUAACACAUACAUUCUUUUAAGUAUCAUACCUCAAUAUUUUGUCUCAUAAAAUUUAACUUCUUCUUUAUUUACUCUCUCACUUGUUUACUUACUUGCUUGCUUAAACAACUCAUGAUUAUAACUUACUCCUUCCUUAUUCAAAUUCUUUUCUUAACUGAUAACUAAAAUAUUCUUAACCCUUAUACUCACCUAAAUCUAUUUAUCAUACCUUUACCUGAACUUUCAUGUAACAUAAUUUCUUUACUAGCCGUUGAAUUACUUGAAAUACUAAAGAUACUCAAGUCUCUUAUCUGAAUAUAACAUGCCAAAGCUUUGUCCCAGAUAUAGUCUUACAUGGGAUGUUUCCUAUACUGCCAAUUCCAUAUCCCAAGUAUGGUUUUACAUGAGAGUUCUCAUAUCGGUGCCCAUGCCAUGUCCCAGACAUGGUCUUAUGGGGGACCUCUCAUCUCGGUGCCAACGCCAUGUCCCAAACAUGGUCUUACAUGGGACCUCUCAUCUCGGUGUCAACGCCAUGUCCCAGACAUGGUCUUACAUGGGACCUCUCAUCUCAGUGCCAACGACAUGUCCCAAACAUGGUCUUACAUGGUAGUUCUCAUAUCAGUGCCCAUGCCAUGUCCCAGACAUGGUCUUAUGGGGGACCUCUCAUCUCGGUGCCAACGCCAUGUCCCAGACAUGGUCUUACAUGGGACCUCUCAUCUCGGUGUCAACGUCAUGUCCCAGACAUGGUCUUACAUGGGAUCUCUCAUCUCAGUGCCAACGUCAUGUCCCAAACAUGGUCUUACAUGGUAGUUCUCAUAUCGGUGCCCAUGCCAUGUCCCAGACAUGGUCUUAUGGGGGACCUCUCAUCUCGGUGCCAACGCCAUGUCCCAGACAUGGUCUUACAUGGGACCUCUCAUCUCAGUGCCAACGCCAUGUCCCAAAUAUGGUCUUACAUGGGACCUCUCAUCGGACCUCUCAUCUUGGUGCCAACGCCAUGUUCCAGACAUGGUCUUACAUGAGACCUCUCAUCUUGGUGCCAACGCCAUAUCCCAGACAUGGUCUUACAUGAGACCUCUCAUAAUUUCAAUAAUGCCAAUGUCAUGUCCCAGACAUGGUCUUACACUGGCUCACAUAUCGAUGUCGAUGUCAUGUCCCAGACAUGGUCUUAUACGAGAUCGCACGUUGAUGCUAUAUCCCAGAUAUGGUCUUAUACGAAAAUUACAUAUCAGAUGUUGCCACGGUCCAACCAUGGUCAUUUCUGUCAAUUCAUUACAUAUCACUGAACAAAAGUACUCAUUCCUAUGUUUUACUCAAUUUGAUCUUUCAAUUCAAUUUUCAUACUAUUAUAAUAUUCAUGGUUCAAUAGCAAAGACAUAAAACAAACAUCAUAUUAUUUCUAAUUUAACAAUUAAACAUAAGAUUCUAUCAUAUAAACAUACUGAUUACACUUAUUCAAGCAAGUGUACGUAAACAUACAUUCCAUCUAUUUGUGUAUAUUUACUUACCUUAUUUACUUAAUCAAAUAUGUUGAGCACAUAACAUCAUAUGCGCGCCAAGCAAACGCAGAUGAGCAUAUCACCAUAUAAACUUUCAUUUUAUUCUACGUUUCUACAUUUCUCAACUCAUGGUUGUGUUACUUCAUACGUUAACACAUACUCAUCAUGAAUUUUCUAUUCAUAUCUUUCUAAAUUCCGUUUCAUCAUAAACAUAUUUCAAUUACCUCAACAUCAAUUUUUUUUAGCAUUAUUGGAAACAACUCGGAUAGAAGUCAUCUUUGUCUUACAAAACAAUUUCAUUGGAGUUGAAAGAUAUUAAAUUAUCACGAGUAAUAAUAUGGCAUGUAUAACUAAACUUACAUACGCUAUGUUAGUUCGAGAACCGACUAAACCAUAGCUUUGAUACCACUAAAGUAACACCCCAAACCCGAUCUAAACGUUAUGACCGAAUCUGGCGAUGUCACAUUUUAACACCCCUUACCCGUAUUCGACGCUCAAAUAAGGUACGAGGCAUUACUAGAAGACAUACAUUUGCAUAUGUAUUAAACCGAGUUACAACAUUUCAUCCGAAUUAAAACUUUUAAAUUAUUAACGUGCUUUUAUAAUUCUUUACAACAUAUCCUCGAAAUAUUAUAUUCAUAACAAAUAGGGCCUACGAGACCCGAUAUUUACUCAUGUAAUUCAAAGCUUCAUUUCCAUUUCAUUCAAUUUACAAUUUCUCAUGUUCACAAUUCAAAUCAAUUUCUCAAUCCAAUAUUUAUAUUUAAAUCAUCAAGAAUAUAAUUCAAGUUACACGAACUUACCAGGCUAAAUUGCAGAAAUACCAACCUCAAAUUUUCACCCAAUCUUGAUAUAAAUUAAUAUUUCAUUCAAUUUAUUAAUUUAAAUAAUAAAACAAUUCAUUUCAUACAAUUUGGUCACUUUUUGACAUUUUUACCAAUUUACCCUUAACAUACUACUUUUAUUCAAUUUAGUCCUUGAACCUAAAACAUUCAAAUUGGUCAUUUUUAAUGAGAACUCAUGCUAUUUGAAUAAUCAUUUCUUUUCCUCCUCCUCUGCAUUCCACAUCCUUAAUGUAUAAUAUGCUUAUAUGUAACAUUAUUUAUAAUUCCACCAUUUAUUUAUAUAUUAAUUCAAAGCUGUCCACUUGAGUCAUAGUCACUAAAUUAUUUAUAUCUUUAGCUACGGAACUCCAAAUUAAGCUCCGCUAAAUUCCUAUGAAACUAGACUCACAUAUAUUCUUACCAUAAGAUUUUUAUAAUUUUUUGUUUGGCCAAUAAGUACAGUUUAUUCUAUAAAGUUUCCCCUGUUUCACUGUUUGACAGUUCCGACCCCUCUUCACUAAAAAUUAAUUAUCUCUUUGUACAGAAUUUGGAUGAUGUUUCUGUUUAUUUCUAUUGAAAAUAGACUCAUUCAAGAUUUUUAACAUAUAAAUUUAAGCCUCUAAUUUUUUUUGUUAAAUUUUUUAUGAUUCUCCAAAGUCAAAACAGGGGAACCCGAAUUCAUUCUGACCUUGUCUCACAAAAUUUAUUAUAUCUCAUGAUUUACAAUUCCAUUGCUUAAACCAUUUCUUCUAUGAGAAACUAGAUUUAAUAAGAUUUAAUUCCAUAUUUUUCUCAUCCUCUAAUUCGAUUUCCACAAUUUACGGUGAGGUUUAAAAUUUAACCUAUUGCUGCUAUCCAAAACUGUUUUAAUGCAAGAUAUUGAUUACUAAGUUUAUAACUCCCUAAUUCCCUUUCUCUAUAAUAUUUCCCACAAUUUUCACUUAUUUCCCUUCACUAAUAUAUCAAGAACAUAAGACUUUAUUUAAGAAAACUCGACUAUAACAUCAUUUCCAUGCUUUUUCAACAAUAACAAACUUAAAAAUAUAUUGAAAUCUUGAUGUUCUUACCUUGUGCUAUUGAUUUCAAUCUUUAACUUGAUUUUCUCUCUCCUCCAGCUUCUAUUUCUUGAAUCUAACUUGACAUUAUAGCUCCCCAUUGUCUCCUUAUUAUUUUUCUCUCUUGGAAGCUAUGGAAAUUCUUUUCAUUUCUAGGUGAAAAUAGUGAAUUUUUGGUGAAAGGACCAAAUUGUAAAGAAAGCAAAACUUUCUUUCUUCUCUUCUCUUCUAACGUUGGUUGCAUGGAAAGAUGAUAAUUUUUUCAUCAUCCUUCCUCCUUUUUAUAUUAAUCAUCUAAUAAUAAAAUAAUACCAAAGAUAUUAAUAAAAUAUUAAUUAAAUAACAUUUAUCUAAUUAAUUAAUUAAAAAUAUCACAAACAUCAUCAUUACCUUUUAGAAUUCUCUCUCUAUUUGACCAUUUUGCCCUUUAUAAUCUUUUGAAAUUCCAUCCUUGAGUCAUCACUUAAUUUGAUAAAAUUGUAAUUUGGUCACUCAAAAUUCUUCACCUUUUUAAUUUGGUCCUAAUUCAUCCAUUUUCUGUAGUUUCUAGAUUAUUCCACCCUUAAAAUAGUUACACUAUUAGUCCUUAAAAUUUUUCAUAUUUACACUUUAACCCCACAAAUUUUGAUUAUUUACUCUUGGGCAACAAAACUUUUCCCACUUUUCAAUUUAAUCCUUUCUUGAAUUAAUAUGUCAUAAUAUACUUCCCGAUGUUGACAUAACUCAAUAUUACCCUUUUUAUCACUUUAUUUCCUUAUUUUACUAUAUCAAGGAUAUUAUCUUACUUUCUUACUGUAGUGAUUUUCAGGGUAUUACAAAACUCAAAUGCAUUUAACUCAAAUUACCUUUCAAAUGAAUGACCCACACUAAUUAAAACAACUAAGUCAAUUUUAUCUAUCGAAUAAUAACAUUUCAAAAUAAUCCUUUGUUCUUGUUGUCAAGACAACCCAGACAUUCAAUCUAUCAUAAUUCCCUCAUAAAACCAAUCAAAAAUCUCAACAAAUUGCCUUAAGUCAAACGAAACAUAACAUCUCGUUUUAACUCGUUGACAUAAAUUUAGAUUACCUGAGGAAUGAGAACCGAUAUACAAGUUUAAGCUCGAUCUUCCACCAUUCUACACUUUUGUUGUUGACUAUCCUUUCAUGAAAGCUAGAAAUGAGAUGUAUAAUAAAACUAUUUCAACUAAUAACAUCGAAACUUUAAAUCACACAAAAUCCGCCACCAUCGGAUGAAUUAAAAGCACAGUGCUAUAAUGAAAUCGGCCUUGCAAUUGUAUAGAUAAAACAAUACCUCAAAUAUCAAUAGUGUAAUUCGAGACCAAAGAGAAAAAACCAAAUGUAGUCCCAAUAACAACUAGUGUAGUAAUACCACCUCUAUAAUCUGAGUUCUAUAACAUCGUUCUCCCAUUAUCAAAUUAGGAAUUAUAACUAUAAUAGAUGUUUUUAUCUCCAGCAAUGAAUAUCCCUUACAGAUGAACCAUUUUUAGUAGAUUAAACAAUAAGAAUGAGAAGAAAAACAAGAUAACGAAAUCCAAGAUGUGGAGCUCUACUGAAUCUCUGAGAAUACAACCCAUAUUGAAUGAUAAAGUGAUUUAUGAUACCCUAGAGAAAAUCUAGAAGAAGAAUAUAGCUCAUAUGCACUGGAACCAGUUGUGACAGACACAACAUAAUAGAAUCUUCUACCGAACAUAAUAAAAUAGAAUGCCAAAGAAAGAUAGAGCAAUACCGAUUAGCUAUAAUCUUCUACCGAACAUAAUAUAAUAGAAUCACAUCCGAAAAUGAACAAUUGAAUAUACCUCUAAGGAUAAAAGAACAUAUAAAAUACCUAGAAGAGAUCGUCAUAAGUUACUCGACUAUAAUCGCUACAUUCAAAUAUCUUUACAAUUCAAACAUUAUCCCACUGACUACUAAAUUCAUCGAUAAUCUCACAUUAACCCGUUUCACUAAUGAAAUCAAUUCAUAAGAAAUUUGUGUUAAUUUGUUCUUUAGAUACCAUACCUGAAUAAAUCAAUUACCUGUGAAUAACCUCUUCUUUAACAGCGACAUUGCGUACCCCGAGUGAUCUUCAAAAGAAUUGAUACCCUUUUUAAAGCUCUCUUUACUUGCUAACCUGAUGUGAUCAUGGUCCAAGACCCAACUAAGGCUGCUGAAGAACCCAUGGAGCUACCAAGGGACUGAUUACUCGUGCUCGAGCUAAGAGGUUCAUGGAAGCUGUUGCGGGCUUUAUUGUUUGAAUUUGGGGUGAAGCCGUUGCGGGGUUUAUUGAUCAAUCAUGGACAUGCACUCCAAGCAUGCCAUGCAACCUACUUCAAGCUCAACUUUAGUUUUCUUCAGCUUGUGAAUUUAUUUGCUGGAAUAAAGAAUUAAAUUCGGUUCUAGUUAUUUUAGUUAAAUUAGUUUAAGUAUAUAAUUAUGUCAUAAUCUGAACAUAUUUAAUAAGAUUUUUUAAUUAUGUCAUAGUUUAGGACAUUUUAAAUACAUAAUUUAAUUAUGUCCUAGUUUGGAAAUCUUUAAUAUAUGUGUUUAGUUCAGACAAAUUAAAUUAUGUUUAAGUUGGGUUUAAUGUGUCUUGUAGGGUGAUCAAUGGAUGGCAUUAAAUGGGGAAACAUGCAUUUGGACGUGCAUGCAUGGAUGCUGGUUGAUCUCUUCCAAGCAACUUUUCAUGGAAUGCAAUGGACACAAGUGCUUUCACAUUAGUCCAAUCAGCUGGAUGCUAUAUUCACACUAAGUGACCAUCCAAUUUUGAGUUUUCACACCUUAAGAGAUGUUCGUGUGCUCUAUGCAACAUUAAAAUGGAGACUGCACAUUUGGCUUUCCAAGAAGGCAUCAACCAUGUUCACACCAUCCAAAAUCGAUCAUCUACUUGAACCAUCAGCUCAAAUUAAAGGCUACACGUUUUGGCUAUUUGGGGAGUGCAAAUGACAUGGCUGUUGGCGUCACCUAUGCAUGAGAGUCUUCAAAAGUCAUGUAGAAUAGGUCAAUAGUUAGUUAACUCAAUUAAGCUGAAUUAAAUUAGUCCACUCGGCUGGACUUCUGUAAAGCUAUAAAUACUAAGCUCAAAUCUUGUAUUUGGAACUUUUGAUCCUUUAAUGAAUUUUAAUCUAUUUGUGAGUUGUUCAACUCUCAUUGUUCUUUUGUGACUCAAAUUUACUUAUCUAGCUAGUCUAGUGGCGUCAAUCUGUUUCUCUUUGUGAACUUAUCACUCUAAUGAAUGUGGCGUUCAACCUAUACCAACUGGUUCCUAUCUCUUAUAGAUAGUAGGUCACGGUUAAGCUAUCAAGUCCAUUUUCAACUUAAGAGCUACUAUAAGAAUUAGGUCAAUAUUACCAUAUAAUAUUGGUUCUCUCUUUAGCCUUAAGCCAAACCUAUUUUUGCCACCUCUAUCCAUUAAAAAUUCCUUUGUUUCAAGCCAACUUUGUUCGUUUACAACCCUUUCAAGAACUAAGUCCAUACUUCUUAAUUUUACGAUUGAAAACAUAAGAUGCUCGAUUUGCCCAACGAGUACGAGAUCGCAUCAUGACCCAUUCUCGACUCUGACAACAUUAUUAUUCAUUCAGUCACUAAUCUUUUUGAUUUCAUACUUGUAGGCUUAACCAAAAAAAAUCUUGUGAAUUCCAUUGUAUACAACCUUGAGGGUGGGGGUGGAGAUCGUAAAGCCUCAAAAUUUGACUCUUGCAUAUAUAAACACAUAGCAUAGCAUUCCUCAUUAACAUAAUCAUUAUAAAAGUUUAUGUAUACCUUCAUAAGUUUCUACUCAUCCUUAACAACAUUUUUACCCAAAUACUUGAGUAUCACAUUCAGCAUUAUCGGAAUUAGCUCGGUUGGAAAACAUUUUUGUCUAAAAAUAAAACAAAUCUCAUUAAAGUCGGGAGAUAUCACACUAUCACAGGUUAUGUAGUGGCAUGUAUUUCUAGACUUCAUACAUGCUACAUUCAGUCCAAGAGCUGACUAAACUAUAACUCUGAUACCACUAAAUGUAACACCCCUAACCCAUAUCUGUUACAGAAUUAGGGUUAUAGAGCAUUACCAAAAACUUUUAAUUUAAAACAUUCAAUUACAAUCAUUUAUAAAACACAUCAUAUUCAAUUCAAACACAUGCAUAAUGUCCCUUUUUCAAGCCCUCGAGGCUUUAAAAGAUCUUAAGAAAUAAUUCGGGACUAAAUCAAAAAAUUUAGAACUUCAUGAACAAAGAUAGAAAAAUUCAUACUACAGUGGUCACACGGCCGUGUGACCAGGGCAUGUGACUCACAUGGCUGAGACACACUCCGGUGUCUCAAGUCGUGUGGGUAUUCGAAGUAGGGACACACGGUUGUGUCCCAGCCCGUGUCCGUGUCACUAUCUUACUUGGGUCACACAACCAAGCCAUACGCUCAUAUAUCAGGCCAUGUAAUGCUUGAAAUGUAACCAAUAAAAACCUACAAGGGACACAAGGCUGUCUUGCGUGACCGUGUGUCACACACGGUUGAGACACAUGCCCGUGUCUUAGGCUGUGUGGAUGAGAAAUAGGCCAUUUUCAAGCCAUUUCAUUCACUCUAAACAUGCUCACACACACAAACCAUUUGUACCUAUUUCAAACAUCAAAAAAAUGUACCUAAAACAUGCAUAAUGCAGUUAAAUCAAAUUGGCAACUAUAUCUACAACCAAUAUGCCAACAAGCACCUCAAUCACAACGAUCAAAUAUACUUAAACAUAUGCAUAAUUUAGCCAUUCCUAAACCAUACAUUUCUAAUCUAAUUCAAUACCAAUCUUACCAUAAUGACCACAUGCCAAAGUCACAUUCAAACAUACCAAGUUUCUCAUUCAAAAAUGCAUUAACCCCUUAUCAAAAUAACACACACCAAAUAGGAAUCAAAGGUACCAAGGUUACAUCAACCAAAAUGACAUAUGCAUGUCAAACUCAUCAACUAACAUAAAACACAAGUCCACCUAUACAUGCCAUUAUAACUUUGAUUUGGACACCAAAAUCUACCAUUAUAAUCGUUGGAUAGUGUGAUAGAUCUCUGACCAGCUUCCUAACCGAUCGAGCUUCCGAUAAUCUGUAGAGUAAGAGAAAGACAACCACACAAGCAAUGAAUGCUUAGUAAGCUCAUAUAAAUUUUAAACAUAAAAUUCCAUUUUUAUACAUGAACUUUAUAAGUCAUAAAUAAACCUAUACCAUUGCUUCAAGAUUUAUCAAACUAUAUAACUAUCAACUCACAAAUGAAUAGGUUCAUUAACAUCCCGAAUACUUUCUAUUCAUACCAUAAUAAAGUCUUAUAAGCUGAAUUACAUAAUCAUCAACCUUUUCUUAAAAUAGUGAACCAUUUCAUUUACUUACUUACCAUUUCAUUUACUUAGCAUAAGGUUAAUUAUGUAUCAAUUCACGAAUCAGUAUACCUAUUCAUGACAUAAGUAAAUUCCUUCCUUACAAGUAAGUCCUUUAACUCGACAAUCCUUUUUAUUUCAUCAUAUUUCGUCACAUCUAUGAACUUACCAUUUCCAUAUAUAAUCUCACCCGUUUCAUUUGUAUAACUCACAAGAUAUAAGCAUAAACAUCAACCAUAACCACAAGCUAGUGCACUUAAACAUAACUCCUUCACAUUUAACUAAUAAUCAUUCUGUAAUUCAUCAUUCAUCUCAAACUUUCCAAUAAACAUGUAAUCUGGAAUUACUUACCUUCACUAAAUAAGAUUAAAUCUAAAUGAAUAAAUUAAUCAUACCUGUUAUACAUUUACAAAGCACUUAUAGGCUUAGUAUUGAAAAUGAUUCAUCGUAUGCUUCCUGUACUAUAAUAGUUCAACCCAAACUCAUUUAUAUAUGUAUAUAAACAUAUAUCUUUAACUAAAUAAUCAUCAAUAUAACGAUACUCACAUAUGAUCAAGUAAUUCAUUGAACAUUUAACAUUUAACACUUACUAAUUUCUUGACUAUACAUUAGCCUUUAACAUUAAACUAAUUUUAUAAAUUUCAUUCACAGUUAGCCCGAUGAACUAGUAACUUGAAUAGUAUACUCGGGUGACUACACCACACCAAAGGCAUCAUAGAUGCAUAACAGGGGCACCAUAGUGCGAAUAGAGGCACCGAAGUAUAUAUUGGGGCACUAAAGUGCAAACAGGUGCACUGAAGUGUAACUCUUGUACAAGUGUGCAUUCUAACCCUAUUGGUAUGCCAAUCGUAUGCUAGUGAUUACUACAUUCAACCAAGCAUUUCACGUAAUCCAUUUAUUUUAAACAUAUUUAUCAUUCAAGGGCACUUCAUUAUUUUCGUACACAUGAUAUAAUAUCAAUACAUAUAUUCACAUUGUCAAUGUGGCAUUACAUAGAUUAACAUCAUCUAUUUAUCACUUUCAUCUUUCUCGAUACACGUGCUGUAAUAAUUCAUAAUCAUGCUGAAAUCACAUAUAUAUCAUAUCUCAUAAAUAUUCAAUAGUUUUCUAAUAAAUCCUUUCUCACCUUAUAUUUAGUUAUAAUAUUUCGAGUUUCAGCUCACAUUUUAAACAUCAUAUAUAAGUAUAUACAUUCAUGAAUCAGCAUUAACAUUGUUUAUAUAUAUAGGUUUGUACAAUUCUAUACCUACGAGCUUACCUGGCUAAAUUACAGAAAUGUCAAAGUAUAGGGGCAUUUUGGUAAUUUUCCAUUCUCCUAGAUUUUUCACCCGACAUUGAUCUAAAUUAAUAAUUGUAUUCAAUCUAUUAAUUUAGAUAGUAAAAUAAUAUAUUUUAUACAAUUUUGUCUUUUUUGACAUUUUUACAAAAUUGCCCUUAAAGUUUCACUUUUAUUCAAUUUAGUCCCUGAGCCUAAAACAAGCAAAUUAACCAUUUUUACCCAAAAUUGAGCCCAUCUGAAUACUUAUGCUCUCCAACACAGGCCAUUCAAACAAUAAUUUCAUAACAAAUCCUUAUAUUUUUACUAUUUUAACAAUUUAGUCCCUAACAUCUAAAAUCACAAGGUUCAUCAAUGGCAAUAUUACAAAUCUUUAACAGUUUCAAAAUCAAAGGUACGAGCUAGCUAUAACUAAUUGCAACGAUCUGAAAAACAUAAAAAUUAUUAAAAAUGGAGCCAAAAUCACAUACCAUGCAAUAGGAAAACCACUAUGGCUGAACUUAGCUUAAAACCUCCAUGGACAUUCAUUUGUUUGAAGAAGAAACUGAAAAGAUGAUAACCAAUUACCUUUUCUUUUUAUUUUAUUUUAAUUUAAUAUACCAAGUUACCAUUUUAACCUUAGUUAAUAAUUAAAUAAAACAUCAAAUUCAUAUCCAUUAUUGUCCACUAACACCUUGAAUGGUCUAAUUACCAUUUAAGUCCUUUUUCCUUUAUUCAAUUAACCAUUUAAUCGCUCAAAUCAAAUAGUGAUUAAAUUUUACAUCUUUUCCUAAUUUAGUCCAUUAUAAUUAAUUAACUAUUGAAACGUUAAAGUUUUUCAAUGAAACUUUAAUACAACCUGAAUGACACUCCAUAAAUAUUUAUAAAAAAUUAUGGUUUGAUUUAUAGAAACGAGGUCCCGAUACCUUAUUUUCUAAACCCACUUGACCUUAGGGUCUUACCACUUGAACCUAUUAAAUCAUUUAUAUAACAAAAAUCACUAUAUCACAAACCUUUUUAAAACCAUGUUUGACUCGUAAAUAUUAAAUGAUAAUAUUUACGAACUUAUUCAUCGAAUUUUGUGGCCCCGAAACCACUGUUUUCGACACUACUCAAAAAUGGGUUGUUACAUCUUCUCCCUUCUAUUCAAAAAUAAAACCAUUGCUACCUUACUCUUGAAGCUAAUCAGGGGUUUCUCACUAAUAUGAAACUAAAGAUGGAGUUCAUGUAUGAGGUUGUUUCUCACACGGGGUAAGUAUUUUGGACUCACGUGUUGUUUUUAUAAGAAUGAGUUUGAUUAUGUACGUAAAUGGGAAAAAAAGAACUAAGGCCUUGCAUGGUGAAUGUUUGUGCUAGAAAUAAGGGUGAGAUUUGAUAAUAUUCCUAUGUCUUAUAAACAAUGACUUUUAAGGGUCCGCAAGAGGAUGUGUGAACUUGGGGAUCAAGCUGUUGUUUAUGGAAGUAAGGUGAGUCCCUCAAUUGAUCAUUACAAGUGUAUUAUGCUUAUCUAGAAAAUUCUAUGUUAAAAUUCUACGCUAAGUGGCCAAAGCAUGAGAUUAGAACUAGUAAAGCAUGAUAUGACGAAUCUAAUAAGAAAUGUAAGACUUAUGAAACUGAAUGAAUAUGGUGCUUAUGUCUGAAAGUAAGAAGAUCGAGUCUGAUAGGAAGUGCAUGUGUGUCUGGUAAACAUAAGAAUGUCUAUCAUAAGUGAGUUAAUACGUGAUGAGUCUGUGUCUAUCUCCAAAGUCGUCAAAGGAAUCCGUUAGGACAAAAUCACAAAUCUUUGAAAGGAAAAGUCCAUGUCCAUGGCACUACAGAAGAUGAUAUCAUGUAAUACCAUAAUUGGUGGGUUAUGACAUCAUAUUGGAAGAAUAUCAUAUCGUGUAAGACCGUAACUGGUGGGUUAUGGCAUCAUAUGGAAAAAAUUUAAGGAAGGUUAUUACCAAAUGUGGUUCUGUAUGUGUCCUAGGACAAUAAGGGGAAAACCUUACUAAGUGUGAGUCUAGACAAAUCCCUAUCGCCUAAAUCACCAGGAGAAGAAAAUCCUUUGUGGCAAAACUUUGGAAAGGCAAGCCUUUGUGGCAAACCUAUUAAAGGAUAACCUUUGUUGCAAAACUUUAGAAAGGCAAGCCUUUGUGGUGAACCUAUUAAAGGACAACUUUUGUAGCAGUGGUGAAACUCUUAAAGGACGCCUUUGUGGAGAGACUCUGAAAGGAAAAUCUUUGUGGCCACUACUUAAUGAAAAUGAAGCCUUUGUAGAAAUAUCUAGAUAAGGAAGCCUUUGCUGAAAUCUCUGAAUUAGGGGGCCCUUAUGGCAAUAUCUGGAUAAAGAAACCUUUGUGGCUAUCUCUAAAAAGGAAUGUCUUCAUGGUGCCAUCGAAAGAAUGAAACUUGCAGUAACCAUUUGAAAGAAAUGCCUCUGUUGUGGACUCUGAACAAAAAGAAAGAAACCCAUGGUGAACUCUAACAAAAUGGCGUAUAAAGUCUCUUGAAGGAACGAUAAGUAUGGUGAACUUUGAAUGAAAGGCUCCGUAAGAAGUGUUAUGGCUAACCCAGUAUAGUAAUAUGGUAAGAAAAACGAGACUAGAGUGUGCCAACGUAAGUGGUGAACCCAAGGUCUUCUAUCUGUAAGGCCCUCUGUAAUAGAAAUGGUUAAGAAAUCAUGAAUGAACAAAAUGAAGAAUGUGAAUAAGGCAAUGAUGAUAGGAAUAGUAUGUUAUGAUCUCAGAAUGAGGAAUGACACCAAUGACACAAUGAACAGAAUUUUAUGGAUGUAACUGCUUGAGUCAAGGGAAGGACAACAGCAAAGGAUAUGAAUAUGGAAUUUUCAAGUAUGAAAUAGGUAAAGGAAGAUUUGCUCACUAAGUUUUCAUGAGCUUAACUUUGUGUCUUUUAUGACACAUGUAAGCUUAUUUGAGGUUAUAUCAGGAAGGACUACGCUAGGUGAAUGGCGAGAUGGGUUGUUAUGCAUACAGAGUGAGCUUGAAAUGAAGUGAUCAAGUUUGACAGAAACACUCUGAAUGGGCUACGCAAUCUAUUUUGAAGCUUGAUAGUGAGAAUAGAAUGUGUUGUGAAAAUAAGUGUAAUAUAUAUACUUGUGAACCCUCGUCUAAUUAAAAGGCAUGUUUAAGGUUUGUAAUUAGUUAUUAUACAUCCAGAUGUGAUCUAGCUAAGUAGUCCUAUUAAAUAAAAUGGAUUUUGUUGAAAGUUUAAAUGUUUAGAUAUAAAUAAGUCUAUAAUAGGAAAUGUAACACCCGAGAUCCCAAUCCAAUGAAUCAGAUCAAGUCGAGGGCAUUAUAGUUAGUUUAAAACAUUUACUUAACAUAGAGCUUACAAAACACAUAAUCAUGUAGAGCUCGUUGCAUAGAGCUCGCAUGUCACUGUUCAUGAGAUCACAUAUUGAAAUACUUUCGUAAAAUCAAGUAAUAGAAAAGACUUACUUAUCAAAACUUAGGUCAAACCCUAAGCUCCUGAUUAACAUUAUAGGUCGCACAUACAAGUUGCAAUCCCUAAACACUCACUAAUUUUUCUUGAAGACUUAGACAAGUUUUGCUAUUCCCUUGACUUUGCUUAAAGAUGGCUCUUGAUUUCUAAGUGUUGGGCUCUUAAGACUUGCAGACAGAAUAAUUGAUAGUAAAUUUAGGAGAAAAUAAUGUGUAAUUCCCUUAAUGGAAAUGGCUUAAUUAUAGGCUCUAAGUGUCUUAAUGUCUUUAAUACUCUAAUUGUAAUAGAAGUAAUAUUUAACGACAUGCAUGGAUAGUGUUGUAAAGAGAAAAGUAAGCUAUCAUUCCUAACUGAGGCACGACUCUACUUUAACCAUUCUUAUUUUUAACUCACAACCCAAAACUGUAGUUCGCUGGCCUAUUGGCGAUCCCUAUUUCGCCAAAAAUGCUAGCGAUCUAAGUUCACUAAAUUCUUAGGCGUACUCUAGCUCACCAAGCCUUUUAGAGAACUCCUACUUGCAAAGCUUAUUGGUGUACUUUAGCUCACCGAACUUGUUGGUCAUACACUUGAUCACGAAUCUACUAACAUAUACAUGCUUGUCAUUUUCUCUAGCGAACCCUUGUUCACUAGUCUUACUGACGAGUACCUAUUUGUCACGCUCUUGGGCAAUUUUUUGUUCGCCUUGGUGAACCCAACUCACUUGGCCCCAUACUUCUAGGCUCUACUUUAGGAUGUUACAACUCUCCCUCUCUUACGAAAUUUUGUCCUCGAAAUUCCCUAUGUUUAGAACAGGUCAGGGUACUGGUGUCUCAUGGCUUCCUCUAUUUCCCAAGUGGUUUCGUUGGUCUUGUGAUUUCACCAUAACACUUUAACUAAAGGUAUCUUCUUAUUUCAUAGAGUCUUUUCUUCACAAGCUAAGGUUUCCACGAGCCGUUCAUCAUAAGUAAGACCAGGUCGCACAUCAAUUUCAUCUGUUGAAACAAUGUGGGAAGGGUUCGCGCGAUACUUUAUCAACGUGAACACAUGAAAAACAUCAUGAAUUUACUCCAGUUCUUGUGGUAGCUUAAGUCAGUAGGCUACUGGACCAAUCCUUUCAACCACCUCAUAAGGAUCGAUACUUACUUACCUAUUUGGUACUCUAUGUCUCAUCAUUUUAGAUCGGUGUAAGACUUUUGUUUGUCUAAAAAAACAUCCAGUCUUUCGCAAAUCACUUUCACCUUAUCUUCUAUUUCACGAAUUAGCUCUAGUCUAACCAUUCACUUAUCAUCUAAUUCCGCCUAACACAAAGGUGUUCAACACUUCCUUCCAUACAAUGCCUUGAAGGGUUCCAUUUGGAUACUUACUUGGUGAUAACUCUUGCAAAGAGUUAUAUUUCAUGCCCUUAGGCUUAGUUAAUUACCUGUACUUAAGUGUUGUUAGUUCCAUUUUAGGAUAUUGCAUUGGCACUUUUAAAACAUUGCAUUAAAAAGCUUGGAUUGCGCUUAAUUGUGAUUACAUGUUGAUUUUAACUGCUUGUGGGAAAGAUUUGUUUGGCGAUUGUUUAGUAGGUGUAAAGUGUAGAGAAAAGUUUAACGGUUUGUCAUGGAAAAUACAGAUAGUUUGCCAACACAAAUGUUGUGGCAAUGCUGGAAAGACGCCUAGUCAGCACUUAAGGCGUACCACUCUUGUCCCCACAUAUAUAUCUACUUGGCAAAUAAAGAAAGGAUCACGGGUUGAUGGACCUACCCUAGAAGGUGAAACUUAUAAAAGCCAAGCAAUGAACCCUAUUUAAAGGGAGCCUUUAGACUAAAAAGAGCAACCUUGAGCAGUCGAAAAUAGACUACGACAGCAGCCUUGGAUGAAAUAGUAAAUAUCAGGUAGGGGCCAAGAACAAGGGUAGCAAAAGAAGUAGAAAACAACUGCAAUCACCUUGGGCAACUGCAAGACAUUGCACUGCCUAUAUUGAGAGUUGGAUAGGAGAAAGUUGUAAUCUUAGAUUUCCUCCUUUGUUUCUUAUCAUGCUUUUCUUUAAUGCUUAUCAGUUAUUGAUGAUGUUGGUUAUUGUAUUAAACUCAAACUUGAUUUUCCCAACCAUGAGCUAAAUCUCUUAGGCUUGGGAUUACUUUGAUGAAACCUUUAUUACUAUUAAUGUUUAAAGUUUAAUUUUGGUUUGCUCUACUAUUUUAUUCAAUGGCAUAUCACGUUAUAUGUAGGUUGUACAUUAACGAAUGUACGACAGGUUUAUAAAGAAAACUUAAUACCGAUAAGGUUGGGUUACCUGGAUAAGUGUUGGAUAAUAUGAGGGAAUGAUUAAUCACUUAUACAUGGCAACCUUUAGACAUAGAUCCUUGCCUUGUGUGAAAGAAGGUAGGAAAUAUUAGUGGUAGCCGAACUCAAAGCCUAUAGACAUAUAAUGCCCUAAGGAACGUAACCGAAGGUCUUGCUCUCGAGAGAGAAGUAGACUACUGUAGCAACCUAUUGAAUAGUAGAAUAUUCACGACUUUGUUGUGGCAUUAGUGAAGGUUGAUCCAUUAGUAAUCCCAGCUGUCCUAAUCAACAUUGUAGCUCCUCAAGCCUUUUUUGUAGUGAUUUUGCCAUGGCAUUCUUGUUCUGUUUACUUGUUUUGCACAUUUUAUACAUCAUCAUUCUCUCAUUUUUCCAUUGCAUUCUUAUUCUUAUUUUUCUUUAGCAUUAAUCGAACUUAACUAUAAUAACUCAACCAAUUUAUACCUAUCUAAUCCCUAUGGAGAUGAUAUCACUCAUCACUAUAUUACUUGAUCAACUUGUACACUUGCACGACUUGCAUAUCAGCUGUGCAACCAACACCUAGGAACUGUUUUUAUAUACGAACUCUACUGAGGGCAAAAAUCAUUCCCAGCUUCCUGCGAAUUCCACCACAUGGCUUGGUUGCAUGUCUUCUAGUACUUGGAUCACCCUCUCUUAUUGACCAUCUAUCUAUAAAUGAUAAGAAGUACUGAAAUUCAAUUUCCAACCCAAGGGUUCUUAUAAAAUUUUCCAAAAUCUCGAUGUGGAUCGUGGAUCUUGAUCGACGGUAAUGAAAUCAUUCCCAUCUAUAUACGAACUCUACUGAGGGCAAAAAUCAUUCCCAGCUUCCUGCGAAUUCCACCACAUGGCUUGGUUGCAUGUCUUCUAGUACUUGGAUCACCCUCUCUUAUUGACCAUCUAUCUAUAAAUGAUAAGAAGUACUGAAAUUCAAUUUCCAACCCAAGGGUUCUUAUAAAAUUUUCCAAAAUCUCGAUGUGGAUCGUGGAUCUUGAUCGACGGUAAUGAAAACGAGCACGCCAUGAAGUCGUACAAUUUUUUUGAUGUAUAACUCCACCAAAUUUUGCAAAGUAUAAGUGAUGUGGACUUCGAAGAAGUGAAAAAUUUUAGUGAGACAAUCUACAAUCACCUAUAUUGCAUCUUUCUUGUCAAGGUCAGUGACAAGCCGGACACAAAGACCAUGGUGAUCCUUUCCCAUUUCCACUCUAGAAUUUUGAUUGGUUGCAACAAUCCUAAAAGAUACUGAUGCUCAACCUUCACCUCUUGAAAAAUAAGACAUUUUCCACAUAAUUCAUAACGACUUGCUUCAAGUUAGGUUACCAAUACAAUUCAUAAAGGUCAUGGAACACCUUAUUGCUCCCUGGGUGUAACACGUAAAAGUAGUUGUGAGAUUCUAUAAAGAUCGCAUAUUGAAGUUUUUCAUCAUAGGGCACAUAUAGUCUUCCUACGAAACAAAGUAUCCCUUUUUUAUUCAGUGCGAAGUCCCCCUAUAACUUGGGGUUUGUGCAAGUGUACAUAGUCAUUAUCAAGUAAUAAGUAAGUAUCGAGUUAUCGUCACCACAGGGAUUGUAUUUGUGCUAAGUCACUUAAUUUGUAAAAUUAUAUUAACAAUUUGGUAAAUAGAAACACGAUAUAGUUGAGAAAUGGUGAUUAAAAUAUAUUAAACUAAAUGCAAUGAUCCUUAAUGCAAAUUAUCCUAAGUAUGCAAACUAUAUGAAUAAAAUAGAUUUUAGUAAAAUAUAACACAAUUUGAAACAAUUAUAACAUAAAUAAACUAGGACAAUUACUUUAAUUAAACUCAAUUUAUUAUCAACAUGCUUAAUAACAUUCGGAAAAACAUUCCAUGGCAACUCCAUCUUUCAUGAGUUUGGAAACCACCUUAGGUCCUUUCGAAAUCCUUUACUUGGUAAAUACACAUUUUACUAAUCCUUAAUUACUAAGGGUUUCUUAGCAUUCGUGUGAGGUAACAGGGAUGUGUUAGGUUUGAAACAAUUUAAUCACACAAAUCUAAAAACUAUGCAGAUAACAGAGCUUGGUUAGAGUUGUUAUGCAACCUACAAUUCAAUCGGGUUAGGAUCUAAAUUGAGCAUGCAUAAUUCAAUUAUGCGUCCAUUAGCCGUCAUCUGGUUAGGAUCACUCAGCUAAUUCAAGUGUGUUUCAGUCACGUAUGAAUGAAAUACAGACUUGAUUUUAAUUGAAAACAUGAUCAAUUGAGGCACAAACAUUAUAAGCAUGAAUCAAAUAAAUAUUAUUUAAUCAAAAUAAACAUCCUAGCUUAAAUAAAAUUAAGCAAUCAUUGUUGUAAACAAGAAAAAAGAGCACAUAGAAAACAUAUUUAAAUUAAAUUUAAAGAAAAGAAUGAUUAAACCCAAUUUAGAGUGGUUGUCACCCAAGACUCUGACAGACGAGGCUCCUUUGCUUCUUUACGUUGCUCGUUUGCUGAUGGCUUUCCAAGGUGGCCAACUAAGAAUUCUUUAAGAGGCUUAAUUGCUAAAAUCCUUAUGCAAGGAUGAUGAAGGGGAAAGAUAGCUAAAAGAGUUGAGAGAAUGAUGAAUGAGUGAGAGAUGAUGGGAUGAGGGAUGAUUGAAAAAGAGAGAAAUGAGCUCUUAUUUAUAGGUGAGGCAAAGGAACUAGUUUGCUAAAAAUAGGAGUGUUUAUCCUUUGAAACUUCCUCCAAGAGUGGUCGGCCAUGAAGUGAGGAAAGGUGGCUGAUUUUUCCUUGAUUUUUGGUCAAUUUGAAUGCCACAACAACUCAGGACUAAGACUCGGUCAUCAGCAAAUCUUCGAGAAAAUCUCUGAUUUCUUUAACUCUUCAAGGACUUUGUAUAAUUAAAUCAAAAAAUGGUUUAUGACAUCCAUGUGCAGCCAAAAAUUGGGUUGACUUGGUCCCCAAUUUGGACGGUUUUGCAAUUAGAAUAAAACUCUCAGCCCUGUCAAAAAAUAGUAGAUAGUUUAGAUGACCAAAUAAUAUAAUUUAACCACUCUAAUUAAUCAAUUUAUUUAAUUAAUUAAAACCCAAUUUAUUAAUUAAUUAUUAAAUAUAACUUUAUAUUUUAUUAUUUAAUUUAAUCAUGCAUGGCCCACUUUAUAGCUUAAAAAUAUAAUAUGCUUAAAUUAAUAUAAAAUAAGUCAUUUUAUGCAUGAAAACUAUAUAAUAAAGUAUAAAAUCACAUUUUAAUAAUUUCUAUGUCCUAAUUUCAUAUUUUCGCAUAUUUCAUUAAUUUAUUAAACAAUUACUUGGUUUUAACAACAAAUUUAAGUAAAAAGGUAAUGAAUUAUAUAGGAAAAAUCUUAUAUAUUUUUUAGUUUACACACCCCCAAACUUAAAUCAUUGCUCGUCCUAAGUAAUGUUCAUGCACAGCACAAGGUCUUACUAAGGCAAAUUUUGCUAAGAGUGUAAGUAGCAUCAAUCUUUGUUUUAUAAUCAUGCAUCAAUAAAUUCAUGCUCAUAGACCUUCUUUAUUAACAAGUAACUCAUAUACAAACAUUUUGAAAAUUUUAUUCUAAGUUUCAAGAUAUGCCAACAUGAAUCAUAGUUUGCAUGUAUGUCACAGUCAUAGAUAAUAUUUUUCAUUCAACACAAAUUCUCAUCAAUCAAGCAAAACAAUCAUAAGGCUUAUUUAUGAUCUUCAUAUGUUGAACUUAAUACUUCCUCUCCACUAAUGUAGGUGACAUAAUCAUCAAAUCAAUAGGUCUUUUAUAAGGUUGUAAUGGGGCUCGGUUAAAGGCGGGGAUUUUAAGAGAUGAGACAUUUCGGUUUCAAAAUCUUAACCUUUAACUUGUCUUGAAUUUCUCAAAAUUCAACCUUUUUCUUCAAGUGAACCUAUGGAACUCCGUUUGAAGUCAUACUCAUACAUUUUCUUUUUGGAGACUGAGCAAAUUUUUCUUCACUCUUUCUUUGUCUUUGUUGUUGCUAUUGUUGUUUUAAGCAUGAACACAUACAUCUUUAUGAAAAUUUCCUCAAAUGUUCAUUCCCAAGACAACUUUAGUUAGGAUAAGUGCACAAAAUUAAGAUAAUUUUAAAAAGAUGGUACUGGCUUAUAAUGUACGUUUAUUACAAUGAACAGGCUUUUAAGCUCAAAAUUAUAGUUUCAAGGGUCUAAGAUCAUAAGGUGGGCUUGAAAAGGCUUAAACGAUCCAAAGAAAAACGGUGCUGUAAUACCCCUUACCCGUGUUCCUCGUCGGAACAAAGUAUGAAGUGUCAUUAGAACACAAAUACGAAAAAUUAAUUUUUUUUUUACAAAAAUUUUGACUUAUUCCUCUUUAUAAAUACAUUACCUCACCUACACAUUUUCAGAUCAUAAUCCAACCAAUUCCAAUAUUCCAACCAACAUUUAUAUUCUCAAUUAUAUUCAAGUUAUACACAACACUUUAACUAUCAUCACUAGCAUUGCAUAAAAAUAAUUUAUCAUAUAACAUACACUAACAUUUAAACUAAAUACUUUGUAACAUACAACAUCUACUUAAGCCAUCUAUACAUGUCAUAAUUUAGAAAUGUUGAUUUCAAAAUACCAAAAUAUGUGGAUAGUGUUAAUGAGUUCCCGACUAUUUCCAAAUUCUGAGUUGAACUGGUAACACUAUAAAACAAGGAAAAAGGAAGAGGGGUAAGCAUAUAGCUUAGUAAGCAAGUAUGUGAUUAAUAAACAAAUUUCUAACAUGUUUUCAUAGAUGAUAUAAUUUAAAUCACACAUAAUUUCAUUAUUUGCACAAUUUCCAGCAAGCUGUUUUUAUGCAUCAUAGUCACUAAAUUAUUUUUAUCUGGAGUUACAGGACUCCAAAUAAAUAUACGUAAAUUUCCCUUGAAACUAGACUCAAAUAUAUUAUUUUCAUAAAAUUUUUAUAAUUUUUGGCUUGAUCAAUUAGUACAGUUUAUUAUUUAAAUUCACCCCUAUUUUACUACUCAACAUCACUGACCUCUUUUCACUAAAAAUGAAUUAUCUCAUUGUAUAGAUUUUUAAUGAUAUUUUUGUUUGUUUUCUUUGAAAAUAGACUAAUUCAGGAUUUUAAACAUAUAAAUUAUAACUCAUAAUUAUUUUUUUACAAUUUUUAAUUAUUUUCCAAAGUCAGAAUAGGGGAUUCCGAAACCAAUCCAAAUCUGCAUCACUAAAAUUCAAAUAUCUCAAAAUAUAUUACUCUUUUGCUUGCUCUGUUUAUUUUAUGUAAAAAUAGACUCAUUAAGAUUUUAUUUCAUAUCUUAUUCACUCUCUAAUUCAAUUUCCACCAUUUUUGGUUAUUUUUCAAAGUCACACUACUGUUACUGUCAAAAACAGUUUUGUUGCUAAUUCUACUUUUUCAUAAUUUCACCUUUUUACUUUUAAUCACUAUUCCAUUCAAAAUUCACUUUUCCAUUUUCAAGUCAAUAUUCAAUUUAGUUCCACACAUAUAUGCACUUAUAAAUCACAUAGUCAUUUCAUCAUAUCAUGUAUUUCACUUAAUAAAUUUCUCGUUGAACUUAUCGGACUAAAAAAAUAGAUUUCUCGGUGGCCUGCACACAGUCCGUACCACCUUUGUGUAAUAACAGAUUCUCGGUGGCCUGCACAUAGUCCAUGUCACCCUUGUAUCUUAACAAAUUAUUGGUGGCCUACACAUACUCUGUGCCACCCUUGUGUCACAACAGAAUAUCGGUGGCUUGCACACAGUCCGUGCCACCCUUGUGUCAUAACAGAUUAUCGGUACGGAUAGUAGCCUACACUUAGUUUGUGCCACAUAUGCGACCUAUCAGUCUGGUACACGUAGUGGCCUACACUUAGUCUGUACCACACGUGACCCAAUUACGACCAUUCAUAUCUUUUCUAUUCCGAGUUUCAAACGGAAAUUCUUAUUUUUCAAUCUUUUCCCAAUUCUUCUCUAACCAAUCUUAAUUUAUAAUUUGCAUCAUAAAUUUGUUACACAUAUAACUCAUCUCUUAAAUAAAAUAAUAAGACACUUAAUCAUAAAUAAAACAAUAUAUUAUCUUCAUACAAACUUACCUCGGUGCAAAAUAUUGUAGUUUUUGCAAUUUAAUCCACGAUCUUUUCCUUUCCCCGAUUGAGGUUGACUUCUCUUCUUUCUUGAUCUAUAAUAGAAAUUUUACCUUGUUUAGUAUUCACAUUUAUCAAAAUAGUCCUCAACUCAACUUUUAGGAAAAUUAUGAUUUUGUCCCCAAAUUUUUGCAUAUUUAUGUUUUUGCCCCAAAGCUCGAAAAUUAAAUUUUAUUACUUAUUCUUGCGUUUUAUAACAUGCUGAACAUUUUUCCCUUCUAUAGCAACAUCCAAUUCUCACUCUAACACUUACUUAUGUACAUUAAGUAUUUUUACCGAUUAUGUUAUUUUACUCCGUUUCACUUAAAAUCGACUAGCAAAAAUUGUUUAACAUAAAUUCUAGCUUCAUAUUCUACCAUAAAACAUCAAAAUACAUACAUUUCACAUAUGGGUAAUUUUUCAAAUUUCAACCCUAGCUCGAAAUAGCAGUAGAAAUAGGUAAAUCGAGCUACGAGAAUCUUAAAAAUGCAAAGAACAUUAAAAACUAGGAUAGGAUGUACUUACAAUCAAGCUUGAAAGUGGCCAAAACCCUAGCUAUGGAGACUUAGAAAUAUUCAGCCAAGCAUGGAGAAGAUGGACACAAUUUUUACCUUAUUCUCCCUUUUUAAUUCAUUUAAUUACUAAAUUACUAAAAUGCCCCUAAUUAAAAAAAAUCCCAUUUCACUUUUUUUUCAUGUCCAUUUUUGUCCAUCAACACACUAAUGGGCUAAUUCACAUAAGGACCCCCAAUUUAUAAUUUCAUAACAAUCAAACACCUUUAAUAUAUAGAACUCAACUUUUGCACUUUUUACAAUUUAGUCCUCUUGACCAAAUUGAGUGCUCAAACGUAAAAAUUUUCGAACGAAAUUUUCACGAAAUCUUUCCGUGAAUUUGUAGACCAUAAACAUAUAAUGAUAAUAAUAUUCUCUUUUUUCAGAUUUGUGGUCCCAAAACCACUAUUCCGAUUAGGCCUUAAAUCGGGCUGUUACAGGUGCCUAUAUCAUUUUAGAUUUUUAUGUCCCCUAGGAUUUCACCUCAAGAAAGUUACUAAGUCAAUUAUAAAGAUAUAAACCUUUAUGCAUGUCUAAUCUCAAGAGAAACUAAGUUUUCAUGGCAAACAUUACCUAAGACUAAGAUCAUAAAAACAUUCCAUUUUUCAUGAUAACAUGCAAUCACUCAGAUAAAAUCAUCAUUCAUGCUUGCAUACAAGCUAUCUUAUUAAAAAGAAUUUCUCUAAACAUUUAUUUAUUAAGACAUGUUUGUGAAAGAAUGAUUUGAAACAUACUUGAAAAUUUUAAAAAUUUGAGCAAUUUGCCUUACCCCCUUUAAAAAGAAGCAAUGUCCUCAUUGCGAGAAUAAAGUAAUGAAUGAAAACUGAACACCAGGUAGGGUUGUCAAGAACGAGAGGUGAGUCAUUAAGACUACUUAAAUACCAAGUCUUUCCUAAUAACACAAUCCUAGACAUGUUCAUUCCCAUUGCCACAUCACUUAAUCUUUUUCUUUCUAAAGAAGUAUUUAUUCAUGCUUGUUAUGUUUUAUUUUGCAAAAAUUAAAUCCUAUUUACUAAAGAAAUAAAUUCCUAAAGACCUAAAAAUAAUUAAAUAAAAAACAAGACAAGAAUCCCCCCCUUUUAUUUUUCUGACUUAUUCCCCUUGUCUUUUUUAGCUUCAUCUUCGCUUGCAUCGUCAGUCUCUUACGUCCAUGUCUCAAAGAUAGCAUCUGGGAACUCAGGAAAAAAGGUAUUUGAGAUAUUCUUAAAAGUAUUUCAUAUUGAAUCAUCUCUAAUUUUUUCAUAUUUCCAGUAAGUUUGUUGUUGAUUAUGCAUGAACGUACAUAUCCAUCAAAAUUUAUAACUCUGAUUUCCUUGAAGUACUUGCAGAAGUCGGCAUGGGAUUUGUAUAUUCAGGUUCAACACUUAGCUUGAUUGGUUCUUCUUUUGGCUCAACCUAGGUUCAGGGUUUUCAGCUCCUUCAGCUGGUUGAGGACUAUUUGGUUUCUUAUCAGAUUCUUCUUCUUUAGUGUCUGUAACUGAAUCAGCUUUAGUUUCUGUUUUAUUUGUUCACUCUUCGGUUUCUGCCUCAGUUGGUUCCUCUUGCUCACCUUGGUUCAACUCAUGCACUCUUUCUACCAACCUUUCAAGAUCAUGACUUGUAAUGCACCCUUGGACAUACUACCCCUUCAGAUUUUCUUGUGUUUUAACAUGGGCCCUUAAGCAAAGUGAAGUAAUUAAUGAUGGGAAAUAAGCACUUCCUGCCUUCUUUUUAGCACAAUCAUGAAUCUCCUUGAGGAUAAUUUUCCUAACAUUAAUGGACUUUUCUGUCAAGAUUGCAUAUAACAAGAGCAUUCGUUCCCAUUUGAGAGCAUUGAUUAUCUUUCUAAUUGGCACAGGAACAACCAUCACAUCAUUGCUCUUCAAAUUAAAACCUUUUUUCGGCAUCAUAGGUAGAUGCUUGAAAAUUAAAUCAAAUCACUCUUUCACUUCUUUAUCAACCACAAUCAGGUUUUCAGGAGUUGUUUUUGACGAUCUAGUUCUUUUGCGAGACAUGGUACUUUCCCAAACAUUUGGUAGAGUUUCUGCACAAGAGAGAAAAGAGAAAUCGGCAAAGUUGGUAUAACUUGCUAUGGCAAAAAUCUUGCGACAGUAAGGAUGGUGCGGCGGCGAUCUCUUUGCGACAGCAAUAGGGAAUUUUGGCAAAAAGAAAGGACUAGGGUUUCUUUCGAUAUUUGAGGUUAAUGACACAAAAAAAAAGAUUUAGGGAUUUUUAGGGCGGAAGUAAAUUGCUUUGAGGGAGAUGAAAAUUAGUAGAAUGAAGAGGGCUUUAUAUAGGGAAAAUUAGGGCAACAUGCAAUAAAAAUUUAGCUACCUUAAAGUUACUUGGGCAGCAAGUAAUGGGUGUGACGGCAAGGCCUAGUUUUUUCCCUCUUUUUUUGUUGUCUUGGGCCUCAAACUCAUACUGUAUCUUAAAAAAAAUUGAUUAGUACUUGGGCCAAAUUUGACCCCCCUUUAUUAACACAAAAAUUUAAAAUUUAAACUGAACAAAAUAAAACUUAAAAAUUUUAAUUAGAAAAUUUCUUCUUAACAACUUACAUUAAAUUAAUUCCCAAGAAAGGUUGGAGGGGUCACAGCGGUCCCGCUUAAGUUCCAAUCUCCUUAGACAGAAUUAAUUAAAUGUAAUAAAUUAAGAAAAUAGGAUCUAAUUAUUUAUUUAUUUACACAAUGAGUUCAUGAAAAAUUAAGGGUCUGUUAAGAUGAGUGAGGAUUCAGUUUGCUCAACUUCACCAUCCCAGUAGUGUUUGAGACGUUGACCAUUAACUUUAAACGUACCUCCAUAAUUGUCGUAUAAUUCAAUAGCUCCGUAAGGAUAAACUCGGUAGAUGGUAUAGGGUCCUUUCCAUCGGGAUUUCAGCUUCCCAGGAAAUAACUUCAGCCUUGAAUUAAACAACAACACUUUCUGACCUUCUUUAAACUCGCGAAGUUGUAUAUGAGUAUCAUGCCAUCUUUUUUAUCUUUCUUUACACAUUUUGGCAUUCUUAUUGGAAAACAACCUCAGCUCUUCCAACUCAUCUAAUUGUAACGUCCUUCUCUCACCGGCCUAUUUUAUAUCAAAAUUUAACUGCUUCAAAGCCCAGUGAGCUUUAUUCUCCAACUCUAAUGGCAAAUGACAUGCCUCUCCAAAGACUAACUGAUAAGGAGUUAUUCCUAACUGAGUCUUAAAUACUAUUCGAUAGGCCCAUAAUGCAUCAUCGAGCCUUCGAGACCAAUCUUUUCUACUAGGGUGUACUACCUUUUCAAGGAUACUUUUGAUUUCAUGGUUCACUAUUUCAACUUGUCCAUUAGACUGGAGGUGAUAAGCAGUAGCAAUCUUGUGCUUCACAUCAUAUUUAUCAAGCAACAACUUAAGCCAUUUGUUCACAAAGUGAGAACCUUCAUCACUAAUAAUAGCUAUUGGUGUCCCAAAUCGUGUAAACACAUGCUUAUGUAGGAAUCGCAUGACUACCUUAGGAUCUAACAUCUGAUUCGAAAAAUGGUCCUUCCGAGUGGCUUUGUUCAACUUUUUGUAAUCAAUACAGAUUCUCCAACCGAGAAUAGUUCUCGUCGGAAUUAACUCUUUACGCUCAUUUUCAACAAUCGUGAUUCCACCUUUCUUUGGCACACACUGCACCGGACUUACCCACGAACUAUCUGAAAUAGGAUAGAUGAUUCCUGCAUCUAACAGUUUGAUCACUUCCUUUCUCACAACUUCUUUCAUGAUAGGAUUGAGCCUUCUUUGCCCAUCAAUUCAGGUCUUUCACAUUCUUUUAAAAUGAUUUUAUGCAUGCAAAAAGAAGGGCUUAUACCUCGAAUGUCAGCUAUGGUCCAACCAAUUGCUUUCUUCAACUUCUUUAAAAGAACAAUCAGUUAUUCCUCUUGAUCUUUCGUUAGUUCUGCUGAAAUAAUCACAGGCAAAGUAAAAUAGUCACCUAAAUAAAUAUAUUUCAAAUGGGAAGGAAGUACCUUUAGUUGAAGUGUAGGUUGUUCUUCGAUUGACAACUUGGGUUGCACAAAUUCUCUGACUUCUAACUCUAAUAGUUCAAACCGUGUGGAUUGAAUAAAAUUUCUCGGAUUGGCUUCCAUCAAAGCCAUGUUUUUUCACCUUCUUCAUCCUCCAAAGGGUCAAACUCUAAGGCUUUCUCCAAUGGAUCUUCCUCAAAAUUGCUUUCCAUAGAAACCAAGGUUUCUAUCUCUUCCAUAAUUGAACACCCCUCUAUCGGAUCGAGAAAUUUCAUCACUUUAAGAAUGUUUAAGGUUACCUGAUCAUUUUGAACUCGCAUGGUGAGUUCUCCUUUCUGCACAUCAAUUAAGUAUUUAGAGGAGUUGCUAGGACGACCCUUACGGUAGCUAAGUACUAGAUUUCAUCUAUUGAGAGGAUCUUGGAUAAUUUGUACUAUACCCUAGAACAUAAACUUAAGGGUACAGUGUCUCUUUUGAGAAAUGAGGCAUUUUGUUGGUGGAAAUCUAUCAUGGAAGGUACCAAGCCAAAGAAGAUAACUUUGGAUUAUUUCAAAACUGCCUUUCGUAAAAAAAUAUGGGAUCGAGGUAUGUUGAAGCCCGAAAACUUGAUUUUAUUAAAUUGAAGCAAAGGGACCAAACCGUAUCCGAGUAUGAGGCUGAGUUAUUAAGCCUGAACCGGUAUGCACAAGGGGUGGUAGCUUUAGAGUAGAACAACUGUGUUAGAUUUGAGAAUAGGCUGAGGUAUGACCUCAAGGUCCAAGUUGUCAUAUUGUAGGAGAGAGUCUUCGAGACUUUAGUAGAGAAGGUGAAGAUCCUUGAAGAGGUGAAAUAUGAUAAGCAAGAUAGAAGAGAUAAGACCAAGAAUCUAGUGAAGAGAGAUUUUGGUCUGGGAAAUUCUAAUCCAUGCCCAGUGAAGAGGGUCCGUGAAAAUAGACCAUGUCAGUACCCUGCUAUUGCAAGUAACAGAAAUUAGACCCGCAAUUAUGCUUACUGUGGGAAGUCUCACAAUAGGAAAUGUUGAAAGAGCAAGGGAGCAUGUUCUAGGUGUGGGGCGUGGUAAUAACAAAAUGAUAAUAGUGGGUAGAGGACAAAUGGUCAAUGUACGAACUGUACUAAUGUUAGACAGCCCACCUUGGUUUAUGCAGUAAGGCACCAAGAGGACGGUAAUACGGCUGAUGUUAACGCAGGUACUUUUAUAAUAAAUUUUGUACAAUACUUUGCUUUGAUAGAUAUAGGAUCAACUCAUUCUUAUGUUUCCUGCUCUAUGACUGAUAAAUUGGGAGUUCUAGUGGAAAUUAAUGUUAGCGGCAUAACUGUACUCAGUCCCCUAGGAUAAUUUAUGUAUGUGAAUAAAAUAUUUAGGAGAUGUCCUUUAGAAAUUUAGGGUGAGUUGUUUCCAGCUGACUUGAUGGAGCUGCCAUUCAGUGAAUUUGAUCUUAUUUUGGGCAUGGAUUGGUUGAAGGAGCAUCGAGUUAGCCUUGAUUGUGAUACAAAGUUGGUUACUCUGAGGACUUUAACCAGAAAGGAGAUAGUUAUGAUCUAUAAGCACCAAUAUUACUUGUCCAAUGUGAUCUCUACUUUGGUAGCCGAGAAAUUAGUUCAUAAAGGGUACGAUGCAUAUUUGGCGUACAUUCUGGAUAUGAAAGCUGAUGACUCAAUGUUAGAAAGCAUCUGUGUAGUAAAAGAGUUUCCUGACGUCUUUCUAAAAGACUUGCCCGAUCUACCUCCAAAACGCGAGGUUGAUUUUGGGAUUGAGUUGCUGCCUAGGAUAGCUCCGAUGUUUAUUGCUCCCUACUAAAUGGCACCUAAGAAUCUUAAAGCAUAGUUGCAAGAGUUUUUAGACCAUGGUUUUAUCUUGGGGAGCUCCAGUUCUACUCGUGAGGAAGAAGGAAAAUGGUAUGCAUUGAGUGUUAACUCGGUCUUCCUGGAAUUUUCACAACAUUCGUGUUGACAAAAUGUCUAACCUUUUGCCCCGGUAAAACUUCACUCCUUUAUUUCUCCUUCCUCAACCUACACCUGCCAAAGCACCAAACACAACCCUACCACAAGCAAUUAAAAGUACCUAAUAUUUCAACAAAGUCCAAGCUCCUAAUGGAAUGAUGAAGAUAUGAAUGAAAUGUCCUAAAAUGCAACUAAAUGUACCUUGGUGCAAGUAAUUAGCUAGGCCUUAAAGCAUGAAAUAUAAAUUUUUUCAAGAGUUAUCACACCCUCAAACCUGAGUUAUUACUUUUCCUCAAGCCAAAUACAUAUGAAUGCAUGAAUCCAUAAAUUUUUACCCUUCCAUAUAACUAUCUUAUACUAUUAAUCUAUUAAAAGAACAACAUAUACAUCAGUUCUCAGUAGUCUUCUUUCUCUAAAAGCUUGAUUGAAUGUCAAAGGUUCAUUUCAAAAAAGGUAGUGUAGAAAAUUUGUCCCUAAAAAUAAAAUUUCCUAAAUACUCAUGUAUGCUUUCUGGCCAUAACAAAUAUCUCCUAAUGCACUCAGUUCAUUUGUAACCUAAACUAUAACAGCCUAUUUUUAGUGAAAUCGAGACCACAAAUCCUACGUGAAAAUAUUUAUAUUAUUAUUUUAAUGUCUAUGGCAUGUUAAUAGUGUCAUUUGCAUGCUUAAUUUAGUGAGAAUGGCUAAAUUGUAAAAGGUGUAAAAGUAGAGUUCUAGUAGCUAAAGGUAUCAAAUAGCUAUAGAACUUUAAUGUGAGAGUAAUUAGGUGGUAAUUAGACCAUUUAUGUGGUAGUGGAAAUUUAUGGGUUUGGUUUUAUUAAAAUUAGGGAUAUUUUUAAAGGUUAAAAAUGUAAUUAAGUAAAAAAAGGUUAAUAUAAUAAAAACAAAAGAAAGAAAUAAGAUAUCUUCCUAUCUUCAUCCUUAGCUGAAAUAUUCAAGGGAAACCAUAGCUAGGUUUCAGUCAAGCUAUAUUCACCGGUAUGUAAGUGGUUUUUGUUUCGCUUUAAUGAUUUCUAUGUUUUUGAAGUUGUUGUAGCUUAAUCUAGCUAGCCCAGGGACUAAUUUGCAAAACUAUUAAAGGUUUAAGGUUUUACCAUGAAUUUUCUUACAUGAUUUAAGAAGUUUGAUGAAAUAUUAUGAGUCCUUGUGGUUAAAUAAACAAUUUUUGUAAAGUGAUUUUUGAUGAAUUUGUCAUUUAGGGACUUAUUUGUAAAAGUAGUAAAAUACCAUGAUAAAUUUGUGAAAUGUCGAUUUGUAUGAGGUUGUAUGAGCCCCUAGGCAAAUCAACUAGCAUGAUAUGUGGAUGAAAUUGCAUAAAUGAAAAUUUACGAGCUUAAGGACUAAAUUAUAAAGAAGUUAAAAUAUUAGGGGCAAAAAUGUACAUCUGCAAUAGUAUGAAUUUUGGACUAAAUUGAAUAGUAUGUGUAUUAAAAAUAUUGAAUUUUCUUAUUUAGAUAAAGAUAAACCUUGUACGGAUUUAGAUCGAGGAAAGGCUAAAGUCUCAGAUUAGUGAUCCUAUUUUGACGUCUUUGUAAUCAAGGUAAAUUUGUAUGUUUAAAUAACAUUAUAAUGUUAUUUUGAUAUUUAUGCAUUGUAAUAUAUAUCAUGUAAAGAAAUUAUGAGAAUCCAAUGACGUUACAAUGACUAUCGAGCUCCGUUUGAACCUUAGGAAUAUAUAGGAUACAAAUGAAAUGUCAUUAAGGUUACCAUGUUUCGGAUGUUGGUCUUGACUGUCCUACCAAUGGAUGAGCUCUGGAAUUUUUUGCUGAUAUUCGCCAACUUAUGUGAGUGGCAUUGUGUACCAACAUUCUGAUCGUCAACUUGUGUGAGUAGGCCCAUUUAUGGCUUGAGUGAGCAAUGAUGUAAAGGAAAAGGAAUGGUUUCAACCAUAUGUUUAGCAUAUUUUGUGUGAGCUUCCCGCGUAUCCAAUAUUAUUCUAAGUGGUUCAACGGGUAUGAAAUGGGAAGAAACAGUAAGGGUGAGUUUGGAUGGGCGGUGCGUUUACCUGCGGUUAGUGUAAAAACUGCAGUGGCGGUGAGAUUAGAUACUGUAGCGACACUGUAGCGUGAGACAAAAAGUAAGCUAAACGCACCACACCGCACCCAGUCGCCCAUCCAAACCCAUCAUAAGUGCUCCAUUGACUACGUUAUGAACUUAUGGAAAGGUAUGAAUUGAUAAUGAUCAGAGUAUACAUAGUUAUGUUUAUGGAAAGUAUGAAUUCAAAUGUACUAUGUUCAUGAAAUUUACCUUACCAUGUGAUGCUUUUGUUGAGUUAUGUGUUAAGGCACUAACUUAUGUUGUUGAUGAUGCUUGGGCUUGUGUCAAGCUUAUUUUGGAUUGAUUCAUGUUUAAAUUAUGAGGUUUUGCAUUGAAAUGGUAAGCUAUGUUCAUGAUUUACGAACUUACUAAGCAUUAUAUGCUUACGUAGUUUUCUUUUCUAUGUUUUAUAGAUUAUCGGAAGCUCGUUCGCUUUGGAAGUUCGUCAGAGACCUAUCAUACUAUCCGGCGAUUAUAUCAGUAGAUUUUGAUGUUUUGGUCAAGGUUAGAAUGGCAUGUAUAAAUGAACUUCUGCUUAAUGAUCUAGUUGUUUUGGAAUGUAUAAGUGUUAUUAUGGUUGAUGUACUUAUGGUUUUUUGAUGCCUUGAUGGUUGGUGUUAUUAUGGCCAAGAUGUUGCAUGUUUUGAAUGAUCAAUUUGGUAUGUGAUGGUGUAUUUUCAAUAUGGUCAAUUAAGGUAUGUUUUUAGUUGAAAUAAGUAAAAUGUGUAAGGUUGAUGAAUGGUCAAGCAUGCAUAUUUUUUUGUAGGUUUAAUGGAUUGUAAUUAAGGUGUCUUAUUGGCAUAUUGGUUGCAUGGAUUAUUGGUAUAGAGAUUUGGUCAUUUGAUGUAUGUUUUGGGCAUGUUUUAAGGUCUUGAUUAUUUAUGCAAUUGGCUUGUAGGUACAUGUCUAAAUGGGUGAAAGAAAUGGUUUGAUUUUAGCCAAUUCUUGUCCACACAGCCUAAAAUGCCGGCGUGUGUCUCAGUCUAUUGUGACACGGUCGUGUGUCCCUUGUAGGUAUUAAAGGUUUCAAGUCAGGCAGUUACACGGCCUCGCACACGUCCUGGUACAUAGGCGUGUGAGGCCAUUUCGAGUGUUACAUGGCCUGGCACACGGGCGUGUGGCUUGGUCGUGUGACCUAACUUAGAGAGUUACAUAAGCACGAACACAGGCUGGGACACGGCCGUGUGUCCCUAUUUUGAUUGUUACACAGCCUAAGACAUGGGCGUGUGUCUCAGCUAUGUGAGUCAUAUGGCAGUGUGAACCCUGUAGUUUUGAAUUUUCUAACAUUUUCCUGAUUUAGUCCUGAAUCAUUUCUAAAGUGUUUCUAAGGCCUCGAGGGUUCGAAUAAGGGAUGAUAUGAAUGUCUAUGAGUGGAUUAUGCUAUGAUUAUUGUAAUGUUUGGAAAUGAAUGUUUUUAGGUUAUGUUUAUACAGUAAUGCUCCGUAACCCUAUUCUGGUGAUGGAUACGGGUUAGGAGUGUUACAUUUAGUGAUAUCAGAGCUAUGGUUUAGUUGGUUCUCAGACUGAACGUAGCGAGUACGAGUCUAGAAAUACAUGUCAUUAUAUAACCUGUGAUUGUGUGGUAACUCCUAACUCAAUUUGAACUAUACUUUUAUAUAGAUAAUGUCAUCCAACCAAGUCGAUUCUGAUGAGGCUGAAAGUAUCGCGCAAGCCUCUGUUCAUGUAGCAGCGUUGAGUGGAAGUAGACUUGUAUUUAAGGUAUGGGGAGGAGAGGCUAAGGAAACCUUCUUUCAGAUGAUGAAUGAGUGGUUCACCGAUUUUCUACGAACGAACCCGAUGGCUCAACGACCUCAACCCCUACAUAUUCCCCAACCAAUCCCUAUAGUUCCUCAAGGUUUUGAACCAAUACGAUUGAGCAAGCCUCCAGUUGAUAAAAUCCGCAAAUAUGAGGCUGAAGAGUUUAGAGCUACGUCUAAAAAUGAUCCAGAUAGAAUCGAGUUAUAGUUAGAAAAUACAAUCAGGGUUUUCAACAAAUUAUCUUGUACGCCGGUAAAAUGUGUGAAAUUUUUUGUUUCCUUACUGAAAGACUCAACCUAUCAGUGGUGGAAUACCUUGGUUUCAGUUGUGUCAAGAGAAUGAGUAGACUAGGAAUUCUUUCAAACUGAGUUCUAUAGCAAAUAUGUGAGUCAGAGGUUUCUUGACAAGAAACACAAAGAGUUUCUCAAGCUUAAACAAGGCCAGAUGAUACUAUCUGAGUGAGAGACAGGAUUUGUUUGAUUGAGCAAGUAUGCCCGAGAAUGUAUACUGACUGAGAUUGCCAUGUGUAAACGGUUUGAAGAUUUGCUGAAUGAAGACAUGAAGCUGUUAGUCAGGAUUCUAGAAUUGAAAGAAUUUUUUAUUCUAGUUCACCGAGCACACAAAGCUGAAGAAUUGAGUAAAGCUAAAAGAAAAGUUGAUUUAUGAGGCUUGUGAUUCGAGUAAGAGAUCGGCGGGAAAAUCAUCUCAUUUAUCGUCAAAGAAGUCAAAAGAAUAUCAUAAUCGUUCGUUAGCUUCAGUGGGUCAUUCUGGUAGAGAUCGAAGAAAAUAGCAUGCGAAUUUAAAACCUCAGGCUACUCUAUAUCGAGCCUAGCACACGGACGUGUGAAGCCAUUUUGAGUGUUACACGGCCUGGCACACGAGCCACUGGCUUGGCCAUGUGACCAAACUCAGAGAAUUACACGAGCAUGGACAUGGGCUGGAACACGGCUGUGUGUCCCUAAUUCGAUUGUUAGAUGGCCUGAGACAUAGGCGUGUGUCUCAGCCGUAUGAGUCAUACAGCCGUGUGACCCUUGCAGUUUUGAAUUUUCUAACUUUUUCCACAAUGUUUCAAAUGUUCCUGAUUUAGUCCCGAAAUAUUUCUAAAGUGUUUCUAAGGCCUCGAGGGUUCAAAUAAGGGGCGAUAUAAAUGUCUGUAAGUGGAUUAUGCUAUGAUUAUUGUAAUGUUUGGAAAUGAAUGUUUUUAGGUUAUGUUUAUAUAUUAAUGCUCCAUAACCCUAUUCUGGCGACAGAUACAGCUUAGGAGUGUUACAUAAACUCAAGUUACUUUGCUACCCUUGCUCACAACCUUUUCAAGAUAUUUAUUUGUACUCGUUUUUUCUCUUCUUUAUUAUUAUUAUUUUCUUUUUCUUUUCUUUUUUCUUUUAGCAUGUCACAAAAUUCUUUGACUUGAUAUUCACAAUGGAGCAUACACUAAAUUACCUAGCUCUCAAUCAUGUCAUAAUUUAAAUAUAAAUCACUUGUGAAGCUAAGGUUUUUGACUAAAAAGAUGGAUGAAGUAAACAACUACCUUCUUAGCUACUCAGUCUGUUGCUAUAGUGAAGUACCCAUUUUCUUUAUUACACACUAUUACUUGGACUCACCUUUCUAGUCAACAGCACAGUGGAGCAAAUAAAAUGGUGCUAACUUACUCAACAAUUUUAAGCAUUGGAGUGCCUAUUGUCCUUUAUUUAAGUAAUGUCGUGGCAAAAUGACUGAGUUUGGCUUCAAAAACCCUAAAUUCAUCAAAAAGCCCUUGCUAUUAAUCAAAAAGGGAAAAAAACUAAGUAUAAGACAUCUCAUUUUUAAGAAUUAAUUUUCACGCAAUCUAACCUAAGCUAAACUCGCCUCAUCCACUAUCACAUGUUUUAGAUAUACUGAAGAAUAUAAGCUCAUCAUCGAACAUCACAAGUACAGAUUGAAUUUCUCGCAGAUAAAACAGUAUUUAAUAAUCACAUGGCAUUGGAAAACAACUUAACUAUACUAGGAUGAACAUACAUACUAGAUACGUAAUGCAACCUAAAUGCACAAUACAUCACCCCAAACUUAAGGGAUGCAUUAUCCUCAAUGCAUGAAUAGAUAUAUGCAAACUAUCUAUGUACAGACAAUGUCAUGGCAAAAUAUAUGCAAUGCAAUAUGUCUGAAAUAAAACGAAAACUUUCCUUGCUUGGACUACAUUAUAGAUACUUCAUUAUGUCUGACGAGUUGAUUUAUGAGCAGCAACCUUGUACCUUUACUUCCUCUUCAUCCUCACAGUCAGUCUCAAUACUGACAAACUUUAUUUUCUCUGGUUCUUUCUCUGAUGCUUUAGGUGCAUUCUCUUAAUUGGUAGGAUUUGUCGAUGGGUUCUGCGUCACCGACCCUAUCCCCUCUUGCAGUUUAUUAAACAAAGGAAAUAAAAUAACUAAGAGAAAUUUAAAUCGACAAAAUAAAAUAAAAAUAAAAAGAAUUUUCAAGAUGUUGAAGUUAAACAUCUCAAAGAUCAAAGGACUAUUUGUCUCACUCUACAUAAGCACCCCAAUAGUGUUUCAAGCGUUGUCCAUUAACUUUAAAUGUGUCCCCUAUUUUCAUGUACUUGACAUCAACAACUCCAUGUGGGAUAUAUAUGAGCUACCAAGCAUUAUUCAUCAAAAUUGAAAGGUUUAUUUUGCUCCAGCAAAGUGUAUAAGGGUCUCCGCUCAAAUGAAUCUUUAUCACUAUCAAAACUGAUGUGGCAAUAUAUCAUGAACUCUUCCUCCACUACUGUUUCUAUUAAGUCAAUGGCAUGGCAUUCUUUAUUAUCAUCAAAAUAUUUCAGUGCAUUAAAUAAAUUUAAUGUGACCUAUUGAUCAUUCAUCCUCAUGGUCAAUUCACCUUUCUACACAUCAAUUGAAGUCCUGCCUGUAGCAAGAAAAGGCCUUCCAAGAAUAAUUGGCACAUCUUUGUUAGCUUCACAAUCUAAAAUAAGGAAAUCAGCUGGAAAAAUAAACUUAUCUACUCUUACCAACACAUCUUCAAUUUUACCUUCUGGAUGUGCAUAGGAUCGAUCAGCCAGUUGUAAUGUAACUGUAGUAAGUCUAGUUUUUCCAAUUCCCAGCUUCCUGAAAAUAGACAGCAAUAUUAGAUUUAUACAUACUCCUGAAUCACAUAAUGCAUUACCAACAUAAUGAUUUCCAAUUAAACAUAAAACAGAGAAACUCCCUAAGUCCUUCAACUUUGGAGGUAAUUCAUCAACAUUGUUGUGCACCCUUAAGUGAAAGCAAUAGUCUCAAGUUCUCCCAUUCUGUGCUUCUUCGACAGUAUAUCCUACAUAAAUUUCAUAUAGUUUGGCAUUUGCUCCAAAUCUUCUACUAGUGAUAUAUUAAUAUGUAGUUGCUUCAAGACCUCCAAAAACCUUUUGAACUGAACAUCUUGUUUAGAAUUAUGUAAUUUCUGAGGAAAAGAUAGAGGUGGUCGCCCUUCAGGUUUCUGAUAUUGUUUUCCUAUAGCGUUUUUAUUGGCAGCCUGAUCUAGUUCUGCCACAGCAUUCUUCUGCUUACCCUUUUCAAGUGUAAUAUGUUUUUCAGAUGGCUUUGGGAUCUUCACAUGGUUGUUAUUUGAGUUAUCCUCUCCUGCUGUGGCAUCUUGAACAACAUCAUUUAACUGAGUUCCACUUCUAAGAGUGAUCACUUUGCACUGUUCUUUCCCUUAUGUUAUCCAAUUCUAGGUAUCGUUGGCAAUGCUCCUUGUGGCCUCAAAUUUAAAGCAUUUGCUAUUUGCCCCACUUGAUUCUCAAGAGCUCGUAGGGACAUAGCUUGACUAAGGUAUCUUUCUUGGCCAUAAAUUAUUUCAACAAGUCUUCAAUAGAUGGUGAUGAUAAUGACUGGCCUUGUUGUACAUUUUGCCUCAGCAUAGGAUGAUUAUAACUAGGCGAUGCACUAUCGGCAUUCUUCUUGUAGCAUUGUUAAAAUUCCCCUCACCUUGAUUAUUCCAACUAAAGUUUGGAUGUUGUCCCCACCUUGGAUUAUAGGUGUUGGAAUAGGGAUUAUUAUUCCAAUUGAAAUUACCUAUGUAGCACAGGAAUGUUGGGUUUGGUGGGAAUUCAUCCAACACGUGGUCAUCACCACAAUAAACACAUGCUAGCCUAAUAGCUUUCACCUCCUGAACUGUAGUUGGUAUCUCUAUCAUCUUGAUCAUAUUAGUUAAAGAUGAAACAUGGGUAGUCAAUGAAGUGAUUGUAUCAAGUUCCAUGGUACCAGCAGCUUUCUUACCUGUUCAAACUCUCGUGGUAGGAUAUUGAUAAUCAUUGCUGGCAAUCUUUUCCAAAAUCUCAUAUGCUUCAUUAUAAGAUUUAUCCAACAAAAUACCAUUGGUGAAGGCAUCAAUUACCAUCCUCAUAUGCGCAUUCAUUCCAUUAUAAAAUAACUCCAUCUGUGUCUAGUGCUGAAAUCCAUGCAUCGGGCACUUCUGAAUGAAGUCUUUAAAUCGCUCUCAAGCUUCAUAUAGCGUUUCAUCAUCCAAUUGCCGAAAAGAUGUGAUGUCAUUUCUAAGCUUGGCAUUCAUAUUUGGAGGAUUAUAUCGUAGAAAAAAACUCUAGCAAAGAUCAUUCCAUGAUGCUACUAUUCAGUACGGCAGAGCAUUCAGUCAUGCUCUCACACGAUCUCUUAAAGAAUAUGGAAACAGUUUAAGUCGCAAAGUGUCUUUAGGCACACCCUACUGUCUCUAUGAGUCAUAAACCUCUAAAAAAAGUCUUAAAUGAAGUAUUGGAUCUUUAUUAGGUAAUCCACUUAACUGUCCUACUGUUUACAACAUCUAAAAUAUUACCAGUUUCAGCUCAAACUACUGAACUUGUAUUUGUGGUCUGACUAUCUCUGGAUUCAAAUCAUCCAAAAUUAGCACAACAUGCUCUCAAAUUGGUCUAUCUCGGUCAUCUAUCACUCUACGAACAUGAAGAUUAGCAUCCUGACCAUUCAAAUUAUCAUUGAGACUAGGAUCAUUUUCGUUUCUAGCAUCAUAGUUCUUUUCACCUUCUUCGUAAAGUUAUUUCGAUGUCUGGGUUAAAAGGAUACUCUUUGUUAGCAGGAAUAUCUUUUCUCAUGUACUGAUGGAAAACUUAUAGAAAAAUAUAACUAAGUUAAAUAAAACUAAUGGAGCUAAGUGAAAUAACAAAACCAAUUUUUAGGAAAUUGUCAAUCCCUGGCAACGGUGCCAAAAAAUUGUCGCGUGUGAAUAUGAUAUGUGAAUUGUGCAAGUAUACACGUUGGAUCAACUAAUAAAAUGAUAAGUGAGUAUCAUUCCCAUGAGGUUCCGAUUGAUGCACAAAAGUGGUCAAGUUAUUAUAAUAGAGUGUUAUUAAUGCUAUGGCAAAAACAACGAUAAGUAUAAAGGAGUAGUGAUGUAUGUAAUAUGUGGAAUUUAAUGAAUACAUGGAAAUGUUAUGGAAAAACAAAAGUAGAAAUGUAAUGGAAAUUAUGAGAAUUACUACGGGAAUAUUAUGUAAAUGAACAAAUAAAUAACUAAUAAUGAUGUGACAAAGAUACUAUGGCAAAGAACAAAGGAUAUACGAUGUUGAUUUGGAAUGUUGGAAUUACUAAGAAUCUACCCUUACUGUCAGAGAUGCCUCGAAAAAAUCAUAAUUAAUUUACUACUUAGAAGAGUUCUAAAGUGGUCUGCUUCUUUCGAGAGCAAAAGUCUCAAGUUACCUUACCCAUGACAAUAUGCCUUUAAUACGAUACCCUGCACUAUUUCUUUCUGUAUGAAUGUUGCUCUAUAUCUAAAGUCUACUACAAGCAUCUAUUGAAUACUUGCUCAUAUCAUUCAAUUUUGGUCCAACUAAUCCAACUUUUUCAAAAUUAAAUUAGUUUAUGUGCAUGCUACAUAGUCUCUAUGUCUAGGAAUUGCACGCUUAUAAUUUAGAAAAAAAUAAUUAAAUGAAACAGUAAAUUAAUUCAAAUCUAUGCUUCAACCAUUAAAGAAAAUAAAGGUUUCAUCAUGUAAUCUCAACCCUAUGAAAUUUAGCUCAUGGGUUGGCACAUAAAAUUUAAAACCAAAAUAACAUCCAACACCAUUUUCAUCAUUCCAUUCAAGGAAGAACAAAGGAAGAAAAGUAUAAGACUUUGAGAAUACAACUUUUGCAUGUCAUGUUCACACUCCAACAACAUAAUUCAGGCGAUGGCUAAGAGGGACUACUUUUGUCUUCCUCUUUUUGUCUCUACUCAGUCGCUACCCUCUAUUUUUGCCUAAGGAUCUGUUACUUUUUGUUCGUCAUUUAGGGUUUCCUCCUUUGGCUUCUUAUAGCUUUUUUCCUUGGGUAAAUCCAACAAAUCAUGUUUAUCUUCUCCUCUUUUUAAAAUUUUUUUUCUAGAAUAAAAAUAAACAUCCCAGGAUUAUCUUCUCCUCUUUUAGGUACAUUUUUUUGGUAAAACUACAGUUGGGCUGAAAUUGGUAUGCAUUGAGUGUUGACUCGGUCUUCCUAGAAUUGCCACAGCAUUCGUGCUAACCAAAUGUCCAACCUUUUGCCCUGGUAAACCUUUACUCCUUUAUUUCUCAUUCCUCAACCUGCACCUGCCAAAGCACCAAACACAACCCUACCAUAAGCAAUUAAAAGUAUCUAUUAUUGAUUUUUUUUGGUAAGUGGUAAUAGGACUUGUAACUAAUAUAGUUUUGGAAAAAAUAUAAUUUUUUUAGAAUCUUUGAGGCAUAUUUUCGAUUGGUAAAUGAGGAGUUUUGAAUCAUAAAAUUAUGAUUUUAUGUUCUACCCCAUGAGACCUUUACAACGAGAUAUCAUAUGCUCAAAAUGGUUGAGUGAUGAAUGAGAAAUUGAUGCUCAAAGUAAGCUACUUGGAAAUUAUGUUGAGAAAAAUGAAAAAGCAUUAAUCCCACAUUUAUUAGGAAUCAAGUGUGGAACUUGUAUAUAUAUGUAAAUCAACUUGGUGGUUAUUAAAUGAGUAAACUAAUGCUCUCCCUCGUGCGCAGGGGGUGCAAAUCUAAAUCCACUGAGGUUGGGGCACACCCGCACGACAUGGGCGUUUCCAAGAUUUUACUCAAAUUGAUUUAAAGGCUUCUUUAAUGCAUAUUUGUAUCUUUAUUCAUGGAAAUUUCUAAAAUUCUUCCACAUUGAAUGCUUAUAAAAGCCUAAAUUCUUUAAAGACACACAACGAAUUUAUUUCACUCUCGAAAAUUCUAUUCCUUUUCUCUCCAAAAUUUUCAAAUGUCCGGUGAUAGAAGAAUGCAAGGUUUGUUCGUUGAUCACUGCAGACGUACUACUGCCGCAAUCAUUUUGUUAUUGUAUCCUGGGAGACAGAUGACCAACAUUUCUCUAAGUACCAUAGGAGCAGCUGAAUCUGUCUUAAGGAAACUGUGAAAACAGGCCUCAGCAUCUAGUAAAACUCGAUUUCCUUAUUCAAUUUCUGGUUUUUCAAUAUCUUGUUUAUAUAAUUAUUUUUUAGAUUUGAUGUUUUAAAUAAAUAUUAAUAUUUAUUUAAUUUAUUUUGUUUAGAUCUGGUGUUUUUACACAAAUAUAGAUAUUUGGUUAUAUUAUUUGUUCAAGAUAUUAUAUUUAAUAUAAAUAUUUACAUUUAUAUUUGUUCGCUAACGUGUUUUGUCCAACAAUAUUAAGACAGAUUUUUAUUAUUUUAAAAUUCUCUAAUCCGAGUAGAACGAGGCACGAAGGCGAAAAAAACAUAUUCUGUCUAAGGAAAAAAUUAAAUUGAAUAAAAUCUAUUUCGGGAUUUAUGAUUGUCGUUCAAUAGAUUUUAUUCCUUUUUUAUUUUGUUUCCAAACAAGAAUUAAUUGAAUAAUUCUAUUUCAGAAUUUAUUCUCGCAUCUCAACAGAUUUUAUUCUAUUUUGAUUUUGUUUCCAAACAAUAAUUAAAUAAAUAAUUCUAUUUCGAGAUUUAUUCCCGCCAUUUAACAGAUUUUAUUUGAUUUUGAUUUUGUUUCCAAACAAGAUUUAAUUAAAUAAUUUUGUUUCAAGAUUUAAUCCUGUCGGCCAACAAAAUUGAUUUUAAUUUUAUUUCAGAAUUUUAACUCUUCCAUUUAACAAAAUCAAAGGGUAAUAUAAAUUUUAAAUUAAAUUUUUUAUUUAUUGUGGCUUUAAUUGUGGCUUUAAAUUGUGAAAGCUUAAAUUGUAGCUUCAAACUUGUGACAUCAAAGAAAAAAAAAUUUAUCAACGGUGAAUUAAAAAAGACAAUAUGAGAGUGCAUGUCUAGGAUUGGUUCUUUGAAAGACUUGGUAUUUAAGCGUGCCAAGUGCACCACCUCUCUUUCAGGGUUACCUACCUGGCACAUUUUUUUUGUCUUUCGAUUAGACCGUGUAAACUUUUGUUUCAAGUUUUAUUAAAUUCCUAUCGUCUAGCAAAAGUUGAUAAUUUUUUUCUAAUUUUGGUUUUGUUUCUGAAAUCUUAACAGAAAAUGGAAACUCCCACCAAUGCUAUGGAAGAUAUGGACUUAUGUGCUGUGAUUUUUGGAGUCAACAUGGUUGACUCACAUCCAAGAGAAUAGUGGCUUGAUACUAGUGCCACACGUCAUAUUUGUUGUGACAAAGACUUCUUUUCUGAGUUGGAGCCUUGUGAAGAUAGGGAGAAGCUCUAUAUGGGCAAUGCUAUGACUUCCAAGAUCAAGGAGAAUGGUACUAUAGUCUUGAAGAUGACUUCUGGUAGAGAACUCAAGCUUCAAAAUGUGUUGUAUGUGUUUGACAUACGCAAGAACCUUAUUUCUGAGACACUCCUUAGUGUACACGGUUUUAAGACGGUGUUUGAAUCCCAGAAGCUAGUUUUGUCUAAAGGGUGAAUGUUUGUGGGAAGGGGAUAUGUAUUAAAUGACAUAUGGAAACUUAAAGCAAUCUCUGUAAAAUCAAAAACUAUGAAUAAGAGUGUUGUUUCUUCUUCUAUUUAUAUGCUUGAGUCAUUUAAUUUAUGGCAUGGUAGGCUCGGACAUGUUGAUUAUGAUACUUUACAUAGAUUAAUUAAUUUAGAGCACAUUCCUUCAUUUCACAUUAGUUAUAAACAUAAAUGUGAAACUUUUGUUGAGGAAAAAUUAACAAUGCUUUCGUUUGAAACUAUUGAAAGAAAUAUAGAACCACUCGAUCUAAUACAUAGCAAUGUUUGUGACUUAAUGUUUGUUCAAACCAGAGGAAGGAAUAAAUAUUUUAUUACCUUCAUUAAUGAUAGCACAAAAUAUUGUUAUGUAUAUUUGCUUCAGAGCAAAAACGAAGUUAUAGAGAAAUUUAUUCUCUAUAAACAGGAAGUUGAAACCUAACUUAAUAACUAAGAUGGUAAGAAGUGAUUGUGGUGGUAAAUAUGUUGAACCAUUUAGUGAAUACUGUGCACAACAUGGUAUUAUUCAUGAAGUGACACCACCAUACACUUCUCAAUCAAAUGGAAUAACCGAGCGAAAAAAUCAGACUCUAAAGGAAAUGAUGAACGCAUUACUAGGAAGCUCUGGGUUAUCACAGAACAUGUGGGGGGAAGCUAUUCUAUGAGCUAAUUACCUUUUAAAUAAGGUUCCCUACAAGAAAAUGGACAAUACACCAUAUGAGUUAUGGAAAGGUAGAAAACCUUCCUACAACUACUUGAAACUGUGGGGGUGUCUUGCAAAGGUAAUGGCUCCAUUACCAAAGUAAAUGAAAAUAGGUCUUAAAACGGUGGAUGUAUUUUCAUAGGCUAUGUAGAUCAUAGAAAUACAUAUAGGUUUUUUGUGUAUGAAUCAAAGAAUCCUGACAUUCACAAGAAUAUUAUAUUGGAAUCAAUGAAUUCUUUAUUCUUUAAAAAUAUCUUCCCUUAUAAAGCUAGGGAAGUUUAUUCAAGUUCAACAAAAUGAACUUCAGAGACUAUAGAAGAAAAUAGUCAAGACGAGGUUAAAACUAUGAUAGAGCCAAGAGUAAACGAGUAACACUGCAAAAAUCUUUUGGAUCAGAUUUUCUAACCUUUAUGCUAGAUGCUAAACCUCAAACAUGUGAUGAUGCUAUACGGUCAUCUAAAAGCACUUCAUGGAAAGAUGCUAUUAAAAGUGAAAUUGACUCCAUCAUGUAAAAUCAUACAUGAGAAUUAGUGGAUCUUACUCUAGGAAUUAAACCAUUAAAUUCUAAGUGGAUUUUUAAAUGAAAAAUGAAAGCAGAUGAAACAAUUAACAAGUACAAGGUCAGAUUGGUUAUAAAAGGUUAUAGAUAAAAAAGAAGGCCUACUUUGAUACUUUUUCUCCAAUAUCCAGGAUAACUUCUAUAAGGAUGAUACUUGCAAUUGUCGCCUUAUAGAAUCUAGAAGUACAUCAAAUGGAUGUUAAAACAACUUUCCUAAAUGGAGAUCUUGAUGAAGAAAUUUACAUAGAACAACCUGAGGGUCAUGUAAUUCUAAGACAAGAAAGGAAAGUUUGUAAAUUGGUGAAGUCUUUAUAUGGACUUAAGCAAGCACUAAAACAAUGGCAUUAAAACUGUUCGACAAUGCCAUGAUGACAAAUGGCUUUAAGAUUAAUGAAUGUGAAAAUUGUGUGUAUGUCAAAACUACCGAUAUUGGAUAUAUAAUCCUAUGCUUAUAUAUUGAUGACAUAGUCAUUGUUGGGAGUAACAAUGAAAUGGUAAAACGUGCCACAGACAUGUUAAAUUCAACGUUUGACAUGAAAGAUAUGGGACUAGCAAAUGUGAUUUUAGCAUCCAAAUUAAGAGGUCAUAUGAAGGUCUGAUAUUGACUUAGCCACACUAUGUGGACAAGAUUCUUGGGAAAUUUAGCAAGGAUGAUUCCGGUAUAGCCAAAACUCCAAUAGAUACAAGCCAACAUUUGUCCAAAAAUAAAGGUGAAAGUGUUGACCAAGUGGAAUAUGCAGGGGUCAUAGGCAGUCUAAUGUACCUUAUGAGUUGUACUAGACCAGAUAUUGCUUUCACUGUGAGCAGUUUAAGCAUAUUCACAAGCAAUCCAGGGGAAAACCAAUGGAAAGUAAUUGUGAGGAUACUGAGAUAUCUUAGAUAUACUCGGGACUAUGGAUUGCAUUAUUCCAAAAAUCCUAUUGUUUUAGAAGGAUUCUCCUGUGCCAGUUGGAUAUCUGAUAUUCAAGAUACCAAAGGCACAAGUGGAUAUGUUUUUACAUUAGGAGGAGGAGCUAUGUCAUGGAAAUCCCCAAGACAAACGAUUAUAACCAGAUCCAUAAUAGAAUCUGAGUUUGUAGCUCUAGACAAAUCUGGAGAAAAGGCUAAAUGGCUUCGAAACUUCUUGGAAGAUAUUCCUGACUGGCCAAAGCCUGUGCCCACAAUAUGUAUAUAUUGUAACAAUCAAGCAACAAUUGGUAGAGCACAAAAUGUAAUAUAUAAUGGUAAGUCAAGACAUAUGCGUCGUUGACACAAUACUUGUAGACAACUGAUCUCAAAUGGAGUUAUCUCUAUUGAUUUUGUAAAAUCAAAAGAUAACAUUGUGGAUCCGCUAACUAAAUGCUUAAAUCGAGAUCAGGUUAAUAAAACAUCGAAAGGAAUAGGACUAAAGCCCAUGGAAAUUAAAGGCGCUAUGUAAAGGAAAACCCAACCUAGUUGACUGGAGAUCCCAAAAUCUAAGUUCAAAUGGACAACCUAAUUGCAUAGGCCUUGUGAGGUCACUAUAGGGGUUCUUAUUCCAAGUCCGUUCCUAUGAAAUAAACAGUAAUUUAAAGUGAGAUAGGUUAAGUAAAGCUUUUAAUGACCAUUGUGUGUUUCGGAAAGCCAAGCAACAUAAGUCACCUAUGUUAGAGUGAAGUGGGGCCGCUUCGAGGAGACUAUUGUGCAUAGUUCUCUCAAAAUCUUGCAGAACCAGGAAAUGUUCAUGGUCAUAUAAACAUACCUAUGAGAACGAAGACCUUGCUAGGGAGGUAGUUGUGUAAGGUAUAUCAUUGUUUACACAAACGACAGAACAGUUCAAGGAUAUUGCGUCAACUAGUCAGCUAGUAAAAUAAAUAUACUUUCACAAUGUAAGGUUCAAGGGUUGAUGUCUGCCUAUCAUAUGCAACUAUCAAUCGUAGAAUCUAUCACCACAUCCAGCCAAUGUUUUUCAUUAAACCUAUCAAUUUCAUUCAUGUGGGGUAUUGUUGGAAAAAUAUGAUUUUUUGGAAUCUUUGAGGCAUAUUUUCGAUUGGUAAAUGAGGAGUUUUGAAUCAUAAAAUUAUGAUUUUAUGUUCUACCUCAUGAGACCUUUACAACGGGAUAUCAUAUGCUCAAAAUGGUUGAGUGAUGAAUGAGAAAUUGAUGCUCAAAGUAAGCUACUUGGAAAUUAUGUUGAGAAAAAAUGAAAAAGCAUUAGUCCCACAUUGAUUUGGAAUCAAGUGUGGAACUUUUAUAUAUAUGUAAACCAACUUAGUGGUUAUUGAAUGAGUAAACUAAUGCUCUCCCUCGCGCGCAGGGGGUGCAAAUUCAAACCCAUCGGGGUUGGGAAACACCCGCACGACGUGGGUAACGCGAAAUGUCCGGAUCGAUCAGGCCCUUUUAGGCCUGCGAAUAUUUUAGCCCAAUACGUAUUUAUUUAUUUUUUUGAGCAGAUAUUAUACAGAAUCUGUUUUAAAAGAACAAAUAUCUCAUUUUGAUUUGAUUCCAAUCAAAUUUGAUUUUAUUUUAUUCAAAUUGAUUUAAAGGCUCCCUUAAUGCAGAUUUGUAUCUUUAUUCAUGAAAAUUUCUAAAAUUCCUCCACAUUGAAUGUCUAUAAAAGCCUAAAGAAUAUUGCAGAAUUCUUUAGAGACGCACAACGAAUUUAUUUCACUCUCGAAAAUUCUAUUCAUUUUCUCUCCAAAUUUUUCAAAUGUUUGGUGAUAGAAGAAGGAAAGAUUUAUUUAUUGAUCACUGCAGAAGCACUACUCCCAUGAUCAUUUUGUUGUUGUUUCUUGGGAGACAGACGAUCAACGUUUCUCCAAGUACCAUAGGAGCUGUCGAGUCUAUCUUACGGAAACUGUGAAAACAGGCCUCAACAUCUAGUAAAAUUCGAUUCUCUUAUUCGAUUUCUAAUUUUUCAAGAUCUUGUUUAUUUAAUUAUUUUUUAGAUAUGAUGUUUUAAAUAAAUAUAAAUAUUUAUUUAAUUGAUUUUGUUUAGAUCCGGUGUUUUUACAUAAAUAUAAAUAUUUGUUUAUAUUAUUUGUUCAAAAUCUUGUAUUUAAUAUAAAUAUUUAUAUUUAUAUUUGUUCACUAAGGUGUUUUGUCCAAACUAUAGCUUCUCAAUAAUUGUCAAAUAUUAUAGUGAUAUGCUUUUUCUUUCAAUAAUUCAUAUCUUCAAGAUUAAAAGGUUUACUUUAGUAUUAUUCUAUUUAUUGAGUGUGUAUUAAUGUUUUGUACAGGAAUCCGUUGGAUUUUGGUCUUGUAUAAAUUAGCUGUGGUUGUGGGUAAAUAAAUGUGUGCCGUUCUUCAUUCUCCGAACAUGCUGAAUAUAAUUAUUGGCAUUUCAAGUGUGGCAUAAUAUAAAACAAUGGUUGGCUUCAUCAUAAUCUGUUUGGAGACUAACGGACCACACUUUGACCUCCAAAUUUAGAAAAUAUUUCCAGAGUUGGAAAUUGUAAUUGUAAUACCCUAAUAUUUGUACACCGCAGUGAACAUGGACAAUCAUGUCAUGAUGCAGAACCAGAAAAUGGUGCCAACUCUCCUUCUUCUCCCCCUCUUUCUUCCAAAACUAUAUCCUCGAAAAUGGUGACAUCAAACUUCCUUUCGUUUAUCAAAGGUUCACCCCUCACAUUACAGGGUCCUGUUCGUAUCUCAAGGCAAUCAAACAUGGAAUCCAUAUAUAUGAUUCUUCCCCAAUCCUUGUUGUAGAUUCUUUGGGGAUACAAGCCUUUUUGUUUGUAUUUAAAUACAAAAAAGGGAGAAAGAAAAGUGCCAUCUACAACUGCAUGCUAAUGAUUGCCAAAAUCACUGUUUGUUUUGUUGGAAGGCUUUCAAUCUUGCGGGGUCUUGAAGAGCCUGUUUCAGUAACUUGCCAUUAAUUCUCUCUUACAUUCCAAUCCUAAAAAAUGCUUCCAUCUUUUAGCUGCAACAGUUUAUAAUCAUCAGAAAGGUCUAGUCAGAAUAAUAUUACCUUCUCCUUUUAAACAGUUUUUUUUUUUUAAAUCAUGCCACUACAACUGUAGCUGCGCUCAUGUUAACAAUUAAUUCCUAUAAUCGACAUCAAAAUUAUAUGAAAGAAUUAACACUUGGUUACCGAGUUACCAUAUUUGAAGAUAACGCGAAAGGUAAAAACACAAAAGGCAAGCAUGACCAAGCAAACAAGGUAUGGACAUUGAUUUUUUUGAAUCGGGAAUGACCAAAUGGGACCGUGAAGAGGUGACAAAGGAGAAAUCAGGCAUUCACGGUUUCCAUUGGAUGAAAUGAGAUAAGAUCACUGUGCUUCUUCCACGUGGCAGGUUGCCAAAGAUAAGGCUUUACCAUUCAAGAAAAGUUUCCACCCUCUUUGUGGUCAUUAUGGUUGUAAUGUCAUCUGAUUUAGGAUCCAACGGUCACCCUGUCUCCCAAACCAAUCUCUAAAUGUGGUGAGCUUAGACCAAAUUUUAUGACUAUAUAUAGGGGAUUGCACCAAGGCAGUGACACUAUUAAGGGAUCAGUGAGACUCUUUUGUAUACCUGUAGCAUAUAGUAAUAGUAAGCAGUAAUAGCAAUGGCCUCCUCCAUGAUCUCAUCGGCAACCAUUGCCACCGUGAACCGCUCCUCCCCGGCACAGGCCAACAUGGUGGCCCCCUUCACCGGCCUCAAAUCUGCCUCUGCUUUCCCAGUCACCAGGAAGGCCAACAACGACAUCACUUCUCUUGCAAGCAACGGUGGGAGAGUGCAAUGCAUGCAGGUACUUGGUGAUGCAUAAAUACCACUUAAAUUACCCCAAGUGUUUGAACACAACAAAUUACAUAAAUUGAAUCAAAUAUAUAUCUUGGCUUUUGAGUACAGGUGUGGCCGCCUCUUGGGAAGAAGAAGUUCGAGACUCUCUCAUACCUGCCCGAUCUUACUCCCGUACAGUUGGCUAAGGAAGUAGAUUACCUUCUUCGCUCUAAAUGGAUUCCUUGCUUGGAAUUCGAAUUAGAGGUGUUUUGGAGCUCUAAAUUAUUCCAUUCCUCCUCUUAAUUUUUUUAGUGGGAUAUUUGAGUUGAUUAAGUGUGUUUUAUAUGUAUGUGCAGGAGGGAUUCGUGCACCGUAAGUACUCGAGCUUACCCACGUACUACGAUGGACGCUACUGGACCAUGUGGAAACUGCCCAUGUUCGGGUGCACCGACUCGGCUCAGGUGUUGAAGGAGCUUGAGGAAUGCAAGAAGGAAUACCCCAAUGCAUUCAUUAGAAUCAUUGGGUUCGACAACGUUCGUCAAGUGCAGUGCAUUAGUUUCAUUGCCUACAAGCCUGAAGGCUACUAAGUUGUUUACUUCCCUCCUAGGAAUUCCAUUUGUUUCAAAGUUGUACUUAAAUUAAGCCCCUCAAGCCCCCCCCCCCUUUUUCUUUUUCUUUUUUAGUUGAGUUAUUUGGCUUGGGGUCUCUCUUUGUUUUGUUUUUGGAUUUCCAAUGGAACGGCUGAGAACUAAUGAAUAAAAAGGUAGUUUCUUGCCAUAUUUCAUGAAUCCAGUUCUUCCUCCAUUUUCAGUGCUAAGAUAUUCAUGUUAAGAUAGGAUAAAAAUUAAAAGAAAAAAAGGUGAUUGGGUGGUCUGGCUUUAAAAUAAGAGGAUAAAGAUUUUGUGGACAAGCAACGCUGUGCUGUUGGAGGCUCAUUAUCUUAGUACAUAGGAAUACACCAAAGAAACCAUUUUUAUUAAAUUGUUUUAUUAUGACAUCACAAGUUUCUAUUAUUAAAAUAACAACUUAAAAAGGCUAAAUUCAAAUAUAUAUAUAUAUAUUCUGCAUUCAAUCUAUUUCCUCGUUAAAUAUUAAAAUCACUAUUGGUAUAGUGAUAAAUGAUUUGCAUUACAUAAGUUUUAGUUGACAUCUUCGAGCUUAAUUUAAAAAUAAUAAUAAUAAAUUUAAUACAUAAUAUAUUUUUAUUUUAUCAUUUUCACCCUAAAUUUUUUUUAAAGUCAAAUAAUAGUUUGUUUUGAAUAGAAAAAUUGAAGAAACUAUUAAAUUUUUAAUAACACCAUGUGACAAUUUAUAUGACAGUUUACAUAUAUUUCAUUAUUUAUGUAGAUAAUUUUUUAAAAGAAAUUACAAUUUUUUUAAAAAUAUUAUUUUUAAUUUUAUAAAUUACAUCAUGCAAACUAUUGCAUCAAUGCCAUUUAAAUUUAAAAGAUGUAGUCACUUUUUCCAUCUAAAAAAAGCAAUUUAACUAAUUUUCAAGGUUGACGGUAAAAUAUCCAAAAAAAAUAAAAUAAAACUAAAAUACUAAAAAAGUAUUGAAUUUAUUAUUAUUUUAAAAAUAAUGAUUAUGAUUUUCUUUAUUAGUUUUUAACCCAACAUGGAAAAGGAAAACCAUAAUAAUGCUUAUUAAUUAUAAUAUUGAAUAAUACUAGUAGCUCUAUGUUCUUAAACUCAAUUUCAUUACAAAAAUUGUAACUCAAAGGGUUAGGAUUUUUUGUUUUCUAAUUUGUGAUUAAUUAGUGGACUAUAAUUUCCAUUCUCUUUUUUAUAUAAAAAAAACCCUAAUAUUAAGGAUAGCUACAUUUGUGGAGGAACCAAAAGAUAGAGAAAUUCAGAUAAGAAUUGUCUCCCUCUCCCUCUCAGUCGAAGUGCGUCAAUAAUUGGAAUAGAGCUCUAAAAAUGCAAUUCUAGAAAAAAAAAUUUGCCUAUCAGAUAUUAGUUUAAAUAUUGGUUAAAUUGCAAUUCGAAUAAGUAAUUAGGAGUAGAAAAUAUAAAAAAUGACACUAACGUAAUUCAAAAAAUUUCACCAUGUAUAAGGUUUUGCUCAAAAAUUGACAUUAAAAAUUUGUUCGCACGGUUCAAAAAAAAUUUCCAUUUAUAAGGUCUUACUUAAACAUUAAAAUAUAAUUUAAAUUAAACUCACUCUCAUUAAAUUUUUUUUAAAAAAAAGCUUAGUUAUAAACUAAUCGAUAAAAAUAUAUUACUUACAAAGAAUUUACACUCAGAUAGAUUUCUAAUAUAAACAGAAUAAAUACUCUCUCAACUCCUCUAAAAAAAUCGAAAAUACAUUUAAAUAGGCAUUAUGGUAAUUUUUAAAAUGGUAAUGUGAUCAAAAUGAAUAUGGGAAAUCUCAUUUCAAUUAAAUAACUUAUUAUAAAAUAUAAUAAAAGAGAUUUUCUUAAAUCAAUCUCUUUUAAAUGAGGUAGGCAUAUUACAUAAAGAUUCUUUGAAAUUUUUCACUUCAUUCAAUUUUUUUCAAUAUUGUAAUUUACUUAAAAAUAUAUAAAUAUAUACAUGUUAAGUAAAUUAUAAUAUUUUGUCGACUUUUGGCCUUUCCUUAAGUCGCAACUAACAUUAUAACUGAUGUUAACAAAAUUCAUAAUUGUUUCUCUACCAUGUGUAGCCUAAAAAUGUUAAGAUUAGAGAAGCAAUACGUAAAAGAUAAAGAAAAGAACCAUAAAAGUCAUUGUUUUUUUUUUUAAUUUUAAGAUAUGUUUUAAAAAAAAAAAGAAAUUAAAGUAUUUAUUCUGUUAAAUUGGAUAGUAAUUAUCUAAAAUUUUAAAAUACACACUAAAACAUUCUCAAUCAUUAAAAUUUUUUAUUUAUAUCUUACGGCCUGUUUAGUAUUACUUCUCAGAAGUAUUUUUUAAGAUAAAAUGUAUUUUUGAGAUAAAAUAUAUUUUAAAAAAGUACUUUCUUUACCAAAAGUAAGAGGAAAUUUAAACUUUAACUCAAAAAUACUUUUUAACCCAAAGCGCUUUUAAAAAAUAUUACUAAAUUAUCUCUUGUAAGUACAAAAAAAAAUAUAUCAAAUUUGAAAAUAUAUAUAUUUCGCAGGUUACUGAAAUAUCUUAAAUAUUUGAGAAAAACCAACCAGAAUAAAUCCAUCCAAUGGAAUACUGAGAAAAAAUAAAAUAAUAGUUGUAAGAAAAUGAGUGGCGUCACAUUUACACUAAUGGUUUCCCAAGUGGUACAUGAGAAGUUUUUAAGGCUCCUAUAAAUUUAUUUUCGGGACCAUAAACGUAGACCUACCAAUAAUUGCAUUUGUUUUCUUUUUAUACUUUUAUAACUCAUAAUAUUGUAUAUUUAUAUAAAUCCCAAUUUUUUCACUCAUAUAAAAUAUAGUGUUAAAUUCGAAUGAAAAAAGAUGUUAAAUUUGUGUUGGGUAAAAAUAUAAGAAUUUUAUGUUAUUUGCAAAAUAUUCCGUGGUAUUUAUGUUAGAACCGUAAAUAAUAUCUAAUAUAAAUUAAAAUUGUAAAUUAGGAUCUGUCAUGUCAAAUUAUUAAGAAUAUAAAUCAAGAAAAAAAUUAGAUGCGGGAGCAUACUUAAAUUUACCGAUUUCUUGAAAUCUACGGAUCUUGGAGUUUUGAUCUUCCAAAUUAGCAUAUAAGUAAUCUAAAGAAUGUGACUCUCUUUUGGCAUAAACAAAAACACCAAAGCAAUUCACGCAUAUACGUGUAUUCAAAAUCAGAUAGAAAAAACUUAUCAUGCAUAUAUAAUGUAAAUCUAAAAUUGUAUUAAUGAUUAAACAGAGAUUUGCAUGAAUACUUGAAAAAUACAUUCAAGCUAAUAAAUCUCAAAAAAUAAAAUCAUAAUAGUUAAUAUAUCCCAUAGUUCAUAUUGUAGACCAUAUCAACAUAAUUUAACUAAAUAUUUGGAACCAUAAAAUGCCAAAACCUAAUGUUGUAGAACCAACCUUAAAACCAAAUUAUUUAAACAUGUACAUAGUUUACAUGAAUUUGCAUCAAACACCUGUCAAAUUGAAUAUAUAACCAUAACAGAUAAAAAAAAUUAACAACGUCAACGAUAUCCAUCAAAACUUAAUGUCACCAAUUAAUCUAUAAAAUGUAUCUUAUUGAAUAAUGGUUAUAAACACCUAUCCACGCAAACUAUAAUCAUGUAUUAAUCCUCAAAAUCAUUGAUAUGCAUAAUAUAUAUACAAUAUAAUAAUAGAAAAAUAAUACUGGCUUGCCUUACAUAUUUUAUGUAAACUCAAAUUUAUAUAUAAAACUUAUUUAUACGCACAAACACUUAAAAAAAUCCAUAACCACCAAAUAUAAAAACAAUCCCAAAUUAUAUAAAGGCCUUCAGCGCAACUACUUAUAAAAAUUUAUAGCCACCAUAAAAAAAACCCAAAUAUUGUAAUUUUAGUCGGGUUCCAUAAGAAACUUAUAUAAAAUAAUUAUAACAGAAACCAAGUAAUCAUUCGUAUAUAUGAAUUGAAUUCAAUCGUGAAUAUAAUUCAUCAUGAAUAAAGACAAAAGAUGAUAAUUCCAUAUACAUUUAACCACAAAUAGAAAAUUUAAAAUAAAUACUGCAGAAAAAAAUAUCUUAACAACAUUUAUUUAUUCGAUUAUCAAGUGAAUUACUAUUCAAAACCAAUUAUAUAACCCAAUUGAAAUUCUUCAAUUGCAAAAAGUUGUAAGUCUGUAACUUUAAUCUAAUAAUAACUUUAACCAAAAUUUAUAAAAUAAGUGUGCGAAAAGGAGAGAAAGAAAUCUCACAAAUCUAUUUUUAUCAAUUGAUUAUAAAUAAAUAAAUAAACCUUCAUCUUUCGAAUAACAUACGCAAAUAUUAAACUAGAUUAUAUUUAUAAAACCCUAAACUUUAUUUAAAGAAUCAAAACCCAAAAAUUUUAUUAAGAAUCUCAAAGAUUUAACAUAGUAUAUAAUUAAAAUAUCAAAUCCAUAAAUUUAAAAAAGAAAAAUGAAUCAAUCCAAAAAUAAUAAAGAAUCAAUUCAUUCCCUAUUAUUCAACAUGACAAGCUCUAAUGCCACUUGUUAGAACCGUAAAUAAUAGCUAAUAUAAAAUUAGAACUAUAAACCAGGAUCUGUCAUGUCAAAUCAUAAGAAUAAAUCAAGAACAAAAUUAGAUGCGGAAGCAUAGCUGAAUUCAUCGAUUUCUUGAAAUCUACGGAACUUGGGGUUUUGGUCUUCCAAAUUAGCACACAAAUAAUCUAGAGAAUAUGGUUCUCCCUUUUCUAAAGAUGGGAUAUUAGAAAUGUUACAUUGUAUGUAAUUUGGAAACCAUAACCAUAAUAUAUAUAUAUAACUUUGGCACAUUAGCCCUAAUUUCUAAUCAACUCAUCAUCAAUUAAAAAUUAAUUACUAGAGUAUCUACACAUAUUUGACCCAUAUUUUUUUUAAUAAUUAAAGCCCAAUAAACCGUAACCAAAUUAAAUCACUUUUAAUUUAAACUAACCUAUUAAAAUAAUAAAUAAUAACAUGUAAUUACCAUUAUUAUUAUAUAUAAUAAUAUAUAAUACUAUUAUUAUUAUAUAUGUAAUGUCCAGAUUUCUAUCUAUUUAUAUAAAUCUCUCCUAAAUUAUGCUUUCACGAACUUGUAAGAGUCAAAACUGUCGAAAGCUACUUAUGGGGUGUGGCUGUAUAAUAGAUCGAUCAAGGUAGUGCUGAGCGAGUUUUUGUUUUUGUUUUUGUUUUUCUUAUAUAUAUACUCUAUACAGUUAGGUUGAUACACACGUGGAAGGAAUAUGUUAGAAAAAUUAAAUACUAAAAUAAGAAAUAAAAUAAUGGUUUAAAACAUGUAAAACAUUUUUCUUAAAACUUUAAAAUAUUUUUAAAUUACAUCAGCACUUCAAGUAAAAUAAUAAAAAUAUUAAUAAAAAUCCAUUUAUAUAAACAUCCAAUAGGUGAUAUAUCCUUUCAUAAGGAUAUAUAUUUUAAUGAAACACCCUUUUAUAAGAUUAUAUUGUUUUAUAAUAUAACUUUACAUAAAAUUAUAAUUUUAUUAGAUAAUUUUAUAUAUAAAAAUUUUAUCUUUACAAUACAAUUAUUUGAUAAAUAAUUAUAAUUUUUUUACAUAAUAAAAUAUUAUUACUACCAAUAUUAUAAACUAUUGCAAAAAGGAUACUCACACUAUAUAUUAGACCUGUCCAUGGGCCGGGCCGGGCCCAGAAAAAUUUUUGGCCCGCCUCUUAGGCCCGGGCCCGGCCCGAAAUAUGGACAUGAAAUUUUGCCCAGACCCGGCCCGAGAAAAAUAUCAUAAGUCCGAGCCCGGCUCGGCCCGGCCUAUUUUUAAUAAACAUUAAAAAAUUAUUUUAAAAAUAAAAAAUAAAAAAAAUUUAAAAGUAUUUUAAAAUUAAAAAAUAAAAAUAAAAAAUAUAUAUUUAUUAUAUUCGGGCCGGGUCGGGCCGGGCCGGGACCAAAAAAGUGAUGCCCGAGACCUUACCCGUUUUUUAAACGGGCCUUAUUUUUUUACUCAAGCCCAUAUUUCGGGCGGGGCAUUGGGUCGGGCCGGGCAUGGACAGGUCUACUAUAUAUGCACACCCUCCGUUCAAAGAGUGUUAUCUAAAUAAAAAUUUACCCAAUUCUUUAAAUCUAAAAAAUUAUAUAAAUCAAUAUCUUUUAACCACUAAACAAAACAUAAAAGUUAACGGUGGACAGUGAAUUGAGUUGAUUAUAUUUAGAACAUCACAUCACAGCCACAUCAGCUUCCAAAAUAAUAUGAAAAAGAGUUAUCCAAAUGUGAAGCUACCAAUGUCCCGACUCUUAGCUGCUUCAACCAUUCCAUUACUAUCUCCCAACCACCCUGCCUUUGCCUCCCCUUUCUUUAUUGAUCUCGUUCGCUCGCUUAAAUUUUAAUCCUACUUUUAAUUUUAUAUUUAUUAUAUUAAAAAUUCCAUUGAAAAAUAUUUCAAUAAUUAAUUGAGUUCUCAAAUAGGAUAAUACUCAAUUGAGUUUUUAAUUAAAUUUAACUACUCAAUCGAAUCCUCAAUCGAAUUUAAGCAAUUAAUUAAAUUCUCAUCUUUUAACAUUGUUAACUUGUCAAUGACUUCAUCACGUGUUAUGCCAGGGUUGUGCCCCGUAACGAAAUUUGGUAAUUUUUAUUAUAUUUAUUUUAAAAAUAAUAAAAAAUUUAAAAAAAUAAAAAAAGGCAUUUAAAAUUUUAGAACAUUAAAAGAAAAAUUAGACUUUAAAAAAAUUAUUAAAAAUUAUAAAAAUAGAAUUCAUUAAAAAGCAUAAUUUUUUUUGAAAUUUUAGAAAAAAAUUUAGAAAAAUAGAAUUUAGAAAAAUUAUAAAAAAAUCAUAAAAAAAUUGUAAAUAUAAUUUUUAAAAAUUAUAAAAAAUGGAAAUAUUAAAAUAUUAAAAAUAAUAGAAAUCAUUUAGAAAAUAAAAUAUAAAAUAUUUAAAAAUUAUAAAAAAAUUUAAAAAAUUAGAUAUUUUAGAAUUUUUUAUGCUUUUUAAUGAUUUUAUAAAAAAAACAUUUUUUAAUAAUUUUUAUAAAUUGUAUAUUUUUAAAAGUUUCAAAAAAUUUAGAUUUUUAAAAAUAUUUUUUUAUGAUUUUUUAUAAAAAAUUAAAUUACCAAAUUUCGCUACGUGGCACAACUCUAUUGUGCCACAUGAGGGAGUUAAUGUUGUGUAGGGGCUUCCACAGAAAGUGUUGAUUUGAAUGAUUAAUUGAGUGCUUAAGUUUGAUUAAGGACUCAAUUGAGUGUUGCUUUUGAUUGAGAACUCAAUUGUUUAUUGAAUUAUUUUCAAGUGACUUUUUUAUAUAAUAAGUAUUGUGGGGUGUGCCUCGCAUUUAUCGGAUAGUUUACAGACACUUACCAAAGUCAGCCAGCAAUGUCACGACGAGAAGCUUCUCGAAGUUGCGAUGACGGACGACAUUAUGAUGAUGUAAAUGAGGACGUUGCGAUGUGACAACGUGUUUCCCACAAACAUCGAAUUUCUUUUCCUAAUUAAACUAUGUUAUCUUUUCCCAGUCGAACUCUAAUUACUCUAGGGAUAUUUUAGUAAUAUUAUGACUUUAAUAUUAGCCUAUUUAAAUGGUUUUUGUAACCCUAUUUUAGAGAGUUAAUAUAGAAUAUCUCUUAUGUGAGAUUUGAUGAAGAGUUUUGGGGAGAGUUUUGGAAAGAGCUUUGUAUUUAGGUUUUUGAGUUUUGCUCUUUUAGGAUUAUUUUCUUUAUCUUGUACUCUCGUAUGUUUACUCAUCUAGUGAAAAGUUGAAGUCUCAUUUGCCCCUGUCCUUUUUAUCCUCUUAACUGAGGGUUUUCCACGUAAAUAUUUGUAUGUUUGAUCUUCUCUAUUUUCUUGUUCGUUGCUUAUAUGGGUCGAUCCUCAACAAACUAGUAUCAGAGCUAGGUUAUGUUUUUGCAAUCGACCCGUUCAAGUAUAAUGACAACGAUUUUGAUAUUGAAAAGUUCAAUGAAAUCAUAGAUUUCAUAUUGUAACAGUUUCGGAUAAAGUAAAGUGUUUAAAGCAAGGUUGGUUGCAAAGGGUGACAAUCAAGUGGAGGGAGUUGAUUUCCUCAAUGCUUUCUCUAUUGUUGUGAAGCACACAUCCGUUCAGGUAUCAUUGGCAUUGGUUGCAUUAUACAACCUUGAUUUGAAGACUAGGAGUCUUUCGGUUUCCAAGUUCGAGAACGGUUUGGGCUUGGUUGACAUUCUGCAAAGAUCAAGUUCUGCUUGUGGCGGGACCUGGAGAAUAAGGUACGGUAAAUACGAGUCAAGGUGAAGAUUUGUAGGGUGUGUCUCGUAUUUAUUGGAUAAUUUGUAGGCACUUACCAAAGUCAGCUGACGACGUCACGAUGAGAAGCUUCCAAACGUUGUGACGAUGAACGACUUCAUGACGACGCAAAUGAUGAUGUUGUGACAUGGCGACAUGUUUCCCACAAACACCGAGUUUCUUCUCUUAAUUAAACUCUGUUAUCUUUUCCUAGUCAAAAUUUAAUUACUUCUGGGAUAUUUUAGUCGUUUCAACCUUUUAAACUUAGUCUAUUUAAAGGGGUCAUUGUAUCCCUAUUUUAGAAAGGCAAUUAAAGAUGUAGUACUAUAGAACUUUUCUUUUGGGGACGACAAUAUGAGUUGCAAAUGAGUUUUAGUGAGAGUUUUCGUAGUAACUAUGGAGAGAAUUUAGUUCCCAAGUUAAGACUUUGUUUUCAAGGUUUGGGUCUGUACAUUUAAUACAUUUAGGUUUAUUUUCUUCAUCUUAUACCCUCGUUUGUUUACUCAUCUAGUAAAAAGUCGAAGCCUCCUUUGCCCGUGAUUUUUAUCCUCUUAAAUGAGGGUUUUCCACGUAAAUAUUUAUGUGUUCGAUCUUCUAUAACUUUUCUAUUUCGAUAUUUAUACAAGUCAAUCUCUAACAAAUAUUAAUUCUAGGAAUUUAAUAAUUGAAAAUCAAUUAAAAAUAUCAUUAAAAGAAUGUGAGAUAUAUAACAUUUUAAAAAUACUCAUGUAUCUAAUAUUGCAAACAUAAAUAAGCAAAAAAACAUUAAAUGUGGAGUUAUAAGGUUUCGAUUCUAAAUUAAAGAUGAUAAGUUUCUUCAGACUCUUUCAACGAAAGAGAUUAAAAGUUUAUUAUUUAUUUAUUUAUUUAUUUUGCUUACAUGAUUUCUACGCUUCUUUCAACCAGCCAAAUGAACCAUUUUCAUUUUAAAAAUGGCAUGUUAUCUAAUUUAAUGAAAUUCCUUAACCGCCUUAUUAACUGAAUUUUAAUUAUUAAAUUUUAAAAAAUAGAAUGAGUAAUUUAAAAAAAAAAAGCACUAAAUUUCAAAAGUAUAAUUAAACUAAAAAGUGACAAAAAAUCAUGUUCAAUCAUAGCUGCUGCUAUAAGGGAUUCGGAAGGUUUUGCAAUGGGUUCUUGUGUAGCUGCUAAGGUCAAAACCAGUCAUGAAGCAAAUGGGAAUUGCUCUCCCAGUGGGAAUUACAGAGGGGAUGUGCAUGCAAUGACCAUCAUCAGGAACCAUGUCGGUUGCUAUCAUAUGAUAAAACAUAAAUAUGAUGCUCAAUACGUCAUAGGAAGAAAAUUUGACAAUUAUUGAAUCAUAAAUUACAGAACAAAAUUCAAUUACCAAUAGGAUCUAUACACAAUUUCCCUUGCUCUUCUCCAUGGUGAUUUACAAAAUCAAAAUAUCAAAUCAUUUAUAUUACGAUUCAUCAUCAUUUGCUCAAUCCCCUGAAAAUUCAAUCCUUUCACAUUGCCUUCCCUUCCAUCCCAGCAAUCAAAUAGAUUUUACCAGACCAAAAACCACAUCAUAUAUACACUAGUACACACAAGUUAAUCUCUUUCUCCCCAAAAAUAAUCCAUAUUUCCCUAAUUCAUCCCUACUUUGUCCUCCCGGACGGUGGCCUUCUAUGUACACUGUAGAUCUAAGCCAUAGCAGGGAUUCUGGAAUUUUGGCUAUCCCUGUUAAGGCAAUCAAAUCCUUCUACUCUAAUUGCCGCUGGUUUUAGCCCAAACGACAUCCUAACACAUCCCCCUUUAUGUGCCGAUGGCGACGGAGAUGGACUUUGCGAUGCUGAAAGGGCUGCAACUCUUUCGUCACCAAAUCGAGCAUCUUGCACAACUGGGUUCGUGGCCCUACUUGGGGGCGAACCACAAAAAAAUGGGGGUGAAGAUGCUACCUGUGCUGCAGAUUGCUCUGCCCAUAAAUCACCCUACAAAAACCGAAACAAAACAACACGAUAAAACAAGUCCAUCCUAGAAACAAAAACAUUAACACACAUAACUCAAACCUCAGAAAUGCAAACAUCCUAUAUUACUCCAAAUUGGAAGUAAAAAUAUAUCCGACUUUUAGAAGCAUUUUCAUAUAGUCGUUUAUUCGGAUAGAAGUGCAAGACGCAAAUACUUUUAAGAACCAUAGCAACUAUCAAAAAGCAAUAUGUAUAUAACAUUAGUAUUUUCACUUCUUUAAAAUACUUAAGAUUCAGUGAUUACCUUGUUGAGGAUGAUAUCUAGAAGUUCUGCACUGGCUUUCGAUUCACUUACAUCGGCUUGGUGACUGGAAUUGAAACCCAAAAAUCAAAAUUAAUAAAAGCAAGCAAAUCAAAUCAACCAAAAUUCCAAUUAGAGAAAAGGGGGAAAAACCCAAAGGACAGAGAAAAGAAAAAUAAUACCUCAUAUGCAAUCUAAAAGGCUUGAUAGGGUUAUUGGUGAGAACCCCAAUUCGCCGAGGCUUAGGGCAAACAACGGGGCCGGCCCUAUGAUGCUCCGAUAUUGAAGAGAUAAACCCUCCCAUCUCCUCAUAAGCGGAAACGGCAAUGGGAUUCUGCUGAAGAUUGUAGUGAUUCAUCUUCCUCAAAAAUCUAACAUUCAAAUAAUUAAUUACAAAAAAGAAGUCAACAACCAGAUCUAAGAAAAAUGAUUCAAUUAAGACAUAGAAACAGACAAUUUAUAUUUUUUUCCCCCUUUAGUUUCCUUCAUUUUCACAGAAUCCCAAAAAAAAAAAAGGUCAAACCCAAAAAGGAAAACAUAAAUAGAAACACAGAUCUAGGCCCAGACCUUAAAAUCAGUGAUCACGGGUUGCUGUGGAGGUAAAACUGUAAUAAAUUUAGGAUUUAUAUGUCUGCGUAAAAAAUAUUAUAAUUUACAUUUAUAUAUAUCAGAUUCAGAGAGUUAAAAAGAAGAUCCGAAAUAUCAGGGAUUAAUUAAGACGUAACAAAUAAGAAUGAAAUACCCAGAAGGGAAAUUCAAGUGUUACAGCUAAAAACUCAUCAUAAAUAUUGAAUAGACACUUUGAAAUUUGACUUAAAAACAGAAUUGUUCUUUAACAGCAAAAAAAUAGGAAGAAAAAGAAAAAGAAAAAGAAACAGAUCUAAAAAUAUAUUUUACAAAAUAUAUACAGAGAAGUGAAAUCUUAUAUAUGAUUAAAUAAGUUUAAAAAAGGGAAACUUGAUUUUUGAGAUUUACCUGAAGGAAUCCCUUUGAAAGAAGAAAAAGCAGAAAAAUGGUGGAUGAGACGAGGAAGGAAAAGGUCUUAAUGGAGGCCAGGAGGGAAAUUAUAUACAAUGCCCAUUUUACCAUUGUAAAACAAUCUCCUCCACUUUUUUUUAAAUAUAAUUUCUUUUUGAAUCUUGGGAAAAUUAUUUUAACUUCGGUCAAUUAAAAUAUUAAUUAUCAAUAAAUGCCAAAAAAAAUUACGUGAAUAGAUCAAUUUUUUUAAAAAAAUUAUGGGAAUAAGCUAUUUUUUGGAAAUCACUUCCAAUUUGCAGGGAAACUUGGAAGCGUUUUCAGCAUGUUGCAUUGAAAACGCUUCCAGCUAGAAUCGCUUUCUACUAAGUCACUUGGAAGCAUUUUCAACAUAUUGCAUGGAAAACGCUUUCAGUUAGAAUCACUUUCUGCUAAGUCACUUGAAAAUGCUUCCAGUUGGAAGUGUUUUUCCCCCCAACAGUAAAAAAUAACAGUUAUUUAAUUAGUCGUUAGACACCCCCAAACAGUCAAAUUUUAUUUUCCUAUAACCCUCUCCCAUUUCAUUUUUUCCAAUUCAAUCUCAACUCUCUCUCACAUUCUCAAUACCCACUUAAAUUCACUAAUUUUUUUUGCUCUCUCAAUUUUAUUUUUUAUUUAAAUUAUCUUAACAUUUUCUUAAAUUAUUCUUCUAAUACAAAUUAUUCAGUUUUUUUCGAAAUUAUCAAUGGCAAAUUCUCUAAUUCGUCAUGAUAAGAACUAAACUUUCGUCAAUCAAUUGCAAAUGGUAAUAAUAUUUCUUAUUAUAUUUUAAUGUUGCAUAAUUUUUAUAUAUUUUUUUAUAUUUGAAUUUAUUAUUUUGUAUAUUUUUUCCUUAAAUAGGCAGAGAUUGAAUUUUGCAAGCCAACAUUCGUAAUCUACUCGCUCCUCCAUCACCCUUGAUCAAACCGUACUUGAGAGAAGUCGAUUUUUCGCACGUGGCCCUUAUAGGUAAGGGGUGUAAGUUGGACCCAACACUCGUAAGCGCGUUAAUGGAAAGGUGGAGAUCGAAGACGCACAUUUUCCAUCUUCCAUGUGGCGAGUGUACUAUCACUUUGGAAGAUAUGCAAUUACAACUUAGGUUACUAGUGGAUGGGUUUGCAGUGACUGGGACUGUUCACACAACCAAUUGGAAAAUGGUAUGCGAUGAACUUUUGGGGUUGGUUUCGGAGACAAUUUUUGGAGGUCGGAUAGAAAUGGCUUGGUUAAGAAGAAAUUUCAGUAAGCUUGAUGAGGAUUCAACUGAAGUCGAAAGAGAACAACACGUUCAGGAUUACAUCCUUAUGUUAAUAGAGGGUAUCAUAAUGCCGGAUAAGUCACGAAAUUUCGUCCAUUUAAGGUGGUUGUUGAAACUCGUCAAUAUUCGUAAUCUACUCGCUCCUCCAACUUAGUUGGGGGUCCACCGUGUUGGCGACCUUGUACCAAGAGAUGUGUCGAGCGACGCAACCACGAAAAAUUAAAAUUGGUGGUUGUAUGCUACUAUUGCAGUCAUUGGCGCGUUAUCAGCUGCCAUUUUUGUCCUGAAGCAAACUACCUUUACAAAUUCAUUACAUAAUUUAUUUAUUGCAAUAAAAUAAUCUAAUGUUUAAAUUAUUCUGUUAACAAAUUAUUUCAAUAGGUGGAAUAAUGGGUCAAGUUACGUGAGAAUAUCGAAAGAGCUAUGAUAUAUACGACUUCUGUUAGACCAACGAUCUGAAGCAAAGGUAAGUAUUUUUUUUAAAUUUGAAUUAUAUAAUAUUAAUGUAUUUGAUUUGAUAUUUAAUAGUAUAUAUAUAACUAAUUUUUUUUAUUAUUUUAAUAUAGUUUGAAUGGACACCAUACAAGGAUCUGACAAUUCGACAAUGCAUCCCAUCCGAAAUCCUGGUGAAUCCCAACAUUUGACAUGUAAAUGUGCCAUUGGUAGUGUACGCUAUUGUGUAUAUGCAUGAGUCGGAUAGGGUGUUGCAGCAAAUCGGGUUCAAACAAUCGAUUCUAGUGGUACCUUAGGACCUCGAUCAUCUGCAUCCUAUCAACUUGUGGGGGAGGUCGGAUGAGAAUUGAAUUAGAUUCCACAUUAAUAUAUAAACACAUGUGGAAUAAUCGGUAUGAGUUUCUACCUCAUCGCAAUGCUAUUAUCGCUCUAGAGUUAGCUUGCAGUUUGGAUUACAUGCCUUGAUUUAGGCUUUUUGGCAAGCCAUGCUUGUUGAGCGAAGAAUAUAGGAGUUGGCAAACGCAUACGAGGAGGCCACGACGACCGUCAACACAUCCAAGGUUUGGCGAGGCAGGUCCAUCGGUUGCACCUACUCAAGAGCCGACAUCGGUGCCCACACCACCCCUGAUCAGUAUGUGUAGUCCUAUUCUGAUUCGUAUGCGAACACCGUCAUUUUCACACAAGCACCAUAUAUUCAACCACAUUUUUCUGCUUUUACUUUGAUGUCAGGUUUUGUUUUCAAACCUUGGUCCCUAGUACAUUACACGUCGAUGCCAUCCAUAAUUCUGGCGACGAUGAUGCCGAUGACGACGUAUAGGCCAUCCAUGUUUCGACCACCGACCAAGAGUCCAAUUGUUAUGUCACCAAUGUACGAAACACAAUAUAGUUAUACCCCUACACUGAUGGUGAUGCAAACACCUCCAGGAUCAUUGUUCUAUCAAGGCGAAUCAUCUCCCCAACCACCUACUCCUAGAUCGGAGGAUGCACGAUGGCAACCAAGAAGCAACUAAUCGCAAUCAACUACGGAUGAAGGCGAAGAAGAGAAAAGGCCUAUACCACAACCUGUGUCAGAGGUUUAACCAGAGUUUGGAAAAUCGAUCGCAAUUGGGUUUGGAAAACGCAACGGAAAAUAAAUUUAGGAAAAAACCAGAGUUUUAAAAAAAAUCCAAAAUAAGAAUUUGGUUGUGAUAUCUAAAGUAAUAAACACUCAAUCAAAAUUGUACAAUUUUGAUUCGUCUAGGAUGAACGCUUCAACCUAGUAGUCUUCUCUAUUAUCCUUAAGCUCACGUCUGCCGAGUGUGGGCCCGCUUCGAAUAAAAAAAUUACAAAAAUUACUAGUGCAGUAAUUUCGUAAUUUCUCUAAACUUUUGGGCUAAGUUAUAAAUAAGAAAAAUACUCUAGAAAUUUUCUAAAAUAAUUUCUUUAGAGAAUUUUCUCUCUACAACUUUCUAUUGAAUUCAAGUGUGUGUAAAUAAUAACCCAAGACUAUCUUUAUAUAAGGAGGGUUUAGAGAGUUCAACUAUAAUUAAACUUAAUCACUUUAAUAUUAAUUUUAAUAUUAAAUUUUAAUUAAUAGAAUAUUUAUCUACAAGAUAAAUAUUAAAUUAAAUUUAAUAUUAAGAUAAUCACUUUGAUAUUAAAUUAAUAAAAUAUUAUUAAGAUAAGUAUCAAAUGAAAUUUAAUAUUAAAUCUAUUAAAAUAAUAUUAUUUUUUAAAUAGUUAAUCAAAAAUCAAAUUCUUUGGUAGAGUCUCAAUAGGAGUGUAAUUCUUCCAUUGCUUAACCACCGAAGAACCACUGCCGCUAACCAUUUUUUGGCCAUCGGAAUGCUGUCGUCGUAACCGUCGGCACCUGAGCUGGUUUGGUUUCUAUCGGUUCCGUACGGACCACUAACAGUCCGAUAGGUCCGAUCCAACCACCAGUUGGAUAUCAACUUAGUUUCACAUACCAGACCUGGUUCGACUAGUUUUUGGGUCUUAGUCUCGGUUUUGGGAUCCUAAGCCCAAUUUAUGAUCUCAGGUCUAAUAUUCAAGUUCAAUUACCCAUUGGGCCAAUUGUCUGACUUGAAAAAUUAAUUUUUCAAAAAUAUCAUAUUAAUUUUAAUUAAUUUGAUUGAUUUAAUUUUACUUGUUCAAAAUUAAUUUUCCCAAAAAUCACUUAGAUUUUCCAAAUUAAUUUUUCAAGAAAAUUCUUUAAUCAAAUUCUCUAGUUGAACAAUUCUUACGACCGUCCAACUUAAUUCCACAUCGAAUAAAUCGACUCAGUUAAAUUAUUUCCAAAGUCGUAGAAUUUACUUCUAAUUCAAAUGGAGUCCGAUUAAGCCUUUGUUGAGCUAGCGGAGGCACCAAUCGGACAUAUACAAUUAGGUUCUAGUAAUUGCAAUUAUGUCCAGAAGCAUCGUUCCUAUAAUUCACAAUUAUUUAAUAUGGAGUUAGGCCACAAAAAGUACCAUGAUUGAAAACUACUUAUUAUAUACUCUUUACGAAAGUAAUUCAUCCAACUACUUUGUCCAAUGACCUCGUCAUGUGUGUGUUACCCUCAUAUGAUAUCCUUGAUUCCUCUGAGUUAAAUUCAUUCACUCAAUACAAUCCUAUUUUAUCCCAUUGUUGCCAUCUGUCUUCUUAAUGAUUAACAUGAUCACUAUCAACAAAUGGAUGUGAUAAAUUGCUCAUUCAAGAACAAGCAACCCGUGGCCACAUUCCGUAUUUAUCAAUCCACACAAUGCUAAUGAGAGGAUAUCAUUAAUUCUUUAAUUGAGCUAUGAAUUUCACUGUUUCAAAAAGUAAAACCAUGCCAUACACAAGUCAUGUACCCAACAUAUCGGCUAUUGGUUCGAUCAUCUUUAGAGCAUAAGCCUCUACUUAUAUCAAAGCACAUGAGUUACAUAUGCAUGGUCAUUGACUAACUCAGGAUUUUGAUAAAUCAUAGCAUGAAUGUCACAAGUGAAUUAAUUCAAAAAUGAAUUCAGAAUUAAUUCAUCUUGGGUCUAGUUCAAUGUAUCAUUCUGCCAAUGAAUACAUUUAUGUCUCUACCCGUAGAGUCAACUACUCCGAUAGCCAAGACUAGUCAUCCCCUCAAUUGGAAUUAUAGACAACAUAAUAAUCAUUCUCAGUAUUUGAAUUAAAUAAUCACUUUGAUUCUUUUACGAAAUUACAAACUUGUUUAGAUUAUCUAGUGAAGUAAGUUGUCUUUCUCGUAAUGCAAAUGUUCUUACAAUGCCACUUAUCAUCAUUUUGAACUUAGACAAUCAAUGAGCUAAUUUUUGCUUGUUACAAAUUCGCUAUGCAUGCAAAAUAUGAAAGCCAGAAAUACAAAAUACAUAACAGUGAAAUGUGAAAUUUAUUUAUUCAAAUUCAUAGAAAAUAAUUACAUGUUUACUACAAUAUGUGCACAUUUCCCAACAAUUUCCCACUUGCUCUAGUGAAGUAAAUGUGUCAUAUUUCACAUUCCCAAAUCCUCAACGUGUUUGUUAAAACUCUUAGUUACAAGAGUCUUAGUAAAUAGAUCUAAAAGGUUAUCUUCAUAAGCUACUUUCACCACAUCUAUAAUUCCUUCGACUACUGCCUCUCAUAUCAAGUGAUACUUUUGAUAAAUGUGUUUAUUCCUCUUGUAACUUCUCAUUUCCUUAGUAUUAACUAUUGCAGCAUAGUUAUCACAAUACAGUGUUAUAACUUUUUCCAUACCAUGAAUAACUUCAAGAUCGGUUAAGAACUUUCAAAGCCAUAUUGCUUCUUUGUUGCUUCAGAAGUAGCCACAUACUCGGCCUCCAUAGUAGAGUCAGUAGCACAAGUUUGUAUUACACUUCUCCAUACUAUGGCUCUACGGCCUAAGAUGAAUAUAUUUUUUUAUGUUGAUUUCCUCGCAUCUUUAUAGGUUUGGAAGUCUAAGUUUGUGUAUCUGAUAGGAGUAAAGUUCUCCCUAGAAUAUAUAAACAUAUAGUCUUUGGUUCUUUUAAGAUACCUUAAUAUAUGCUUUCAGCUUGCCAAUGUUUGAAACCAGGAUUCGUCUGAUAUCGAGUAACCAUUCCCACUGCAAAACAAAUAUCUGGAUGUGUGGAAAGCAUCGCACACAUAAGGUUUCCAACUAUCGAAGCAUAUGGAACCCUACUCAUAUGGUCUCUUUCUUCUAUUACCUUAGGACAGUUAUCUAAAGAAAAAUGAAAACCUAAUGAGGUCGGCUGAGUGCCUAACUUCACAUCAAUCAUUGAAAAAUGUUUCAGUACCUUAUAGAUGUAUAAAGCUUGUGAUAGAGUUAUCGUUUUAUUCUUUCAAUCCCUAAGGAUUCGAAUUCGAAGAACAUAACUAGCUUCACCCAUGUCCUUUAUGUUAAUUGUUGAGCUAACCACAGUUUAACUGAUGACAAUUCUCUUACAUUAUUUCAUACAUUAAUAUAAACUUAACAAAAAUUAUUCAUUCACAUACACAUCAUCCCUAAAUUGAUCCUCUGAGGCCAUAAAAUACAUUAAAAAAAUUCGAGACUAAAUUGGAAACAUUUCAAAAGUUCAAGAAAAAGUUAGAAAAAUUUAACUGUAGGGGUUACAUGGCUGUGUGCCUUACACGACUGUGACACACGCCCGUGUCUCAGACCAUGUAAUAAUCAAAAUAGGGACACACUGCUGUGUCUCAGCCUUUGUCCUUACCCGUAUAACUCUCUAAGUAGGGUUACACGGCCAAAUCACACGACCAAAUCACAUGCCUGUGUGCUAUGUUGUGUAACUCUCGAAAUAGCCCCACAAGCCCGUGUGUCAAGCCGUGUGUUAGGCCGAGUAACUUUCUGACUUGAAUGCAAUUGAACCUAAAGGGGACACACAGCCAUGUCGCCAGGCCAUGUGUCAAACACGGUUGAGUCACACGCUCGUGUCUCAAGCCGUAUGGACAUGAAUUUGCCAAAAAAAGCCAUUUCCAUCACCAUAUCAAGCAUAUACCUAAAAACAUCUUGUGCACAUAAUCAAGACAUCAAAACCUUACCAAAACAUGCAUAUAGUAACCAAAAACUUAGUAGAGUCAAAAGGUAUUUUCUUAUCUGACACUAAAGUUGUGCAUAUAUAUGAGUGCAUUGACCCAGGGUCAAUCAAAGCAUCAACAUUAGUAUCAAAAAUAAAAAAUGUACCAGUGAUAACAACUGGCGCUGAAGCUUCCUCUCGAGCACAGAUCGCAUAAGCUUUAGUCGACACUGGUGCCUCAAAUCUCACAGUAGAGCCUUUCGUUCCACUACGACUAUUACCCCCUCUCGAGCACGGAUCGCAUGAGCUUUAGUCGACACUGGUGCCUCAGAUCUCACAGCAGAGUCUUUCGUUCCACUACGACUAUUACCCGCAUUACCAGUGUUUCGGGCUGGUCUCCUUCUCGAAGCUGUAUUACUCAGUCGAGUAGUCUGAGCCUUUUCUUUGUCGGACCUUUCAAGGUAAUCCUUGAGAUAUUUUUAUAUGAACCACAUUUAGAACAUUACUCGUCUUUCAAUCUGCAUUCACCAAAGUGUCGUUUAUUACAUUACUGAUAUUCGGGCUUGUUGUUUCUGAUAUUGCCCACACUUGUUGUAGACGUAGCCUGAGGUUUUGAGCUCGAAUGCUAAUUUCCUUAAUCUUUCUCAGAAUAAUCCACUGAAGCUGAUGAACGACCAUGAUAUUCUUUCAACUUCUUCGAUGGCGAUGGGUAUGACUUUUCCAUAGGGCUCUUUCCCGAGUUAUGAGCCUCCUCGACUUUUCUUUUCGCUUUGCUAAGUUCUUCAGCUUUAUGCACUUUGCCAACUAGAACUACAAAUUCUUUCAUCUCAAGGAUCCCGAAUAACACCUUAAUAUCUUUGUUUAACUUGUCUUCAAACCUUGUGCACAUAGCAAACUCUGUAGGUAUACAUUCUUUGGCAUACUUACUGAGUCGAACAAAUUCCCUCUCAUACUCUAAUACAGUCAUACGACCUUGUUUCAACUCAAGGAAUUCUUUACGUUUCUUGUCUAAAAAUAUCUCGCUCACAUAUUUCUUUCGAAAUUCAGUCUAAAAGAAUUCCCAGUUUACUUGAUCUCUCGGCACAACUGCAACUAAGGUGUUCCACCACUGAUAAGCCGAAUCUUUCAAUAAUGAAACAACACAUUUCAAGUAUUUCGUAGGAGUACAUGAUAAUUCAUCGAAAACUUUCACCGUGCUUUCUAACAAAAAUAGGCUCUCUUUGGAUCAUCUUCAGUUGUUCCUCGAAACUCUUAAGCCCUAUACUUACGAAUUUUAUCAACUAGAGGCUUGCUCACCCGAACUAGUUCCAAACCCUGAGGAACUACGAGGAUCGAUUGGGGUACAGGUGGGGGUGGAGGUCGUUAAGCCAUUGAUUUCAUUCGAAUAAACUCGAAGAAGCAUUCAGACAUCAUCUGGAGGAAAACUUCUUUAGCCUCUCCUCCCCAGCCCUCAGAUUUGAGCCUAUUACCACUAGACGCUGCUCCAUGAACGGAGGUUCGCGUGUUACUUUCUAUUUCAUUGGAAUCAGCUUGAUUGGAUGGCAUUUUAUCUAUAUGAAAACAUAGUUCAAAUAUAGUUAGGAGUUAUCACACUAUUACAGGUUAUAUAAAGGCAUGUAUUUCUAGACUCAUACACGCUACUUUAGUGCGAGAACCGACUAUGCUGUAGCUUUGAUACCAUUAAAUGUAACACCUCUAACCUGUAUCUAUUGCCAAAUUAGGGUUACAGAGCACUACUGUACAAAUGGAACAUUACAACAUACAUUUCAUAUAUUUAUAUAAACUUAACAAAAAUUAUUCAUUCAUUUACACAUCGUCCCUAAAUUGAGCCCUCGAGACCCUAAACAUACAUUAAAACUAAUUUGGGACUAAAUUGGAAGCAUUAGGAAAGUUCAAGAAAAAGUUAGAAAAAAUUGACUGCAGGGGUCACACGUCCAUGUACCUCACACGACUGAGACACACGCCCAUGUCUCAGGCCGUGUAACUCUCAAAAUAGCCCCAAAAACUUGUGCGCCAAGCCGUGUGCUAGGCUGUGUAACUGCCUGACUUGUUUGCAAUGGAACCUAAAUGGGAGACAUGGCCAUGUCGCCACACCACGUGUUACAUACGGUUGAGUCAAACGCCCGUGUCUCAGGCUGUGUGGACAUGAAUUUGCCCCAAAACAGGUAAUUUCCAUCACCAAAUCAAGCAUAUACCUAAAAACAUUUUGUGCACAUAAUCAAGACAUCAAAACCUUACCAAAACAUGCAUAUAGUGACCAUUUCAAUAGCCUUAAACCAAUCAACCAAUAUGCCAUUUCAAGGCACCUCACAAGCAAACACCAAAGCAUACCUAAGCAUUCACAUUUGGUCACAUUUCCACCAUCAAACAUAAUUCAUCUUCCAACAAAUUAUACCACAAUUAUGACCAUUAGCAUUUCAACAUAAACUUACCAUUUGAGGCAUACCAUUCAUGCAUCAUAAGUACCAAAAUGACACAAUCCAACCAACAUCAAAUUGUACCAACACUAUACAUGCCAAAAUAUCAACUAACAUUCAACUAGAUACCAAUACAAGUCCACCUAUACAUGCCAUUAUAGCCUUGGCCAAAACAUCAUAAAUUAUUGAUAUGUAUGCUGGAUAGUGUGAUAGAUCUCCGACGAGCUUCCAAACCGAUAUAGCUUCCGAUUAUCUAUAAAACAAGAGAAAAAAACUACGUAAGCAAAUAAUGCUUAGUAAGUUCGUAAAACAUGAAACAUAAUUUACCAUUUCCUUAUAUAACAUUAAGUACAAGCAUAAUGCAAUGCAACACAAGCUUGGCACAAGCCUAAGCACCAUCAUCAAUACACAAGUUAGUGUAUAUAUACAUAAUUCAAUUGAAUUUAACAUAUGGUAAUUCAUUUCCAUGGAAACAUACACCAUUUGAUUCAUUCUUCGUUUUCAUGAACAUAAGCAUACUUCCAUUUGGAACUUACCAUUUCAAUCCUUUUCAUAAAUACAUGAUAUAGUUCAUUUUGAACACUUAUCGUUCCUUUUCUUUCUAUGCCCGUUGAACCAUUUAGAAUAUCAUCGGAUACACAGGAAAACUCACAUGAAGUGUGCUUAAACAUAUAACCAUAAUCUUUCCUUUACAUUGUUGCUCACACGAGCUAUGAAAUAGGCCUACUCACACGAGCUAUGGGUCGAAAUGUAAGCUACACGAUGCUGCUCACACGAGAUUUGGAGUAUCUACAACAAAUGUAGGACCUCAACCAUCGGUAGGAUAUUCAAGACCAACACCCGAACAUGAGAACCCUAAUGACAUGUCAUUUGUAUCCUACGAAUUCCUAAGGUUCAACCAGGACUCGAUAACCGUCGUAGCAUGAUUUUGGAUAUACAUUGUUCAAUAGCAUUCUUAAUACAUAAUAACAUAUAAUUAAACAACAUGAACAUAACAAUCCGUACAUACGAACUUACCUCGACGACUAAGGCGUAAAAACGGGAUCGACUAAUCCGAGGCUUUAGCUUUUCCCCGAUCUAGAUCUGUUGUGGCCUAUCUUGAUCUAAAUAAAAAAUAUAAUUCAUUUAAUAUCCCUAGCAUUCAAUUUAGUCCAUAUUUCAUAUUUUUCCAAAAUUACUAUUUUACCCCUAAUAUUUUAACUUUUUACAAUUUAGUCCUUAAGCUCAUAAAUUAAAAUCUAAGCAUUUUCAUCCUUUUCUCAAGCUAGACAAUUUAUCCAGGGACCUAUAUCAACUCAUACAAACCAUUAUUUCAUAGAUUUAACUUGAAAUUUUAUCUUUUUUACAAAUAAGUCCCUAAAUAAAAUUUUCAUCAAAAAUCACUUUACAAAACUUGUUUAUUUAUGAACAAGGACUCAUAAUCUACCAUUAAACAUCAAGAAUCAUACAAGAAAAUUCAUGAAAAAACCCUAAAUCUUUAACAGUUUUGCAAAUUGAUCCUUGGGCUAGCUAAGUUAAGCUACAACGAUCCCAAAAACAUAAAAAUCAUUAAAAACAAGCUCAAAAAUCACUUACAUGCAAUAAUUGAACAUAGCCGAACCUUCAAGGUGAAAAAUAGAGGUUUUCCUUCUUUAAUUUCGGUGGAAACAUGAACUAAAGAAGAUGAUACUUUUAUUUUAUGUUAUUUUUCUUUACUUAAUUAUUAUAUUACCUUAAUAACCUUGUUAAUUAACUAAAUAAAACUCCUAAUUCAUGCCCAUCUUUGUCCACUAACAUUAUGAAUGAUCUAAUUACCAUCUAAGUCCACUCACAUUUAAAUUUCAUAGCCAUUUGACCCUUUUUACUAAUAGAACUCAAUUUUUGCACAUUUAUGAUUUAGUCAUUUUCACUUAAUUAAGCAUGCAAACAUCGAAAUUUCGUAACGAAAUUUUUAUAUUACCUUAUUAACAUUCUAUAUACAUUAAAAAUAAUAAUUUACUUGUCAGAUUUGUGGUCACUAAAUUACAAUUUCGAUUUCACUGAAAACAGGUUGUUACAACUCUCCCCCUAAAAGAAUUUUCGUCCCCGAAAAUCUUACCAGAAAAGAGGUUUGGGUAUUGCACUUUCAUAAUUUCUUCCAGUUCCCAGGUACCUUCCUCUAAACCUUGACAUUUCCAGAGAACUUUUACUAAAUCUAUUUAUUUCUCAGUUCUUUAACUUCCCAAGCUAAAAUUCUGAUCGGUUCUUCACUGUACGUCAUAUUUGGCUGUAUCUCAACAUCAACAGGUGAAAUCACGUGUGCAGAAUCUGAUUGAUACCAUCGUAACAUCGAAACAUGGAAUACAUUGUGAAUCUUUUCUAACUUUAACGGCAAAGAUAAUCUAUAAGCUAUUGGUCCAAUUUUUUCUAUGAUCCCAUACGGCCCAAUAAAUCGUGGACAAAGCUUUCCUUUUCGACUGAAUUGAAGAACUUUCUUCCAAGGCGAUACUUUUAGAAAUAAUCUGUCGCUUACUUGAAAUUCAAUGUCUUUUCUUUUCAAAUCUACGUAAGAUUUUUGUCGAUCCGAAAUUGUUUUCAGGCUAUCACAUAUCACUUUAACCUUUUCUUGAGUUUCUCAAAUUAAAUCAAUCUUGAAUAACUUUUUCUCACUCAGAUCAGUCCAGUAUAAAGGAGUUCGACACUUCCAACCAUACAAAGCUUCGUAUGGUGCCAUUUUAAUACUCACUUGAUAACUGUUAUUGUAUGCAAAUUCAACUAACGACAGAAAUCUCUCCCAGUUACCUUCGAACUAUAAAACACAACAUCGUAGCAUAUCUUUGAGUAUCUGAAUCACUCACUCAGAUUGACCAUUUGUUUAGGGAUGAAAUGUUGUAUAAAAUACAGUUAAGUACUAAGAGCUUCGUGUAACUUGCUCCAGAAUCGAGACGUAAACCGCAAAUCUCUUUCAGAAAUAAUAGAAUCUGGCACACCGUGCUAUCUAACAAUCUCAGUAACAUAUAACUUUGCCAAUCUCUCGAGUGAAAAAUCUAUACGCACCGGAAUGAAAUGCGUGGACUUCGUCAAACAAUCAAUAGUGACCCAUACAACAUAUUUCUUUCUCAGAGAUAGAGACAAACCCGAUACGAAAUCCAUCGUGACACAUUCCUAUUUCCACUUUGGAAUCAUCACAGGUUGUAACAAACUAGAAGGUACCUGAUGUUCAACUUUAACUUGCUAACAAACCAAACAUUUCGGUACGAACUCUAAAAUGUCUUGUUUCAUACCUGACCACCAAUAUAUGUGUUUCAAAUUGCCAUACAUUUUAUUGCUACCAAGAUGAAUAGACAAGCUAUUACUGUGAGCUUCCUGUAAAAUUUUCUGAAUAAGAUCAGAAUUUCUCGAAACACAAAUUCUGCCUUUGAAGUACAAAUUGUCAUCAGAACCAACAUGAAAAUUUGAUUCAGGUGUCAUCUCAAUCUAUUUCUAUUUAGUGAUCAAAACAUCGUCACAUUUCCGAGCUUCACAAAUCUGUUGCAGAAACAUCGGUCUAGCUUUUAAUUCUGCCAAAAUUGAUUCAUCAUCAAUCAACGUCAAUCGUGUGUUCAAUGCUCGUAAAGCAAACAUGGAUUUUCUACUCAAUGCAUCAGCAACAACAUUAGCCUUUCCCGGAUGAUAAUAAUGAUCAAGUCGUAAUCUUUCAAUAAAUCGAGCCAUCUGUGUUGUCUUAAAUUCAAAUCCUUUUGUGACAUCAAAUACUUUAGGCUUUUAUAGUCCGUGAAAAUAUGACAUUUUUCUUCGUACAAAUGGUGUUGCUAGAUCUUCAAAGCAAACAUAAUGGCUACAAGCUCUAAAUCAUGAGUCGAAUAAUUCUUUUCAUGCAGUUUCAACUGUCUAGAAGCAUACACUAUUACUUUGUCUUCUUGUAUCAAAACACAACUUAAACCAUUCAAUGAAGCAUCGCUAUAAAUCACAAAUUCUUUACCGAACUCUGGCUGAACCAACAUAGGUGCCUCGGUUAAUAAAGUUUUCAACUGAUUAAAACUGUGCUGACAUUUCUCAAACCAUUCGAAUUUAACAUCUUUUUACAACAAUCUCGUCAACGGCAUAGCAAUCAUCGAGAAUCUCUUGACGAACCUUCUAUAAUAUCUGGCUAAACCCAGAAAACUUCUGACUUCAGAUACAUUUCUCAGAGGUUUCCAGUCUACCACAGCUGAAAUUUUACUUGGAUCAACUCUAAUACCAUCUGCUGAUACCACAAGUCCCAAAAAUCCUACUUCUCGGAGCCCGAACUCGCAUUUGUUGAACUUAGCGAGUAGUUGUUUUUCGCGUAAGGUUUGUAAAACAGUUCUCAAAUGUUGGGCAUGUUCUAUCUCAUCUCGUGAAUAGAUCAGGAUGUCAUCAAUAAACACAACAAAAAAUCUAUCUAAAUAUGGUCUGAAUAUUCUAUUCACCAAGUCCAUAAACACGGUAGGUACAUUAAUCAAACCAAAUGGCAUCAUAAGAAACUCAUAAUGUCCGUACUUAGUUCUAAAUAUUGUUGUCGACAUAUCAGACUCUUUAACCCGUAACUGAUAAUAACCAGGAUGAAGAUCGAUCUUUGUUAAUACCGUCGCACCUUUCAAUUGAUCAAACAAAUCAUAAAUAUGUGGUAAUGGAUACUUGUUCUUGAUCAUGACUUUGUUGAGCUGUUGAUGAUCAAUACAUAGUUGCAUGGAUCUGUCCUUUUUCUUGACAAAUAACACAGGACGUCCCCAAGGAGAAAAACUGGGCUGAGCAAAGCCCCUAUCUGAUAACUCUUGCAACUGAGCUUUCAAAUCUUUUAAUUUUAUAGGUGUCAUUCUAUAUGGAGCUAUCGAGAUCUGAGAUAUUCCAGACAUUAAUUCAAUAGCAAACUCAACUUUUUUGGUCGGUGGUAACCCUGGUAAUUCUUUUGGAAACACGUCUACAUACUGACAUACAAUUGGAACUGAUUCUAACUUAAAUUCUGAAACUCCAGAAUCAAAUAUAUAAGCGAGAUACGUUUCAAAGCCUUUUCUAACAUGUUUUUGUGCCGACAUAACCAAAAUAACAUCAAAUGCACUAUAUAAUAUGUCUGAUUCAAUUCGAAGCUUUUCAUCAUUCUGACAUUUUAACACAAUAUACUUUCGUCUAUAGUUCAAAACAACAUCAAGCAGAGUUAACUAGUCCAUACCCAGAAUCACAUCAAACUCAUCAAAGCGUAGUAACAUCAAAUUAGCCGGAAAGUUGCAACCCCGAAUAAUCAAAUGGCAGUUUUUAAAGACUUUAUCAGCUAACACAAACUGACCUAAAGGGUUCAUUACUUUAACCAAAAACUCAGUAGAAGGUAUUUUAUUAUUUGAAACUAAGGUUGUGCAUACAUAUUAGUGCGUUGACCCAGGUUCAAUCAAAGCAUUAACAAUAGUAUCAAAGAUAGAAAAUGUACUAGCGAUAACAUCUGGUGCUGAAGCUUCCUGUCGAGCAUGGAUUGCAUAAGCUCUAGUCAGCGUUGGUGCCUCAAAUCUCAUAGUAGAAUAUUUCGUCCCACUACGACUAUUACCCGUAUUACCAGUGUUCCAGGGUGGUGGUCGUCCUCUCGCAGUUGUAUUACUCGGUUGAGUAGUCUUAGCCUUUUUUUUGUCGAAAUUUUCAAGCCAAUCUCUAAGAUAAUUUUCAUACGAACCACAUUUAAAACAUGAAUCAUCUUUCAAUCUACAUUCAUCAAAGUUUUGUCUAUUACAUUGCUGAUAUUUGGGCUUGUUAUUUCUGACACUGCCUACACUUGCUGCAAACGUAGCCUAAGGUUUCGAGCUCGAAUGCUAAUUUCCUCAAUCUUUCCCAGAAUUAACCUCUAAAGCUAACGAACGACCAUGAUAUUCUUUCGACUUCUUUGAUGGUGAUGAGUAUGACUUUUCUAUAGGCUUCUUUCCAGAGUCAUGAGCCUCAUUGACUUUUCUUUUCACUUUGCUAAGUUCUUCAGCUUUCUGCGCUUUUUCAACCAGAACUACAAAUUCUUUCAACUCAAGGAUCCCUAUUAAUAGCUUGAUAUCUUCGUUUAACUAGUCUUCAAACCUUGUGCACAUAGCAACCUCUAUAAGUAUAUAUUCUCGGGCAUACUUACUGAGUCGAACAAAUUCCCUCUCAUACUCUACUACAGAUAUACAACCUUGUUUCAACUCAAGGAAUUCUUUACGUUUCUUGUCUAAAAACAUCUCGCUCACAUAUUUCUUUCAGAAUUUAGUCUAAAAGAAUUAUCAGUUUACUUGAUCUCUCGGCACAAAUACAACUAAGCUUUUCCACCACUAAUAAGCUGAGUCUUUUAAUAAUGAAACAACACAUUUCAAGUAUUUCGUAGGAGUACAUGAUAAUUCAUUGAAAACGUUCACCGUGUUUUCUAACAAAACUCGGCUCUCUUUGGAUCAUCUUCAACUAUUUUUCGGAACUCUUAAGUCCCAUACUUAUGAAUUUUAUCAACUGGAGGCUUGCUCGCCCGAACUAGUUCCAACCCUGAGGAACUAACGGGAUCAGUUGGGGUACAGGUGGGGGUGGAGGUCAUUGAGGCAUUGGGUUUGGUCGCACAAUCUUGGAGAACCAUUCAGACAUAAUCUGGGGGAAGGCUUCCUUAGCCUUUCCUCCCCAACCCUCAGAUACAGGCCUAUUACCACUAGACGCUGCUCCGUGAACGGAGGCUUGCGCGUUACUUUCUACUUCAUCGGAAUCAGUUUAAUUUGAUGACAUUUUAUCUAUUUGAAAACAUAGUCUGAGAACCGACUAAACUGUAGCUCUAAUAAUACUAAAUGUAACACCCCAAACCCGUAUCCAUCGUCGGAUUAGGGCUACGAAGCAUUACUAUACAAAUAAAACAUUAUAACAUACAUUUCAUACAUUAAUAUAAAUUUAACAAAAAAUAUUCAUUCACAUACACAUCAUCUCUAAAUCGUGCUGCCAAGGCCCUAAAAAUACAUUAAAAAAUUUGGGACUAAAUUUGAAGCAUUUGGAAAGUUCAAGAAAAAGUUAGAAAAAUUUGACUGUAGGGGUCACACGACCAUGUGCCUCACACGACUGAGACAUACGCCUGUGUCUCAAGCUGUGUAACAAUUGAAAUAAGGACACACAGCCGUGUCCUUACCCAUGUAACUUUCUGAGUAGGGUCACACGGCUGAGACACACACCUGUGUGCCAGGCCAUGUGCUAGGCCGUCUAACUCCCUGACUUGUAUGCAAUAGAACCUAAAGGGGACACACGGCCAUGUUGCCAGGCCGUGUGUCACACAUGGCUAAGUCACAUGUCUGUGUCUCAGGCCGUAUAGACAUGAAUUUUCCCACAAACAAGCCAUUUCCAUCACCAAAUCAAGGAAACACAUAAUCAAGACAUCAAAACCUUACCAAAACAUGUAUAUUCAAUAGCUUUAAACCAUUAAACCAAUAUGCCAUUUCAAGGCACCUCACAAGCAAACACUAAACUUACACAUUUGAUCACAUUUCCACAAUCAAACAUAGUUCAUCUUCCUACAAAUCAUACCAUAAUUAUGACCAUUAGCAUUUCAACAUAAACUUACCGUUUGAGUCAUACCCUUGAUGCAUCAUAAGUACCAAAGUGACACAAUCCAACCAACAUCAAAUGGUACCAACACAACUUAUACAUGCCAAAAUCAUCAACUAACAUUCAACUAGAUACCAAUACAAGUCCACAUAUACAUGCGAUUAUAACCUUGGCCAAAAUAUAAAAAACUACCGAUAUUUAUGCUUAGUAUGAUUGAUCUCCGACAAGCUUCUAAACCGAUCGAGCUUCCGAUUAUUUAUAAAACAUGGGAAAGAAAACUAUAUAAGCACAUAAUGCUUAGUAAGUUCGUAAAACAUGGAACAUAACUUACCAUUUCCUUAUAUAACAUUAAGUACAAGUAUAAUGCAAUGCAACACAAGCUUGGCACAAGCCUAAUCACCAUCAUCAAUACACAAGUUAGUGCAUAUAUACAUAAUUCAAUUGAAUUUAACAUAUGGUAAUCCAUUUCCAUAGAAAUAUACAUCAUUUGAUUCAUUCUUCAUUUUCAUGAACAUAAGCACACUUCUAUUUGGAAACUUACCAUUUCAAUCCUUUUCUUAAAUACAUGAUAUAGUUCAUUUUGAACACUUACCGUUCCUUUCCUUUUCAUGCCCGUUGAACCAUUUAGAAUAUCUUCAGAUACACGGGAAAGCUCACACGAAUUGUGCUUAAACAUAUAAUCAUAACCUUUCCUUUACAUUGUUACUCACACGAGCUGUGAAAUAGGCCUGCUUGUACGAAUUGUGAAAUGAGAUUGCUCACACGAGUUGUGGGUCGAAAUGUAUGCUAGACGAUGUUGCUUACACAAGCUGUGGAGUAUCUAAAACAAAUGCAGGACCUCUGUUUUGGUAUGACAUUCAAGACUAGCACCUAAACAUGAAAAUCCUAAUGUCAUGUCAUUUGUAUCCUUUGAAUUCUUAAAGUUCAACUGGGACUCGAUAACCGUCGUAGCAUGAUUUUGGAUAUACAUUGUUCAAUAGCAUUUUUAAUACAUAAUAACAUAUAAUUAGACAUCAUGAACAUAAUAAUCCGUACAUACAAAACCUCGACGAGUAGGGCGUAAAAACGGGAUCUACUAAUCUGAGGCUUUAGCUUUUCCCCGAUCUCGAUCCGUUCGUGGCCUAUCUUGAUCUAAAUAGAAAAUAUAAUUCAUUAAAUUUCCCUAGCAUACAAUUUAGUCCAUAUUUCAUAUUUAUACAAAAUUACUAUUUUUCCCUUAACAUUUUAACUUUUUACAAUUUAGUCCUUAAGCUGAUAAAUUAAAAUCUAAGCUUUUUCAUCAUUUUCUCAAGUUAGCCGAUUUCUUUAGGGACCUAUAUCAACUCAUACAAACCAUCAUUUCAUAGAUUUAACUUGAAAUUUUAUCUUUUUUUACAAAUAAGUCCCUAAUUACAAUUUUCAUAAAAAAAUCACCUUAUAAAACUUGUUUAUUUAUGAACAAGAACUCAUAAUCUACCAUUAAACAUAAAGAAUAAUGCACGAACAUUCAUGGAAAAACCCUAAAUCUUUAACAAUUUUACAAAUUGAUCCUCGAGAUAGCUAAGUUAAGCUACAAAGAUCUCAAAAACAUAAAAAUCAUUAAAAACGAGGUAAAAAUCACUUAAAUGCAGUACUUGAACAUAGCCAAACCUUCAAGAUGAAAAAUGGAUGUUUUCCUUCUUUAAUUUCGAUGGAAACAUGAACUAAAGAAGAUGAUACUUUUAUUUUAUGUUAUUUUUCUUUACUUAAUUAUUAAAUUACCUUAAUAACCUUGUUAAUUAACUAAAUAAAACACCUAAUUCAUGCCCAUCCUUUUUCACUAACAUUAUGAAUGGUCUAAUUACCAUUUAAGUCCAGUCACAUUUAAUUUUUGUAGCCAUUUGACCCUUUUUACUAAUAGAACUCCAUUUUUUCACCUUUUAUGAUUUAGUCCUUUUCACUUAAUUAAGCAUGCAAACAUUGAAAUUUAUUGACAAAAAUUUUAUACAACCUUACUAACAUUCCAUAAACAUUAAAAAUAAUUAUAAAAUAAUAAUUUACUUGUCGAAUUUGUGGUCUCAAAACCACUGUUCUGAUUUCACUAGGAACGGGCUGUUACAAAGAUAGUCAUUAAUAAAUGUUGUCUUGAUAUCCAUUUGCUAGAUCUCGUAAUCAAGAGCAGCGGCAAUGGAUAAGAGUAUGUGAAUAGAAUUGAAAAUGGCUACCAGAGAGAAUGUCUCAUCGUAAUCGAUGCCUUCUUGCUAUGUGUAGUAUUUCCCUACAAGUCUAGCUUUAUGUGUUUCCACUUCCCCUUCCGCAUUUCUCUUCUUCUUGUAGAUUUGCUUACACCCUAGAAGUUUUAAUCCCAACCAGUAAGUCUACAAGUUCCCACACCAUAUUGGAUUUCAUAGAAUCCAUCUCGACAUCCAUGGUUGUUUUUAGAUAUUGAAAUCAAUGUUCUGCAUAGCCUCAUCGUAAGUGAGUAGAUCAUUAUCCUCAUGAUUGACUUCUAUAUUAUAAAUACUACCAUCAUAGGUGAAGAAGUCUAAUUUCUUAAAAGUUCUCCAACUACGACGGAUUCCCCUAUGUUGUUGAUUGUUUGCAGGUCGUUCUACAACUAUCUCGAGAAUUAAACUUUGUUAUUGUUCUACAACUCCUCGAGUACCACUUUACUUCGAGCCUUAAAGUUAUCCAUGUAGCUUUCUUCGAGGAAAAUAGCAUGAGUAGAAACUUUGAUCGUAUUAUCAUUUAGAUUGUAUAAUAAUUCACCCUUUGCUCAUUCUGGAUAUCUUAUAAACAUGCACAAUUCUUUCCGUGCAUCCAACUUCUCUGCAUCCUUAUCCAAAACGUGUGCUGGACAACCCUAUAUUCUAAAGUGAUUUAGAACUGAUUUCUUUUCAUGCCACAGUUUAUAAGGUGUCUUACAAGCAGACUUGGUUGGCACAUCAUUCAGACUAUAGCAAAUUAUUUAUAUCGCAUAUCCUUAGAAGGGAGUAAGGAGUUUUGAAUAGCUUAACAUUGAACGAACCAUGUUAAGCAAUGUUCUAUUCCUUCUCUCAGCUACACCAUUAUCCUGUGGAGUGCUUGACGUAGUCAACUGGGAUAAAAUCUCAUUCUCUAUGAGGUAUUCUAAGAACUCGUCAGACAAGUAUUCCCCACCUCGGUCAGAUUUAAGAUUCUUUAUGGAUAAACCUAAUUGCUUUUCCACUUUUGCACGAAACUCUCGAAAUUUAUCAAAUGCUUCACUUUUGUGGUUCAUUAGAUACACAUAUCCAUAUUGAGAAUAGUCUUAAAUGAAAGUCAAGUAAUAAUCAUAACUUCCUCAGGCACUGAUGCUCAUGGGACCACAUACAUUAGUGUGCACAAGUUCUAAAGGUUGGUUGGCCCUUGUACCUUUCGCAUUAGAAAACUACUUAGUCAUUUUUACCUUCCAAUCAAGAUUCACAUUGUGGAAGACUAACUUCCUUAAGCAUACUUAAGGGACCAUCUUUCAUGAUUCUAGUGAUUCUUUCUUGGUUAAUAUGACCAAAUCUUAAGUGGCAUAGGUAUCCCUCAUUAGAGUAAGACGUUUUAAGAUUUUAUUUUCCAUCCAUCCAUUACAAAUUAAAGAACAAUUUUUGUGAAUAAUAAUCCCUUUAUUAAAUGUCACUGUAUAACUUUCGUAAAAUAAACAUGCUACAAAUAAUAAAUUCCUCUUAAAAUAAGAUACAUAAAAUAUGUUUUUUAAAAUAAUCUUCCUAAAAUUAUCAAAAUGUAAAAUAACUUCUCUCACUACUUCAACUGAAACAUAGCUCCCAUCUCCAAUCUGCAAUGAGAGGCUCUUGUCACGUAAACAUCUCAUUUCACUGAACUCCCGUAAAGAAGCACAUACAUGGUUAAUGGCUCUAAAAUCAAUAAAUCAGUUGUCUAUUGAUUCUUCCCUUAAGCAAGUUUCAACCACAAAGAGUUCCAUACAUUUGCCAUUUUCGGCUAGGUAAAUCAAAUACUCUUUACAGUUUGCUUUGAAAUGCCCCGUAACACCCAUAUCCCGUCUCUGUUGCCGGAUUAUGGAUUGGAGUGUUAUAGAACCAAACCAAAACAAUUUAUCUUAAUUCCAUAACAAGUAUUCAAUGAAUUUAAAAACACAUAUCAUAUUAUAUCAUAUCAAUACAGAUCAUAUCAUAUAAUAAAUAUGCACAUGGGCCUUUUUUCGGGUUUACAAGGCCUUAAAAUUAGAUUAAAAAUAAUCAUAGAUCAAAUUGAGACAAAUUAUAAAUUUUUGAGAUAAACAUGAAAAUUUGAUAUGCAGGGGUCACAUGGCCAUGUGUCCAGACUGUGUGACAUAGCCCAAACUGUGUGGGAAUUCGAGGUUGGGACACACGGCCGUGUCCCAGCCUGUGUCUCUAUCUGUGUAACUCACUGACUUUGAUCACACGGUCAUGUCAUAGACCGUGUGUCAGGCCAUGUAACUCUCUAACUAAAUACACACGACCGUGUGCCAGAUCGUGUAUGGCACAUGGCCGUGUGGCAGCUCGUGUGCACCAAAAUGAACAUUAAACAUCAAGUUUACCAAAUCAUGCUUACUUGAACACUAAACAAUCCAAUUACUAGCCAUAACCUAUUCAAAACACAAUUAAACAUGCUCAAAACAUGCCAAAACAAUCAUCUUAAGUGCCUAACCAAUGUACCCUCUUUAGUACCACAUUUUAUAUUUUCUAAUAUAUUAAUAAAACAUUAAACUAAAAUAUAUACCAAAACAUUUAGAUAGGCUAACCUACCAAAACAUAGUCUCAAAAAUAAUGAAAAGACCUCCCUAUAUAUGUCAUUACAAAAUAAAGCAUCACACCAGAACUCUAAACCACAUCAUUCAACAAUUACAGAUCAAUGUAUUCAUCUAUGCAUUACAUAUAUAUACACCUGUUCCAUCAUUACAAAAUGUACUCUAGUAAAACACAGAUCUCACUCAUUAACUAAAUCUAUCAACAUUCUCAAAACUCAUAUAUUCAUCAAUAUAUACAUGCCACUACCCAAUUAAGAUGCAAAAGUACCGACUUAGAUGUGAGCUAGUUGAUUGAUCAUUCCAAAAAGUCAGCAACGAUUAUCUACAACACUUUCGAUUUAAUCACAGGGAUCUAUUCUAUAAUUUUCCUUUUUCCUCGAUUUAAGUCUUUCUGUCCCGGUUCUUGAUAUGCAAGCAAUGGAAAUGGCCAAACCUAACUUUAAAAGAAAUGGCUUUCUUCUCUUCUCAAAUUCAGCUAAGGAUGGUGGAAGAUGACAAUGUUUCUUUUCUUAUUAUUUUACUUUAGUUUUGUUUUAUUAUAUUACCAUUUUACCCUUAGAAUUAAGCUUAUAAUUUAACAACUAAAAAGGCCCUUAACUGUCUAUCCAAAAUCACAUGGACUAAUUACUUUAUAAGUCCUCUUUUAUUUGAUAGUUAAGCUAUCAAAUCAUUAUAAUUCAAUUAUGUCUAGAUUUUGAACAUUUUACAACUUAAUCAUUUUUCUUAAUUUAACUAAGUAAACAUUAAAAUUCUUUCACUGAAACUUAAUACGACCCUAAUGUAACUCCACAACAUUGAAUAAACCAUAAAACACAACUUCAUAUAUCGAUAUUUGUGGUCCCGAAACCACUAUUCCAUUACCACUAAACAACGGGAUAUUACAUGCCCUUUUCUAUUGCAGAAGAAACAUUAGAUCUUUUUAGGAUAUUUUGACUUCUUAGCCUUCUUCCUAUCCAUACGAGGUGGAAUCGAAGACUUAGUAGGUUUAUUCUUUCUUUUAGCUUUUUGCUUUCAUUUAGAGGAUGAAAGACCCACUGCUAAGUUUGCCUCAGGUUUCUCCUGAACUGACUUUCCACCAUUCAACAUCAACUAAUAGGAUGGUAAUUCCUUCAUGAGCUGAGUCAAGGUAAGCGCCUUGUUCCUUAAGUUAUAAGCAACCCUAAAACCAGCAAACUCCUUAGUUAAGGAUUUGAACACUAUUUCAAUCUGAGUGUUCACGUCUAGUUCAACCCCAUUGUCUUCCGCUUCCGCAAAGAUUCCCAUAAGCUUAAGCAUAUGUUUUUUGACUAGAGUGCUGGAUUUUUGUUGAGAGUUCAUCAUAUUUGUAAUAGCGGAUUCUCGAGCUAAUGCGACUUUGCCUCGGAGCAAAUCCUCCAAUUUUUUCAUAAUCUUUUUAGUAGUACGAAAAUUCUCAUGUUACUUUUGUAACACAUUACUCAUGCUUGUUAACACAUAACAUCGAGCAAACGAGUCAGAAUCUCUCCAACGAUUUCUCGCUUUGGGCUAAGCUUUAAAAGGGUACAUUUCGUCAAGAACGAAUUUGUGUUUCUCACAGCUAAGAACUAUUAGCAAGUUUCGUUUCUAUUCUCGAAAGUUAUCCCUAUCCAAUUUAUUUUUAGUAAGAAUGCUAAUAAGAGGAGUAAGAGACAUAUUUGAACUGAAAAAUAAAGAUUCACUAAUUACUAUCUUUGUAUUAAGCAAAUAUUUUCAUUUCAGAAACAUAUCAAGAAUGCAAUAUGAUGCAUGCGUCUUGUAUUAAAACCUUGAAAAACCAUUUUUCUGUUGCUACGAUCAUUCUCAUACCCAUCAACCAUGUCAUCUUGGGGUCCCAUGAUUAACUAGAAAGAAUACGAAUUACAUCCAUUUAGUUCGUGAAUCUUAAUUCUCAAGACUCCACACGAACCAAUGACCAUUUUUUUGGAUCGCCGGCACCCCUACGGUGCAGCACCCUAACCAUGGAUCCAUGUGUGAAGAACAAAUCGGGGUGAAAAGAUUACGAAAUUACCUAAUAUUUCGAUUGAGAAGACAGUAACUUCUCAACAAUGUGUAGUCUGAUCUACAGUCAAACCAAGUCACAAUCUAUUGAGACUCUGACCUCUACGUAAUCCACCCAGUUGACUACGAACGGAAGAAAAUUCCCAAAACAGUUUUGAGAGUUGUAUUUCUUUGACGGCUGCUAGACCUUAAAAAUAAUGAAAAACGGGAUUCUAAUAUAUCCCUUUUAUUUUUAGGGUUUUUUAGGAAUUAAAUAAAUAAAAUAAUAUUUUAAACCGAAAAUUAUAAUUACAUUAAUUAUAAUAUAAUUUCGGUAAACCAUAUAUUUAUUUAAAUUCAUAUGCUAAUCAAAUUCAUGUCCUCAUUAUGCGUACAACAACCUUGUACAUAAUGUGUUGGAGAUUUGAUUACUGAAUUAAAUUAAUUCUAUAAUUAAUUUAAUUCAAGUGACACCCAAAAAUAAAACCAACUAUGGUUUAUUCCGUUCAUUUCAACUAUAGGGUGUGACCCUGUAGGUUCCUGUAACGUUAGCAGUAAUACUAGAACGAUUCCAAUGUUACAAACAAUGAGUGGCAUCUAGCAAUGCAUCAUUGCUACCUAAGUCACAAGAGAUCAUGAUUCGACAUAACCUUUUAUGAUUAACCUUUUAUGCAAUAACCCUUAAGUCCUUUAUCUCUGGAUUGGACACAAGUCAUGGAAUAGUCACACUUGUAUAGUCCAUUCCAUGUUCCUUGAUAUCUUAAGCAGACUACGAUAUACAAAUAAGUAUGACAUCUCAUAUCAACUUAUUUGAGCAUGGCCAUGCAUUUCUAGUUUCACUUAAUCAAGUGGCCUAAGAUAUUACUCCCAUUAUGUAGGAGGGACUUAUUCUAUAUUGACCAACCAUAUCCCUCUACAUCGAUUGUGAUAUAUCCAACAUCAGCCUUUAUAGAACAACUAGUUACGGUGUACGUUUAACUGUAUCAAAAUAUACUACUCACGAUGUUGGGAUUAUGAUGAUCUCAAGUCUGAGGAUCAUAUACAUAUUAAUCACUAUGAGUAAUGUCGUGACAAUUACAUAAUAAUCCAAGAGACAUACUCAUAAUGGGUCAGUCCAAUAUGUUGUUCUCUAACACACAUAUUCAUGCAUCGAUUCUGACAUUCCAUAUCAAUGACAACUCUUUAUCAUCAAUCAACUACAUGUUAGUCUUAAUGCAUUAUCAUUGUCCUAUCCAACAAUAAUACUUGACUAAGGAUCUUUUAAGAAUAAUCAUAUUAUUCUUAGGACAUUAUUAUAAAACAGCUUAUUUAUACACACAGAAAAGAAACUUAAAUAAUAAUGGUAACGCCUUAUAUUAAUAAACAUGAUAAAUCAAGUAUGUUAUUACAACCAUCUCAUGAUUGGUCUUUGGGCAUACUCUAACACAUUUAACGUUUGGUCAUCAUCUCUAGCUUAAAUAUAAUUUUUGGGGAAACUAUUUAAUAAGAGAAUAUCUUGAGUGUGUAACCAUUGUCUCAACAUCCAUCAUGAACACACUUUCAUUUGUGAGUCAUCUUGGGACAAUCUCAUAGAGAGUCAUGCAUGACUAGUUUUCCUGAAAAGGAAAUCUCAUCCAGUGAAUUCACAUGAUAAAAUUUACAUUGGGGUGCGGCCAAGGUAGGAACCAACUCAAAAUUUUAUCAUGCUAUCACUUAGGGACCAUUAAUGGAGGUCAUAGGUCUUGUUCAAGAACUUUCUCCCACUCAAUAUUUUAAAAUAGCAUGCAAGGUUUUUUAUCCCAUAUGUCAAGAAUGAUCAUGCAAUAGUCCUAGUGGCAUUUUUACCUAAUCUAUAUGUCAUGCUUCCAAUAUAUGCAUGGUAUGCUAUAAAAAUUUUAUAAUAUUUACAUUCUUUUAUCACAAGAAUCAAUUAACCAAAAAACAAACAAUUUUGAUUCUCCACAGUUUUUGUUUUGAGGGAACAACAGGAGAAGUGAAUGUAAACCAUGCACUAGGUAGGGUCCUAGGAAAAAGAGGCGAGUCAAAUUUGACCGCUUAAAAACCAAGUAUUUCUUAGCUAGAAUCAUUCCUAGACAUGCACGUUCUCAUUACCACACUGCUCACAGUAAUCGAAUAACCUAAAGAAGUGACUAGAACAAUACAACACAAGUAUUUUCUCAUUAUCACACUUCUUAUUUUGUAUUCGAUCAACUACAGAUCAUCUCAUAUAUAUAUCACAAUUAUAACAUUACAUAAUAUAAAUAUUAGAAACAAUUAUAAAACAGUGUCCAUUAAUGUUUCUAUGGUUCUAUUUCCAGAAUAAAUGAAAAAAAAUAAAAUUACAUAAUUUUUCACCACAAGGCAUUCCUUGGGCCUUCAACUGGCAUCGCUCCAUCUUCUCCUCAUUAUGGACUUCUUUUGAAAAAAUUACAUUUAAGUCCUAUAUCUGUUUUCGGCUCACAAGAAUUCUAUGAACUAAAGAAAAAUUCUUAUGUGGAGAUGAUAGUCAACAGUCUAUUUCCUAAGAACCACAACCUUGGAAAACAAAAUUAUAUAACAAAUAUAUAAUAUUGCAUCCAUUCCCAUAUACAACUCAAAACAUGCAUAAGAUCUAAAGAAUAUCACUUUAUAUGUAAUCAAAUCAUUCAAGAAGAAGAGAAAUUUAUAUUGAUUAUCUGCUUAUACUUACAGAUAAAACACAACCUGACUCUAAUACCAAUUGUUGGAAAAUCGAGUUUAGAAAAUGCAAUGGAAAAUAAAUUUAGGGAAAAAUUAGUUUUAAAAAAAAACUCCAAAAAAGAACUUGGUUGUGAUAUCUACAGUAAUAAACACUUAAUCAAAAUUGUAUCUUUUCGAUUCGUCUAGGAUGAACGCUUCGACAUAGUAGUCUUCUCUGUUAUCCUCAAGCUCACGUUUUCCGAGUGUGGUCUUGCUUCGAAUCAAAAAUUUUUUCACAAAAGUACCAGUAGGAUAAUUUUUCAAUUUCUCUAAACUUUUGGGAUAAGUUGUAAAUAAAAAAUAUGUUUAGAAAUUUUCUUAAAUAAUUUCUUUAUAGAAUUUUCUCUCUACAACUUUCUCUUGAAUUCAAGUGUGUGAAAAUAAUGACCCAAGACUCUCUUUAUAUAAGGAGAGUUUAGAGAGUUCAACUAUGAUUAAACUUAAUCACUUUAAUAUUAAAUUUAACCUAAUAUUUAAUCAAGAUAAAUAUUAGUCUAAAUUUAAUAUUAAAUCUUAUUAAAUUAAUAGAAUAUUUAUCUACAAUAUAAACAUUAAAUUAAAUUUAAUAUUAAGAUAAUAACUUUAAUAUUAAAUUAAUAAAAUACUAUUAAUAAGUAUUACAUUAAAUUUAAUAUUAAAUAUAUUAAAAUAAUAUUAUUUCUGGAAUAGUUAAUCUGAAAUCAAAUUCUCUAGUAGAAUCCCAAUAGGAGUAUAAUUCUUCCACUACUCAACCACCGAAGAGAACCACCGUCGUUGACCAUAUUCCUACCACUGGAAUGUUGUCGUCAUAGCUGUCGAUGCCUCGAGUUGGUUCGAUUUCUAGCGGUUCGGUCCGAGCCAAUGAUAGCCAGAUCGGUCCGGUCCAAGCAGUUUUCACAUCCAAGCCCGGUUCGACUAGUUUUUGGGUCUUGGUCUUGAUUUUGGUCUCCCGAGCCCAAUUUACGAUAUCAGGUCCAAUUUUCAAGUUCAAUUACCCAUUGGUCCAACUGUUUGAGUUGAAAAUUAAUUUCUAAAAAUAUCAUAUUAAUUUUAUUAAUUUAAUUUUACUUGAUCAAAAUAAAUUUUUCCAAAAAUGAUUUAGAUUUUCCAAAUUAAUUUUGCAAGAAAAUUCUUUAAUCAAAUUCUUUAGUUGAACAAUUCUUACAACCGCCCAAUUUAUUUCAACAUCGAAUAAAUUGACUCAAUUAAAUUAUUUAUAAAGUCGUAAAAUUUACUUCUAAUUCAAAUGCAGUCCAGUUGAGCUUUUGUUGAGCUAGCAAACGGACCAAUCAAACAUAUACAAUUAGGAUUUAUUAAUUGUAAUUAUGUCCAGAAGCACCGUUCUGAUAAUUCACAAUUACAUAAUCAUGGAGCCAGUCCACAAUAAGUACUAUGAUUGAAAACUCAUUAUUGUAUACUCUUUACGAAAGUAAUUCAUCCAACUGUUUUGCCCAAUGACCUCAUCAUGUUUGCCUCAUAUGAUAUCCUUGAUUCCUUUGAGUUGAUGUGUUCUCGGGUUUGCUAAAUAGGCUGAAACCUAAGCUGCCAUUUCCAUCCUAUUUGGGACUAUGACGCAGGCUAAAGCUAAAGGAUUCAAAUAAGUAUUUGUGGGCUCUUAAGGCCCUAACCAUCCACUUUAUUUAUUUAAUUAAUUCCACAAUUUAUAAUUUUAAUUUUAUUUAAUAUGUGUCAUGAUUGUGUCGUUGUUAUUACAUUGUUUUAAAUAGAGUCUUAAGAAUGUCUAGUUUGCUACAUGUUUAAUGUGUCUUAAAAUAUGUUAUGGUGUCAUUAUUAUGUUCCAUUUUAUUACAACAUUGUUAUUAUGUUUAUUGUGUCCUAAUGGUGUGUUUAACGUGCCCUAGGGAAAUCUAAUGGCCUUCUUAAGAAGCUAAGGGAUUUUUCGCUUGGCUAAAAGAGAUCAAGCGCGUUCACACCUGUUCAAUUCAGCUUGAAAAGUGACCAUUCAACCAACAAGUGCUUCAUUAAGUGCCACUAUCCAAAUGAGGGCUGAACAUGGUUGUUGGAAACUUUUCUAGAAAAUGUCUAUUGGGUUUUUCCAUGCCUCAUAAAGCCGCCGUCCACCAAGGGGGAAGUAUAAGCCUUUUGAAGAAUUGCUUAGCCAUUUAGCAUGCUUGAAUUCUUCCCCAAUGUAAUUAAUGGCAACCUCUAUAUUCAAUGCUAAGAUGCAUGGACGACUAAGGUUAUGUACUUGAGUUUAAAGUAACAUUUCAUAUCUUUCACAUUAAGACCGAAUGUGGCCAUUAGCAUACCUAAGCUUAUAAAGAUUUUAGUCAUGUUAUUUUGUAAGGUUAGACAUCUUUGAAUCAAUAUUGUGAGAUUAUUCUCUUGUUCCUUAAGAACUUAUUUCUAACUUAUCAAGAAUUCAUUCUUGUGGCAUUCUCCCAUUUUUUAUCUUAUCACACCCCUUCUUAUCUUUCCGGAGUGUGGCAGUCAACCCUAUACCUUUGGUUCUUAUCUCUAUAUAGAUAGAGGGUCAAGGUUCUUCUUUUUUUCUAAGCUUCUUGAGUUUUAAACAACCAUAUAGAAAUCGGGUUGUGUUAUUUUAUAACGUUGGUUCAUUUUUGUUCAUUUUAAGUUCGUGAGUUAUAUCUUGUCAAGAACGAAUGGGAACUUAAUAAUCAUGACUCGUGAUUUCAAUACGUAACAAGGUUCAUGUCAUGAGUUAAAUCCGUUCACUCAAUAAAAUCCUAUUUUAUCCCAUUGUCACCAUUGUGUCUUUUUAAUGAUUAACAUGAUCACUGUUAACAAAUGGCUGUGAUAAAUUGCUCGUUCGAGAACAAGUAACCGUGGUCACGUUCCAUGUUUAUUAAUCCACACAACACCAAUGAGAGGAUAUCGUUAACUCUUUAAUUGAGCUAUAAAUUCCAUUAUUGCUAAUAAAGUCAUGCCAUACACAAGUCAUGUACCCAACAUACCAACUAACGGAUCGAUCAUCUUUACAACAUAAGCCUCCACUUAUAUCAAAGCACAUGAGUUACAUAUGCAUGGUCAUUGACUAACUCAAGAUUUUGUUAAAUCACACCAUAAAUGUCACAAGUGAAUUAAUUCAUCUUGGGUCCAAUCCAAUGUAUCAUUCUACCAAUGAAUACAUCUAUGUCUCUACUCGUGGAGUAAAUUGCUCUGAUAACCAGGACUAGUCAUCACCUCUAUUGGAAUUGUAGACGACAUAAUAAUCCUUCUCAGUAUUUGAAUCAAAUGCUCACUUUGAUUCUUUUAUGGGAUUACAGACUCUUUUAUAUUAUCUACUAAAGUAAGUUGUCUUUCUCGCCACGUAAACAUUUUUAUAAUUCAACUUAUAAUCAAUUUGAACUUAGAUAAUCAAUAAGUUAAUAUUUGUUUGUCACAAAUUCACUAUGCAUGCAAAAUAUGAAAGACAGAAAUACACAAGACAUAAUAGUAAAAUGUGAACUUUAUUUAUUCACCGUUCAAAUACAUAAAAAAUAAUUACAUGUUUACUACAAUAUGAGCACAUUUCCUAACACAACCAAGAAGGAAUUUGGCUCACGACCGUCGAACACCCGGAUGUGGCACACAUUUUGACACGGGAUAAUAGUUGAUUUACUUUAUUAUUGUACUUAUCAUGUUAACAUUUCAAUAAAUAUCAAACAUGUUUAUUGCAUCGAUGUCAAACAUCUUUAUUUUUUAAAAUAAAAAUAAUUGUUUCAUUAAAGUUGGCCUUUGUUAUAAAUUAUUAAUUUGUAUUGUAUAGCAAAAAUGUUUUUUUUUUGCAAAGUACAAUAAGUUGAUUACAAUAAACAAUUUAAUAGGUCUAUUCAUGAGGUGUUGUAAUUGUACCAUCCCUUCGGUGUGGACAUGAUGACAUUGUAUGCCUCGGAUGCCUUCACCACCCACAUAACGUUGGUUGGUGUGGCUUCUCUUGGAUAUCGAUGUUAUCGCAUAUCCAAGUGGACGUCGGUCGACCUUUUGGUUUGUGACAAAAUAAUCUAUCGGGUAACAACUUGAAUAGAGCGUUAGAUACAGAUGGCCACUUGCGUUCAUUAGGGACCUAUGGGAAUACAUUUCUCCACACGUUGUACAUGUUUACCUGUUUGUAGACUUCAUCCACAAAGCUUAUUAGAUCCAAACGUAGACUGCUACAUGCUACAAUUACAUGAGCACAUGGAAAUCGAAGUGCGUCAAAUCUCCCACAGUCACAGGUUCAAUAUCUGAGGUGUACAUGGUACGCUCCCCCAACAAUCUUUUGGUUGGGUCUUUCGAAUUCUAUUACCCAAAACCAUAAGUCUUCACGCGAGUGACACACUAGAUGCAUACAAUUCACUCGUGUUGUUGCCUUCCUAAUUUCUUUUAGUAUGUCCUCGCUCCAAACAUGGUCGCCCUGUAUCUGCCCAACAUAAUUCGCCGCUCGCUUUGGAAAAAUUUCAGCCAAACGGAAGUAUGUCACUUUGAUAACCGAGGUUACCAACAAAUGAUACGUUCUCUUCAAAGCAGAAUUGAUGCAUUCUGCCAGGUUUUUUGUCAUGUGCCCAAACCAUAGACCCUCAUCAUAGGAUUGUGUCCAUUGUUCAAAGGGUAUGUUACCGAGGUAGUCCGCCCCGUCAUCAUUAAUGGCCUGUAAGUUUCUCAGCAUUUCACAGAAACAGUCUUUGAAGAACUCAUACCCUAUCAACAAAAGUGAAUAAUAGUUUAUCCAUAAUGCCCAACAUUUUCUCACUGGUUAAAUAUCAAAGAAUAAUUAAUAGUAGCAAUUAUAUACCCAUGUUGAUCACUUGUGCUCAUGAGCAGUAGAGUCGUAUUAUCUAUGGUAAAUCGAUGAACAUGCCUUAGACAAUACCUAUGGUAUGUGUGGUCCCAAAGGCUUCCCUGUCGUCCAAAUAUGGCUAGAAUUUUAGGCCCUCAAUUUGAGAUGAUGCAAAUAUCGAGUUGGGGGAAAACAUGCCUCAUCAACUUAGAAAGGAAGAAUUCCAAUCAUCUGUUGGCUCUCCAAGCAUGAUUGCAAAGGCAAUCGGUAGGAUUUUUCAAUUAUCGUACUGUGCCACACCCAACAACAACCAAUGGGUAUAUCUCUCGUACAUAAAAGUACCUUCGUUUGUACAAGUGGCUUACAGUAUUGGAAUGCCUCUCGACAUUGCAUGAAAGUCCAAAACAAAUGUUUGAACACUCGGGAUCCAUGGAGCAACCGAUUGUUGUAGUACGCAACCUGAUACGUACAUCUUCAAGACCUGACACCACUGCCAUAUCUCAUUAUACGACGUAUUCCACCCACUAUGCCUUCUCCAAUGUCUUCUGCUUUACGAUCCACGCCUUGCAGUACGAAGACGUGUAAUCGAACUGGCUACAAAAAUUUACAAUUAGAACUAGCACAACAAUUUUAGGACUCGCUUUGACUACAGAGUAUUAUAUCUGCGAUCAUCUUUGAAUCCAAUUUUGAAUGGUCCCGUGAAAUACUUGUAACAACACGAGUACGUUAAGAUUAUCAAUUCAAUCGUGUCAUACACUAAACCAGUAUUAGUGCAGUAUCCGUGACAACACACGUAAACAGAGCGACAAAUUUCUCUAUCGUUCAUAACCCCGUUUUUCUCUUAACAGAUAUCAUGAUUUUCCAUGCAUAUCUGCUGUCUCGCAUUGCGCACUUCACCUUGAACUUGUCAGAUCGGGAUUUAACCACAUAGAAGUUUACCCCAUUUUUAAUUUUGUAUCGCUUCACUGUAACGAUAAAACCAUCUUCAGUUGAGAACUCUUUCCCCACUUCUAAAUCACCCGAAUCCAUCGAAGAAAUCGUUUGGCCCGACCUUCUAGGUGGUAAUUCUGCAAACUCCAUUCCAUCAUCUAUAAAUAGGUCCACAUUAUGCAUGUAGACUGGAGGUGAGUACGCCGUGAACCAUGGAUCUUUUUCAGCAUCAUUACUGAGACAUUUACCAUUUGAACCCUCUAUCUUUUAGUUCAGUUGGAAUCAGUUCUAAUUCAGAAAAUAAUGCAUUUUCUGAACCAUCAGCACCAACAUCUUCCGUGUCAUUCCCUUGUAAGUGUUCCUAGCAUUGAACACUAGCUAACUGAAGUUUAAAUCAGAACCACUAACUAAGUGUUGUGCAGGGGUCCUACCACAAAACCCCGAUUGAUCGGUGUUCUGACUGCUGUAGUUGAAAACUAGUGCUGAAACAGAUGGAUGUCUUCCCAUUUAUGAUUCUGGAUAUCAUAAUGGAAAUUUUCUAAUUGAGAGGUGAACCCACCACACAACUGUGUCGUUGGACUCUCAACUUGUUCUUCCAUUCUAGCCUCUCGAAUAGGAACAUAUGUCGACCUCCGAGGACCUUAUAUGUCCUUGUAAACUCCACAUAUAACUCGAAAAAUGGUGAUCCAAUUCCAAUAUGCGUCUGCACUAUCGCCUCUAACCCCCUCGCACCUUUGAUUUUGAAAGCGUCAUAUCUGAUAGGGUCGACUGAAGCACAAAAUUGAUAUUUAAGGGACAAUACUCUAAUCUGGUUGGAUCUGAUAAUUUUUUGCCUAAUUCUUUUCCAAAGUUAUGGCAAUUCUAUGUUCUAGUUAAAAGCUAACCGCGUUGUGUUCUCUGAUAAAAAAUGACACCAUUUUCGGUGUCAUGCACUUCACCAUCGUAGUAAACAAAAGCAUUCAUUCGUCCACUCAUUUUUAGAUCUAGAUAACCUAUUCCACAUGUUCGACACAAAAUUAUCAUGUAGAGAAAUAGUGUUGUAAUUAAAUAUGAACAACAAAAAUCAAUGCUACUUUAUAUAAUUGCUCCAACUUAUGCCUUAUAUGUGAACUUCUCCUCUUAUGAUCUUCUUACAAUUUUUCUUUACUCGUAAAUGGAUUAUGCCACUCGAUGUUGAAUUAAUUUGGUUUUAUAAACUAGAGGCGACUUGCAGUUGGUUCAGAAAAUUCUCCAGGCCUAGUGGGGAGUUAAAAAUUGUAAAGAGAAAACGCUCCAAGUAGGAUGCACUGUCUGAAAACACUUUCAAGUGGGCACACUUUCAAUGUUUCUAAUGAUAGUGUUGUUAGAGUAUGCCCAAAGACCAAUCAUGAUAUGAUUGCAAUAACUUACUUAUUUUACCUCGUUUAUUAAUAUAAGGCAUUGUCAUUAUUAUUUCAGUUUUUUCUAUGUAUAUAAAUAAACUAUUUUAGAUAAUAAUAUCUUAAGAAUAAUAUGAUUAUUCUUAGAAGGUCCUUAGUCGAGUAUUAUUGUGAGCUUGGACAACAAUAAUGCAUUAAGACUAACGUGUAGUUUAUUAAUGACAAAGUGUUUUCAUUGACAUGGCAUGUCAAAAUCAAUACAUGAGUAUAUGUGUGAACAACAUAUUGGACUAACCCGCUAUGAGUAUGUUUCUUGGAUUAUUAUGUAAUAGUCACAACGUUACUCAUAGUGAUUACUAUGUAUACGAUCCUCAAACUUAAAAUCAUCAUUAUCUUAACAUCAUGAGUCGUAUAUUUUGAUACAAUCAAACAUUCACCGUAACUGGUUGUUCUAUAAAGGCUGAUGUUGGAUAUACUACAAUCUAUGUAGUGGGAUAUGGUUGAUCAAUAUAAGAUUUGCCCUUCCUACAUAAUGGGAGCAAUAUCUUAGGCUACUUGAUUGAAUGAGACUAGAAAUGCAUGACCAUGCUCGAAUAAGUUGAUAUGAGAUAUCAUACUUAUUUGUUUAUCAUAGUCUACUCAGGAUAUCAAGAAACAUUCGAUAGACUAUGCAAGUGUGACUAUUCCAUAACUUGUGUCCAUUCUAGAUAGAAAGAACAAAAGGAUUAAUACAUGAAGGGUUAAUCACAGAGAGGUUAUGUUGAAUCAUGACUUCUUAUAACUUAGGUAGCAAUGAUGCAUUGCUAGAUGCCACUCAUUAUUUGUAAUAUUAGAAUCGUUCUAGUAUUACUGCUAACACUACAAGAACAUACAAGGUCACACUCUAUGGUUAAAACGAACGGAAUCCAAACAUAGUUGGUAAUAUUUUUAGCUGUCACAUGAAUUAAAUUGAUUAUAGAAUUAAUUUAAUUGAGCAUUUAAAUAUCGAACAAAUUAUAUGUACAAGCAUGUUGUACACAUAAUGAGAACAUGAUUAAAUUAAUAUAAAUGAAUUUGAUUUGUAUAAAAUUUAACUAAACAUAAUUUAUCGAAAUCAUUGUUAUAAUUGUUGUAAUUAUAAUUUACGAUCGAAUAUUAUUAUAAUUAUUGUAAUUAUAAUUUUUCGAUCAAACAUUAUUAUAAUUGUGGUAAUUAUAAUUAUUACAUUCGGUUAAUUAUUAUAAUGAAUUUUGAUUCAUAUUAAAAAUAUCAACUAUUCCCAGAUUAGGAAAUAUAGGGUUUUUAAGAAAACCUAAUAUACUUGAAAUAAAAAGAGUGAGGUCUUGCAGCCAUUCUAUAGUGAAUUCUCUCUGAAAAUUUUAAGAGAGUUCUUGUCGUUCGUUGCGACACCAGGUGGAUUAUGUAGAGACCGAAACUUUUUGUAGCGGCUUGGAAUCGACAUACAAUUGCGUAAUCAAUUUCACAACAAUUAUCUGUAGUUUUUCAGACGAUUAAAAGUAAUCGUUCAUACCCUUCUCACCCCGAUUCGUUUCUCGCACAUGGAUCCCUGGAUGUGAUCGCCAAAUUUAAUUUUUUUCGGUUGCACCAUGGGGUGUACUAGUGUUCUUACAAGUGCGUCCUACUUGGAGUGUUUUCUCUCUAUAAAUUUCAACCCCAGCCUUAUUCCAAGAAACUCAUCAUAUAUCCCAGGAUUCCUGAGAUAUAUUUUCUAAACUUAACUAUUUGAAAAUAAUAGAUAAGAGAAUAAACAAUUUACUAAAAAAUUGGAUCAAACAAAUAUUAAGAAAGCGAAAAAAUUAAUAACUAAUAUUUCAUCCCUCGCGAGUAGACCAGGUUUCGAUUAUGAAUCCAAUUCAAUUUUCCAAUUUGAAUAUACGAUUGGUGUAAAUACGAUGUUUUAAAUUUUGAAAUAAAUAGUUAUUAUUUAACAUCUCAAAAAAUUAUUACAAAAUAAAUAAUUAAAAAACUCAAAAAAAAAUUAUUAAACCCUAAACUCAAAAAACCUUACUUUAUAUACCCAAAACCCUAACCCUAAAAACUAAUAACCCUAAUUUUAAAAAGGUCUGGCAUUGGAAAAAUCAAAGGAAAAGUGUUUCUAGUUAGAAGUGUUUUCAGUUGACUUGGCAGAAAGUGCUUCCAACUGGAAACGUUUUUCAGGCAACACGUUGAAAAUGCUUCCAACUGGAAGUGUUUUCCAAAAAAUGGUCUAUUCCCGUAAUUUUUACUAAAAUCGGCCUAUUCACAUAAUUUUUUUGACAUUUAUUGGUAAGUUAGUCCAAUUAAAAUAAUUUUAAUUCUUGAAUUAAAAUAAGUUGAAUUUAGAAAGAAAAAGAAAGUCUACCUUGUAGCAUGUCUGUUUGGUUUUCUCUCUGUCUGCUUGUAAAAUGGUGGAAGAAAUGGUGAAUCUCAAUAUAGCAGAAGAUAAGAAAGAGCCGGUGCAAGCUUUGGGGGAUAAAGAUGUGGUAGAAGAGUAUUAUAGCCUAUGUUUGGUGGGGCGGGUAUUAACGAAUAGUGUGGUUCAUUUCCCAUUUAUGAGGAAUAUUUUGGUAGAUCUGUGGCAUCUGUUGGGGGGAGUAUCCAGCACGGAUAUUGGGGAAAAGCGAGUCCUGUUUUGAUUUUUCAAUAUGAUAGAUCUGAGGAGGGUGAUGGAUGGAAUGCCCUGGUUUUUUAACAUACACCUAAUUAUUUUCCAUUAACUAGAGAAGGGGGAAAGAUCCUUUGCAAGUCCCUCUCAUUCAUGCCUUAUUUUGGGUGUAAGCGCAUAAUUUGCCGAUGGGUUUCAUGUUCGAAGGAAUGGCGCGUAGAUUGGAAACUUUAUUCGCCAAUUUCUAGAGUAUGAUGUUGCGUUAAUAACAAGGAGAGUAAGGAAGUUUAUGCGUAUUAGGGUUAAAUUAGAUGUCCUGGUUCCGUUGAAAAGGAAGAAGCGUGUAGUCUUUUAGCAUAAUAGAUCCACAGAUGCACAGUUCCAAUAUGAGAAGAUUACUUUGUUCUAUUUUUUAUGCGGUAGGUUGGGCCACGGGGAAGGAUUUUGUCCUGUUAGAUUAAUGCUAGGAGCACAGGAGGUGGUUUUUGGUUGGGAUAGCUCGUUGUGGGCUUCACCGCAGAGGGCGGUGCCGGUUGCUAGUUGCUGGCUGAGGGAAGAUCCGGGGGAUGGAGUUGGAUAGAGGACAAGAGGGGAGGAAUUUUGGGGAUAUUCAAACUGCUCAAUCUUAUAACAGUGAACAAGCGUUGUUUUAUUAAUGAUAAUUUGAUAACAAUAUUGUUGAAAAUACCAAUUUGUUUAGAGCUACUGAAGUCUCUGUUUCUCCAGGUUUAUGAAAGCAAAUACAUGAAUGGUUACCUUUCCCAGUUGGCAUAAUUCCAGUAGGGGUGAAAGUAGAGUACUUCCUCCUCAAGUUGAACUCCAAACUUGCUGUCAACCUUAUCCUUCACCAAAGCAAUGAGAUUGAGCAUGUCUUGAGAAGUGGAGGCACCAUUAUUAACUAAGAAAUUGGCAUGGAUAUUGGAAACCAUUGCUCCUCCUAUGCUACACCCUUUCAAUCCAGCUUUAUCAAUCAACUCAGCUGCUGAAACACCCAAAUUCACCGGAUUCCGAAACACUGACCCAGCGCUGCGUUCAUUUACUGGUUGAGUUGCUCUUCGCCUGCAAAUAACAAUUGUUUAUCAGUAAGCAAACCUUUUUCAUACACUGGUUUUGACUUUAAAAGACAGGCAACCUCUUCAAAAGCUCUUGUUGCCUUUUCUUAGCUGACCCUGAGCGCUCUAACCGGAACGUAGCAGCCACGAUUGCUGCCAAGUUGUCCAUGUCCUGAAACGAUGAUGAUCGGUAGCCGAAAGUGAGAUCAAUUCUGUUCAGUGUCCGAAAAUUUCCUUCAGUUGUAACAAUGUCUACGCUUUCAAUAACAUUGGCAGUCUCCUUCAAAAACAAAUGAUCCUUUUUAGCUUCUUCAACCACGAAAAGUAACAAAAAUCCAUUAAUGGUUAGGGUUUAAUCUCAAGAUAAGUUGAAGUCUGAACUCGAGUUCCAUUCAAAAUUCGCAACCCAAAAUCCAAAUCGAGUAUGAUGAACUAUUUCAAACUUAUAUAUCAAAUAACUUUUCUCUACCUUCAACUUCAAACUCAAUUAUUUUUGCUCGAGCUUCGAACUCCAAAUUAGAAUACUCCAAUUCUGGAGCUCGACAAUGACCGAACCAAAUUGGAGUUAAGAAUUAGAGACAUACCUGACCAUUUGCUCCAGCAUUCAUGUAAGUUGCACCUCCUACAGUCCCAGGAAUGCCUGCUGCAAACUCAAGACCUGUAAAUCCUUCAUUGCAACUCAGACUUCCCAAGUGAUUAAAUCGAAAACCACUACCAGCCCUAUAAACUCCAGGUUCCAUCCUCUCUAAGAAGUCAAUCUGAUUUAGAAGCACACAACCAUCAAAACCCAGAUCAUCAAACAGACAAUUUGAGCCUUUGCCAAUCACAACGUAUGGAAUGGAAAACUCACGACAAUAUCUGCAUUACGUAUCAGUUGAAAUCUAAAAUGUUGGUCAUUGAAUCAAAGAGCUUUCAGCCUUGUCAAAAGAAUCAAAUUCAAAUAAAUUACCAUUUCUACUUUAUUAAGAUAAGGUUGAAGAUAGCAAGAAGAAUGAAACCUGAUGGCAGAAAGCAGAUGGGUUUGGUGAAAGACUUGAACAAAGUAAUUGCAAGGGCCACCAAUGCCCCAAGUGCUAAGAUCCUUCAAGAGUUUCUUGCCUCUGACGAAUUUCAAGGCAUUCCAAUUCUGGGUUUGCUCUUUGUUACUGGAAAAAAUGGGGGUUGAGUUUCUAGGAGAUUGAACAACGGGGAAGGCCAUGGACGCCAUUUUAGUGAAGGUUGGAGGAGUUGGGAGCAUGAGUGACGGAUUUUGUCGGGAAGUUGAGAACGGGAAAUUUAUUUCCAUCAGGUUCUUGAUGGGCUUUCACUAUCAAAGAUUUAAACACUUCCGUUUAAUGCGUUAUUACGGUAAAAAGUUCUUUCACUCCACUCAAUUUGGGAAAUAGUAACUGAGGGUUAAUUUUAUAUAAUUUUGAUUAAUAAUAUAAUUACAUAUUUUAACAAUUUAAUUUUAAUCCUAAAAAUUUAAUAAAUUUAACAUUUAAUAUAUAAAAAUCAAUAAAAAAAUACAAUUUAAUCUUCAGCACCCAUAGCAAUUCUUCCUCCUAUCUUUGGAUCCUUCCAUCUUAUUUUUGAAUUCUAAAGCUCUAAAUACUUUCACAAAUAAUGUUUCUUUUUUCUUCUUAAUAUCUGAAAAUCGUAAAGAUUCAAGGAAGCUUCUUUAGAUUCACUUUAAGACGGUAAUGUAUUCCAUCGACAUCCAACCUCUUUUGUAAUAAGUCGUUGAUUAUUUUUAUUAUUUUCCUCCAUCGACUAUAUUUUUCUUCUCAUAUUUAGUUCCAAUCAACAUAAUUAAUCUGUUUCCAUUCCCAUAUUAAUUGCUUUUACUUUUCCUUUUUCUUCCCCUUCUUGAGGUUAAGAAAUCCCAUAAAAGUAAUUUUUUUUAAUCAAUUGAGGUGUUUGUCUGGGUUUGGCUUAGUUGCCCAUCUCAACAAAGCAAAAGUUUUGAGAAAUUGGGUUUUGAAUUCUACAUUGGAUGGGUUUUGAGAAAUUGAGGUUCCUCCGUUAGAUAGGUUCAACGCCAUUUAUAUAUGUAAAAAGAAGAGCAUUCAAUAUGGGAAUGGAAAUUGGAAACAUUUUAACUUUACCACCAUCGGAUCAUGCCCAAACUCAAACCAGCAGCACUUUUCUUUUUCCAAAAUUAGAGAGCAAAGGGAAGUGAAAUAAUAUAAUAUGUCUUGAUUACCAACAAUUGCGGAUCUAAACCAUUGCUUCCAGCAUUCACCUCCAAUGGGUCAUUCGUAUCUAACAGGAUUUCGAAUAAAUUGCCUGAAACACAUAGUUGGAAAUUUUGAGUAUUUUUAAAAUAUAUUUUUUUAAAAUUUGAGAAAAUUUGAAAUUUAUAUAUAUUUGAAGUUUAUUUUUUUAUAUAUAUUUUAUUCUCAUAUAGUUUUUCAUUUUAGAAUCAAAACCAAAUUGAUUGAAGGUGUAAAUACUAAGGGUUAAAUUUGAUUUGUUUUAAAAAUUGGAACCAAUUUGACAAAAUAUGAAAAUAUUAAAUGCUAAAAUUGUUAUUAUACCAAUUAAAAUUAUUUAAAGCUGGCAAAAAAAAUGAUCGUCCUUAGUUGCACAAUUUUGAAAUUUUUAGAGAUUAAACUACUUUGUUUUUUUAGAAGAAUCAAUUUAAUCAAUAUCGAAUUUGACAAGGACAGGGGAGGUCUUUCCACCAUGUUAAUUACUAUAAUUUUAAAUUUCUGAUAUUUAAACAAAGAAGGGGAAGAAAUACUGGAUGGCAAUUAAAGUGGAUUUAGAGAAAGCUUACGAUAGAAUUCGGUGGGAUUUCAUUAGUGAUACUUUGUUGGACGUUGGAUUUCCUUCGAAUUUAAACGAGGUGAUUAUGGAGUGUAGUACUUCGGCUUUCAUGCAGAUAUUAUGGAAUGGAAAACCUUCAGUCUAAUUUGUUCCAAGGAGAGGCAUUAGACAAGGAUGUUGUAACAGCCCGUUUUCGAUAAAAUCGGAACAAUGGUUUCGGGACCACAAAUCUAAUUUCGGAAAAAAAUUUAUUAUUAUAUUAUUUUAUAGUCUAUAGUAUGAUAGUAAUGUCAUAUAAAAAUUUCGUAAAGAAAUUUUACCGAUUACAUGUUUAAUUUGAUAAAGUACCAAAUUGCACAAAGUGCAAAAGUUGAGUUCUAAUAGCUAAAGGGAUUAAAUAGCUAUAGAACUUUAAAUUGGAGGUCCUUAUAUGGUAAAUAGACCAUUAAAAAAACUUAGUAAUUAAGAAUGAUGAUUCAUCCAUGGAAAAUAAAAUAAAGAAAAGGAUGAAAUUAGAAAGUGAAAUAAUAAAAGAUAAUAAAUGAUGAAAAGAUAAAAAUAUCAUCAUUUAUAUCAUCUUUCCCAAAUUAAAAGCAUGGAAACCCUAGCACUGGAAACCUAAGCUCAAGCCAACUUAUUUUGCUUGAUUAGGUAAUUAUUCUUGCCCGUUUUUAAUAAUUUUUAUAUUUCUCAUAUCGUAAAAGCUUAAUCUAGCUAUCUUCAGGAUUAAUUUGCAAAUUUAUCAAGGUACUAGGGUUUUUCCAUGGAUGAACAUAGAUGAAUUAUGAAGUUUUAUGAUAGAAAAUGAAAGGUUGUUGAUAAACAACUUUUGUAAAGCGAAUUUUGAUGAAAUUAUGAUUUAGGAACUAAAUUGAAAAGAUAUAAAAUUCAUGAAAAAAUUCUAAAUUUUAUGAAAUACAUGGGCUGUAAAUUUUACAUGUAAAAAUCGACUAGGCUUGGAAUAAGGAUUAAAUUGCAUGAAUUUUAUUUUUCGAACUUAGGGACGAAAUCGUUAUUAAUUAAAAUUUUAGGGGUAAAAUGGUAAUUUUUUCUGAGAUAUGGAUUGAAUUGAAAUGAACAUGAAUUAAUGUUAAAUUCAUCAUAUAGAUUCGGAUAGACCAAAUUCGAAGUUAGAACGAGGAAAAGAGAAAAUGUUGGAUUAGUAAAUUUUGCGUACACGAAUAUUUGUCGAGGUAAGUUCGUGUAACUAAAUUAUGUAUAUUAAUAUGUUUUAAUUGAAUGUUGUGUAUGUGAACUGUAUAAAUGCUAAAUAUAUGAAAUUGAUUACAUAUCCGAAAAAGCCCGAUAAAUAUUAAAUCUCGUUUGAAUAAUGGAAUUCGAUGGAUACAGAAUUUCCCAAUUGGUUGUAGUCCUGCAUGUGUUGCGGACACACCACAGCUCCUACGAGCAUCCUGUUAUAAGCCCUCUCAAGCUUCUUGUUAUAUGGUUCCUACAAGCAUCCUGAUCGAUAGUGAUCUUGCAUGUGUUGCGGACUACCGCAGCUCAUUGUGAUCGUCCUGUUAUAUGAUCGGUUGUGAUCCUGCAUAUAUUGCGAACACAAACACAGCUCCUUAUGAGCGUCCAGAUAUGGCUCGUUUGAACUUCCUGAUAUAUGGUUAUCCGGAGCUCCUGAUUAAAAGCUCUUCGUGAGCUUCUUAAUUAAAAGUUCUUUAUGAACUUCCUGAUUAUUACUCUUAUGAGAUUCCUGUUAUAUAGCCUGGAUAAGCUUCCUGAUAGGCUCUUUAUGAGCUUCCCAAUUAAUGGCUCUUUGCGAGCUUCCUGUUAUAUGGUUUAAGAGAAGAUUUCUCGAUUAUGUGCUAUAAAGAGCACUCUUGAACAUGAAUUGACAGAUUUCUAAUUUGUACACUUCGAGUGUACUACCUGUGUAUCCAUCGAUAUUUCAAAUAAAUUCAACGGGCAAAAUCCUGACAUGAGAAAAUAUGAACAUGAAAUGAAUUAAAACACGUAUCUACCUGAAAUACAUGAAAAUGAUGAUACAUGAUAUAUGGAAAUACGAGAUGAUAAUAUAUGAACAUGGAAUUUGUUUGAUAAAUAUGUUCAUCCAUGAUUAUAGAUUUGUACACCUUGAGUGUAUUACUCGUGUGACACUAACAUUUCAAAUGAUUCAAUGGGCAAAGUUCCGACAUGAAAUAAUCUGAACUCGAGACGAAUUAUCAUGAAAAUGUACUUGAAAUAAAAUUAAAUAUCAUUUUACUUGAUCUGUAUAUUUCGGUAAUGCUUCGUAACCCUAUUUCAGAGACAGAUACGGGUUAGGGGUGUUACCGAUGUCCAAUGUCUCCUUAUAUCUUAGUGCUUUGUAAGGAAAAAUUGGGUCAUUUAAUUCAUAAGAAUGUUAAGAAUAAACUGUGGAAACCAAUUGUUCAGGGUAAGAAUGGCCUCCUUUAUCACAUCUUUUAUUCGUUGGUGACCUGUUCUUGUUUGCUGAAGUAGAUAUUGAUUAGGCUAAGGUCUUAAAAAAUGUUCUCAACACUUUUAGAGACGUCUUGGGACAUGAAGUCAAUAGACUUAAAACCACUGGCUCUUCUCUAGCAACAUAGACUCCAACCAUGCUAAUGCCAUCUGUAGUGUUUUUGGUUUUUUCCAGACUGAUGAUUUGAGGAUUUAUCUGGGACUACCUCUCAUUCACUGAUGAAUAACAGUGAACUCUUUCAAAUUCAUUGUGGACAAAGUUAGACGAAAGUUGGACAGUUGAAAUGCCAAAAACACUAUCUGUGGUGAGAUGAGUAACUUUAGCUCGGCCAGUUUUAUUGUCGAUUUCUAAUUAUUUUAUGCAAACUGUGAAAAUCUCGUUUAGUAUUUGUACAGAAAUUGAAAAAAUUGCUCAGUGAUUUAUUUGGGGGAGUUAUGGAACCUUUCAAAAACCAGUGUUGGUAAAAUAGGGAGAUUGUUGUCAACCUUUGCAUAAUGGGGGCUUAGGUAUCUGGAGACUUAAGGAACAAAAUGAUUCUUUUUUGCUUAAUUUGGGAUUUAAUCUCCUAACCAAUGAGCAAGCUUUGUGGGUAAGGGUACUCCGUUCUAAGUACAAGCUCUUGGAGGAUUUUUCUAAAGACAUUUCUCGAAGCAAAUGUUCUCUUGUCUGGAGAUUGCUUGCGAAGGUUUAACCCAUUUUGCGUUAUAAUUUUAUUUGGUCAGUUGGUGAUAGGAAUUGUAUAAAAUUUUGGACUGUCAAUUGGAUUUCUGAAAUAGGGCCGCUUAUAAACCAUGAUUUGGUUCCCUCUCUGGUUGAUGUUUCUAUUAUGCUUCAUGAGGCGGUGGAUAUAGAAGGUAUUUGGCACUGGAAAUACUUGAGGUGUUUUUUAAAUGAGGAUAUUCUAUCUUAAAUCAGAGGAAUUUCGACUAUGAAUUCUUUAACAGGCUAUGAUGAUGUUAUUUCGAGCUGGGCAGCUAAUGGAAAAUUUAGCAUCAAUGAGGCUUACUGUAAGCUAACAAUUAACUCAUUGAAAAUGCAAGAAGAAAAAUGGAAUCUUGUUUGGUAUUUGAAUGUCUUACAACGUGUUCAACAUUUUAGUUGGAUUGUGUAUAAGGGACGUCUCUUUACUAAUUUGGAAAGGUGUAGACAAGGAUUGUCAGAAUACCAUCAUGUAAGAUUUAUGGGAAUACAGAAGAAUCUAGUCUUCAUGUUUUACAAGAUUUUCCUAAGGAAAAAGAAGUGUGGAAUCAAUUAAUCCCUCACAGAAUUCAGAUAAGUUUUUUCACUUACUCCUUAGAGGAUUGGCUGACUUUAAACAUGGAAAAUAAACUUGAGGUUACUCUCUAGGAUGCGGAUUGGCCAUCUUUGUUUGGGAUUGUUUGUUGGAAAAUUUGGAAACAGAGAAAUGUGUGCGUGUUUCAAGAUGACCAUUGCAACAUAAGCAGUUUGAUUCAUUCUUCGUGGUUAUGGGCAAGGUCCAUUAAGUAGAGAUAGAUAAGUUCGAGAGGGAGUAAUGGGAAUCAAAUAAGAAGCCAAAGAUGGGCCCCUCCACCUAUUGGUUUCUUUAAAAUAAAUACAGAUGGCGCUUGCAACUUGAGUUUGGGUUCUGCAUGGUCAGCAACGGUGACACGUGAUAAGCAUUGUGACAGCCCAAAAUUGACCCUAGUCGGGAAGUGGUUUCGGGACCACAAAACCGAGUCAUAAAAAUAAUUGAUUUCCAUAUUCUAUGCUUAUUAUGUGUGUACAUGAGUAUGUGGAAGUUUCAUUCUCCAAUUUUGCCAAUUGCAUGAGAAAUUAUUAAAUAGGGAUUGAUAUGAGACAUGGUGAAAAUAUGAUAGGCUAAUUUAAAAUGGUCUAUUAAUGCAUGUUGUGAAAAUGAUGGGUUUGCAUGUCAAAUUACCCAAAAUUUGAGCUAGUGGUUGGCCAUGCUAUGGGUGGAAACAUGUUGGGAACAUGUUGGCCUAGUGAGGUAUGUAGGAAAAAAAUAAAAUAAUAGGCAUGGAAAUUAAAUAAUGAAAAGGAGCAUGAUGAAUACACAAAAAAAAAAGUGUGUAGUUGAUUCUUUUCCCCCCCAUGGCCGUGAGCUAAAAAAAAAAAGAGAGGAGAAGAUCUUUGUUCAUCCUUUUCUCACCUUCAUUUAGCCUAAAUUAGAAAGAAAAACAAAGAAAAAAAUUUCUCAUCCUUUGGUUCAUCCUUGGCCAAAAAUUUUAAUGAGGAAAGAAGAAGAAAGGUGAAGAGAUUCGGCCAUGCAUGUAGCUAGGCUAAGGUAUGUUUGAUGAUGUUCCAUGAGAUGCAUGCAUGUUUUAGUUGUUAGCUUGAGUUCUACCUAGCCCAUGGUCUAAAUCUUGCUAUGUGAUGGAAAUGGCACUUGACCAUGGAUGCAUCAUUCUUGGUUGAUGUUUGAUGUUGUGGUGAUGAGGCAUGAGGAUGAGUUAAGAUUCGGCCUAGGUGGAGGUCGUGUUAAUGCCAUUGCAUGCAAAAUAUGAAGCUUGUUAAUGAUGCAUGUGAUGAUGGCUUGAUGAUUUUUGAACCUCCUUUUUAGCAUUUUUGUGUGAGCACAUAUGUGCAUUGAUUGCUAAAUGGAGAAGAAUCGGCUAGCAAGAUGUGUGCUAAGGCCGAAUGUAACUUUGCAUGUUAAUGAGCAAUGCAUGUGUUAAAUUGAUGAAAAGGGGGAGGAUGCUUUACUAGUGUGUAUAUGUGUGUAUUAAGUGUUGAAAUCGACCCCAAAAAUAGACAUGCAUAUUCGGCCAAGGGGAAAGAAAUUAGCUAAUAUGUUGUGUUGAUGCAUGAUUUUUGCAUGUACGAGACUUUAAUGUCUAAUGUAUAAAUAUGGGCUAAGUGCCUUGUGUUCAUCUUUUUGAUGCCUAAAUGAUGAAAUCAAUUUAUUUGUUUAAUUAAGCUCAAGAGCAAAGGGGAAAUAAAUCCGAUAAAGGGAAGGAAAAAGUGGUCGAAUAGUUAGCGGAAUCGUUCGACAACACCCGAGGUAAGUUCUUGAGUAAGAGAGCUUAAAUUACGAUGUGAUUAAAUCAUGUUUUAAGCAAAUUAAAAUCAUGCUCUAUGUGUGGCUAUUGAGCCGAAUGUGCAAGGACGAUAUGUGCCUUGUGUUUGAGUUUCGCAAAUGAAAAUGAAAUAUGAAUGUGCCAUGAAUUAUUGUUAGAUGUGCAUGAUUAAUUGAAUGCUGUCCGGGCUAAGUCCCGAAGGCUUUGUGCUAAGUGAAUAUAUCCGGACUAAGAUCCGAAGGCAUUUGUGCGAGAUACAAGUUCCGGGUUAAGCCCCGAAGGCCUUUGUGCGAGAUACUAAAUCCGGGUUAAGUCCCGAAGGCAUUCGUGCGAGUUAUUAAAUCCGGGUUAAGUCCCGAAGGCAUUGUGUGAGUUACUAAAACCGGGCUAUGUCCCGAAGGCAUUUGAACGAGGAGCUAUAUCCGGUUAAAUCCCGAAGGUAUGUGAUUUGGUAAUGAAUGAGCUUGCUGUAAAAUUCCAGCGAAUACACGAAAAACAUCCCAAUAUGGGGAUAUGUUACGUAUGUGUUGAAUUUAGUCGAGCCCGUACAAAUAAAUGUUCGCUCAGUUGAUAAACGAGCUACCGGCCUUCGGCUAAGUUAGUCUAUUGUGUAUGUACAUAAUGGUUGUUUAUGUUGUGAAGCAAGUUUGAUAUCGGUAAAUUGCGUAUUAUGAAAUAUUCCGUUUAGCUAAAUGUGUGUUAUACUUUGUUUAUGCUGGAAUUCCUUGCUCAAAACUUACUAAGCAUAAAUUGCUUACUUGUUACACUGCUCCUCUGUUUUAUAGAUUUUUGGUUCUCCAGCUAUCGGACUCGGGAUCUUGAAGUCGAAGUCGCCCACACUAUCAAAGGCUCUUUUGGGUACUAUUUUGGUUGAAUUUUGAUAUGGCAUGUAUAGGACUACCCAUUGUUGUUUUUCGAGUACUUUAUGAAAUGUAUAAGUGUACAGCCAUGCGAAAAUGGCUUGUAGAAGUAGAAUAUGGCAUUAGACCAUUCGUGUUUAUGAAUGUAUAGAUGGUUUCAUGAUGUAACUAUAGUUGGAAUGGAAGUGUUGAGCAAAUGAUCAGCCAUUGGAAUGGCUAAGUAUGAUCAUAUGUGGGCAUAUGUAUGACAAGGCCCUAGUUGGUCCAUGAAACCCCGAAAAUAGGUAGUGAAUAAAUAUGUAAUCGAACCUUGAUGAAUCUACUUUCAUAUGAAAGUAACGAAACAAUCAUACGGACAGUAUGUUAAGAGAUAUUCAGGUUCUCGUGAGACAGGGCCAGAACGGUUUCUGGAUUCCCUGUUCCGACUUUGGAAAUUCAUUAUAAAUUAACCAGAGAUAAUUAGGAGUCAUACCAUAUAUGUAUAGAUUCCUCUCUGAGUCUAGUUUCUAUAGAAAUAAACGGCAUCAGUAUUGGAGCCCUGUACAAGGAGAUAUCCAAGUCGUAAUGCGCAAAGGUCAGGGUAGUCGAUCCCUGUAACAUGGGAGACUUUGACUAAUAAACUGUACUAAUUGGCCCAACCAAAAAUUCUAGAAAAAAAUAUGUAGAUGGGCAUAUGAGUCUAGUUUCAGGGAAAAAUCACGAAACUGAUUUUCGAGUUGUGAAGCUCAAGAUAUGAUUUUUAAAGCGACUAGUACACAGAUUGGGCAGUGUCUGGAAAUUUUUCAAAGUUUGUUAACACCUCGUGUUCGACUCCGGUGUCGGACUCGGGUUCGGGGUGUUACAAGCAUGGUAAUUGGAUGUGGGGAAUAGGAAGAAGUAUUGGUACAUGUAGUGUACUACAAGCUGAGCUUUGAGCAAUAUAUGAUGGCCUCUGUUUUGCCUGGGAAGCCUAAUGGGCAAAUGUUAUUAUUGAGAAAAAUAGUGUGCAAGCUAUUAAAGAUGUUGUGCGAAUCCAGGAACUUUGCCAACGCGAAUGGAGAGUGCUCUUUAAAUAAGUACCAAGAGAGGUGAAUUUGACUGCUGAUAUUUUAGCUGGUUUGAUGAAAGAUGCUCCUAUUGGCUUAAGAAUAUUUCAUGCUUCCCCUUCACAGGUUGAUGAUCAAUUAUAGACAGAUAGACGAGUUAUGCUACUCAGCAUUGAUAUUACUAUUAGCUUGUAAUUGAAGCUUUUUAUUUCUUGUUACAAAAAAAAAUCUGAUAUUUAGGGUUAGUUUCACUGUAGGAAGUAUAAGCCAUAUUUGAAUUUUAGAAUGUCAGUAUUUUAAAUUGUAUUAUUUCAUUUGAAUAAAUAUUUUAUAAAAUAAGAAAAGUAUAUUAAAAACAAAGGAUCCUAUUAAAAAUUUAGCCUAUAUUUUCUUUAAAGGUUUUUUUUCUCUUUGUGAGUUGUUUCGAGUAAGAUCUCGAGUAUUUUUUUUUGUUUCUUUGUCUUGUUUUUGGUUUCUUAGGAUUUUCCUUUAGGACUUUUUGAGUUUGUUUUUAAGAAUUUGGUCGUUCUUCUUUUUCGAUUGUUUGUUUUAUUAUUUUGUAGGUUUUUCUUUCAUUUCCUUUUGUGGAAGUUGGCAGUGUUAUUGGCCUUUAACAAGGGUUACAGAAGGCUUGCACUUCAUUAAUUUUCUAACUCAUUAUGGGUCAAGAGGGUAGAGGUUAUGGAGAGUGAUUUCUCUAUUAAUUUAAAAGAAGAUAGGGCGGAGGUUGACUGUAUGGUGAGUUGUACUUUGAUUGGUAAGGUUAUUUAUGAUAAGAAAUUGUAUCGGAGGAGUGUCAGUAAUGUGCUGCAAAAUAUUUGGUUUUCAAAUGAAGUGGAAUCAGUUGUAGAAAUGGGGAUUAGUUUGUAUACGAUAAAUUUUUAAAGUUCAGCUUGGAUGGAGAAGGCUUUACGUGAGAGUCCUUGGUUGGUGAUGGGGUGUUUCUUUGUCCUAAUGAAGUGGGAACCAGAUAUGGGUGUUCAAGAUAUUGAUUUCUCUAAGGUGGCUUUCUAGAUCUAGGUACACAAUUUGCCUCUUAUGAUGUUAACUAUGCAAAAAUCCUAAGAAGGUUGAUAACAUAAUUGGGGAUUUGGUUUGUGUAACACCCCUCACCUGUCUCCGUUACUAGAUUAGGGUUACGAGAUGCUACUAUACAAUACAUAACAUAAUUAUGCUAUAUCAAUGCAAUACAUUCCCAAACAAUUGUUAACUAUCAAAUUUGUAAUCAUGUCAUUCAUAUCCUAACGGUAUUAAAUCGAGCUCAACAAAUCUAUAAAACAAUUUAAAACAAAGUAGGGACUCAUUUGAAACAUUUUAGAAAAGUGAGGUAAAAAUGAAAAUCACACAGCUGUGUGAAUCUAUAGGACAUGGUCGUAUUGACUAACCGUGUGGGAGGAGGUACACGAUCAUGUCUCCAAACCAUGUAACUAACUGAUGUCGUGUGUGCCAAUUGAAACUUAAAUCACAUAGACCACACGGUCAUGGCAUACACCCGUGCAUGGCACAUGACCGUGUGCACCUAAAUGACACUUUCUCCACAAGUUACCUAAUUCAAUUUCCUUAGGCCACAAGCAAUAUUAAACCAUCAUUCAAACCUACUCAAAGUCAUCAAAAUAUACCUAAAACAACAUCUAUCUCAUACAUCCUAAGUGUUUAACUAAUAUGCUACAUUUGACACCUUAAUUCAAACAUAUUCAAAUUCAUAUUUAACAACCAUCAAUUCAUAAAACAUAUGCCUAAUAUUUGAACCAUUUCAUCAAUCAUAUACCAAAACAAACCAUACAAAACAUGGCCAAAACAUCCUUAAAUAUGUACAUACUUAAUCACCAAAAGUACCAACUUAGCAAAAUACCUCAUCAUUAUUCACAUAGCCAAACCCUACCACAACUUGAAUAUAUAUAUGAAAUCAAAACACCUACUACAUGGAACUUAUAACCUACCCAAAAAUGGUCAAAAUUCUACCGAGUCAUUAAACUGAUAGUGUGAGCUCGGACUUGACUUCCAAUCGACAAUGACUUUCGAUUAUCUAAAAAGAAUCUAACAGGACGGACGUAAGCAAUUAUUGCUUAGUAAGCUCAUAUUAAAAUUAACUCAACUUACCAAUUUUUCAAGAAAACAACUAAAGCAUGGAUUAUACCAAUUCGCAGGAUAAAUUCUAUGCUCAUGGUUAGCCUAUACAAAUCACAAAUAUUACAAAUUAGUACUUGUCACACCCCAAGUUUAGCGGAUCUAAGAAUGAGGCAUGUAGUUGUGAAGUUAUUUGUUUGGCGUAGUGUAAUCCACCAUGUUAAGUUUUCUGACGAAUUGAAAUGUGGCAUAUAGUACCUGCCAUUGAGUAAAUAAAGGUAUUAGGUUAUUUUGUUAUCUAAGAGAAGGACAUAUCAAGCGAAGUUCGGUCAGGUAAAAGUUACUGCCAAAUGUUUAGUAUGCCUAAUCUGUUUGAAUAUUGUGCUAGUUGGAUUGUAAAGUGAUCUGGUUAGGCUGGUCUAAUAUCCAUUAUGCAGGAUUUUCAUUUAAUUUUCUCUCAGAAUCUAUAGGCCAUUAAGAAGGACAAAUUUUGAAUUAAGUGAUACUUGUUAAGUUCCACGAAGUAGGACUGGAGAGUAUAUAUAUGUGAGAAGGGUUUGUCAGGACGUUUUCUUCUUCCUUCAGUAUUACUCUUUGGUUCUAUUUUUAAAUUUAAAUGUUACUUGAUCUACCACAAAUCAACGUGGCAAAUUAGGAUUGACGCACUUGAUGAUCUUUUUCUCGAGCAAAAUAGAGUUUUUAGCAAUUUUUUUAUUUUCAUAUUUUUGGGUAAUAAGUGAAAAUGUCUUCAUUUUGUCUAUUUUUUCCCAAAUUGGUAGAUAGUGCCAUUGGGAGGUCUAACGUGUGUUUGAAUGCAGUAGGGACGUGUCAAAGGUCGAAAAUGAGCGAGAACGACAUCUAGGGCAAGGGUAUGCGUUAUCCAACCUCUAAAAUCGCGAAUCCUAUUUUGAGUUUUCAAUAUGAUAGAUCUGAAGAGGGUGAUGGAUGGAAUGCCCUGGUUUUUAAUAGGCAUCUUAUUAUUUUCCUUUAACUGGAGAAAGGGGGAAGAUCCUUUGCAAGUCCCUCUUAUUCAUGCCUUAUUUUGGGUGUAAUGCCUUUGUGGUGAAAUCAGGGUAAGUUUAGAGACUCAUUUGCUAGAUAAAUCUGUGGAACAGAUUUGGAUAAGUUUGAAAACAUCUCUAUUUGGAUAGCCUUGUGAUAAAAUUGAGUAUGACUUAAAGGCAAUUUCUGAAAGAGUCUCAAUAGUGUUUCUAAAGGGUGAAUCAACCAUAGUAGUCUGUCAGUACAAGUAAUUUGGUAUAUUCGUAAUUAUGAGUAGCCUAAGAGUUUGUCAGAUUUGAAUUUGUUUUCUUUAUGUAAGGAAGCAAUUUGAAUUAUCUGGUAUCUGUCAAAUCUGAGUGUUUCACAUUAUAGAUAAAAAGGUUAUCUGAAGUAUAAAUUGUCCAUCAAAUCAGAGUGUUCUCAUUAUAUGUAAUAUGGUUGUCUGGGAUUCCACUGGAUGACUUAGAAGACUUCACCCAUCAGAAUAAGUUAUGAUCUGGGUUGAUAUAAGACAUGAUCUGACUAGUAAUCUGAUAGCUGUCAAUUCAUUAUGAGAAUCCACCAAAUGUAAGAUUUGUAUGAAGCUUGUCUUAAAAGAUCAGUUAGUAUUAGUAUCAACCAAGAAUAGUAUCUAUGAGUACCCCAUCAUGGGGGAGGUAUUCAACAUCUGACUGAGUGAGAAUCCGUCAAAGUUAGGUUUUGUAUGGAUACCUUUCUAUGAAGUGUAUUCAUUUUUUGAAAAGGAAUGAGAUCUAUAUUGAGUGUUCAAGACUAGAAUCUGCUCAAUUAGUGAAUUGUAUGUAGGGUGUUUGAGUAUGGAAGUUGGCAUAUAUGCAUACACCCAAUAUUAAGGAAGUACUCGCCAAAGUUAGAAAGGAAAUCCAGAAUCUUUCAAGAUGAGGAAUUAAACAACAAAUGUUGCAAGGUGAUUUGAGUUAAAACUCACUAAUUUCAUUUGAACUUACAAAUGUUUGUUUAUGUUUCAAGUUUCGCCUUAAGAGUAGGUACGCCAAAAGGGACCAAGCCAGGAUUGUGCCAAUGUAGCAGUUCAAGUGGCAAAAUUAUGCAUACAAAGCGCACUAUAAGAGUAUGGUGUAUAGUACUCUACGCUAUAAAGAGUUAGUUUCAAGCUGUAACGUUAUAUGUUUUUCAAACUUUGAUGUAAUCAUCAAAUAUCUAUUUUAAGAAUAGUACAAAAGAAAUAAGAAAUAUAUAUAUUAGAAAAAUUUUAUGCCUGUUGUAAAAUCUCUGCUAAAUGCUCUUGUAUUGAAUUCGGUGAUUCGGGUCAAGUAGAGGGUGUUAUAAUCUUUUCAAUUUUUAACCGCUUUUUUGCACGACCCAUACGGCCCUAUAUAUUUCUCAACCUAUUUUUAACAUAAUUUUUAAUGUUAAACUAAUCCUAAACAUCCCCUAAGCCCUUCUAAUAGUAGUUAAUCACCUCCCUUCCAUCGUUGUUUUAAGCUUUCGCCAUUUUUUUCGCGAGUUCCUUUGUUCCUGCCACGCCAUUAUUGUCGCCUCUCUACUGCUCACCUCUAUUGUCAGCCGCCUCGUCAACCAACAAUCUCAGUAAAAUGUUUUUAACUUUUGUGCUUUAUUUUUUUAUUUCAUCGUAUUAGUUUAUUUUCGGAGUAUAUUUUUAUAUUACAUUCAAACGGCCCUGAGAAAAGUUUUCCCCACCUCGCAAUUGAGUGAAUUAGGAGAAUUUAAUUCUACCCGAUUUUGAAGCCAAGAAGUUGAAAAAUACUUCUUGGAACUCCAAGGGAAGAUUUUCAUUCAAGAACGCGGGUUUGACUAGUCGUUCGACUUGAACGAUGAAAUUUGGGACUUGAUUCGUGUGAACCAUUCGACUGACUUUUGUCUCACAUAAAAAGAGUCAGCAAUUGACUCUGUUGUGUACGAGUUUUAUGCCUUGUUAAAAGAGCGAGAAAAGAAUAAAGCAUAGCACAAUGUGCACCCUCAUGCGAUCAUCUGAGGCAAAAAGCUCAUGUGUACUCCCCAAAAAAUUUACAACUUUUCUAAUGCCCCAUACUAUGUCUCUGAUGCUUUAGAUGCAUUAGAUAUUAAUCAUUUCAGAGACAUAGAUAUGGAUGAGAUUGUUACUUACUUAACCGAGGGGAGAGAAGUUUGGAAAUACCAAUCGAACACCAACAUCCCAUUAUUGUUCAAUAAGAAAUAAUGUUCUUGGUUUCCAAAAUAUGGAUGCAGUUUAUCUAUACGCUAAUCUCACCAGCUUUAAAUGUGUCUAACCUUAAUGCAUUUUGAGUUAUUUUUUUUAUUGUAUCUUGCAACGUCGAGAAGUGUGCAUGAGUGAUAACUCUUGAAAAGAGUUAUAUUUAAGGCCUCUAAAUAGAAUUAAUUAGUUGUAAUUAAGUGAAUACAUUUUCAUUUUUAGGAUAUUUUUAGAACAUUGCAUAAUAAACCUUGGAUUGUGAUAUAAUGGUCAUUAUUUGUUACUUUUAUAACUUGGGGAGGAAAUGUGUGGUUUUGUGUGAAUACAGGUGUAAGAAGAGCAAGAAAAUGAAGAUGGAAAAUAAAGGAAGUGAAAUAUUAUCGUAGCAAAUAGUGAAAUUGAUUGCCAACAGAUUUGCCAUGGUAAUUUCGAGAAGAUGACUCAGCACUUUAUCCACAUCAUUCUCAGCCAGUUGUGCGUGUACCAAAAAAUCCAACCUGAAAAGAAAAAUGAAAAAAGUGUGCUGAGGUGAGACGAAUCUACCCAAUAAAAAAAGAAGAGAGAAGAAGAAAAAAGGAGGAGAAUUUGUAUAAGAAAGAGACUAGUUACAACAAUCCUCUCUCUGCACAGAGAAAAACUCCAUUGGAUAAUUCCAGAGAAAUAAAGGGUAGCAGCUACAGAGAGCAGAAUAUAGACGUGUAGAAGGGAAAGAGACAUCUAUCCUGGAUUCACAUACGAUUGGAAGAUAAAAGAGAAUCUAGAGUGUGGCGAGAAAUCCUGCAGUUAUGCCUUUAGUUUUCCUGAUUUUUGUUAUUCAAAAUUCUUUAAAUGUUGAUGAAUGAUUUAAUUUUGGUGUUUACUUUUCCACCCAUGAACUAAAUCUUUUCUGGGUUGGAGUUAUUUGGGUAGAUGUUUAUCAUCUUUAAUUUUCAUGAUUUGAGAUUGCUUGUAUCUUUUUUCAUUCGUUUAUGCAUAUUUUAAAUACAUGCAUGCAAGCUCUAGACAUAGUUGAUUGUAUGUUGUGUUCAUAGAUGUAUUUUUAAUUCUGAAAAGGUUAAAUAUACUGGAUCUAUAAUUUUUUUAUGCAAGCGAAUAUUCGACUAAAUAUUCGUAGCACUCUAGACAUAGAUGUUGCGAGUUGUGCAGAGAAGAACGUUCAUUGCAGUUAUUAAUCCAGAGUUCUAUAGACAUACAAUAACUUAGAUUUUAAGCUUUAAACCUAGCUAUUGAAAGAGGCAGGUUACAGUAGUAACUCUCUAAGCAAUCAAUUAGACAAUAUUUUGCCAUGACAUUAUUUUGAUAUGAGGAUUUCACCUGAAUAAUUCCAGCCAUAUUCAUUUAACAACAGAAUUACUCUUGCUUUUCUCUAUAAUUUGCCACAACAUUUUAUUUGCCAUAUCAAUUCUUUGCUUUUAACAUUAAAUUACAUUAAUUCAUUUUACCAAUAUCUUAUUCAAUUUAAGAGUAUUUCCUUCUAUUUAGUAUAGUUAAUAGGAUUAUAAUAACUUAAUCAAUCUUAUACCAAUUUUAGAUCCCUUUGGAUACGAUACUUACUUAUCACUUUAUUACUUGAAUGAUGUGUACACUUGCACAAUUGCAUUAGGUAUUUAUACGCAACAAGUUUUUGGUGCCAUUGCCGGGGAUCGACAACAUUGGUGAAAAGUUGAUUUGUUAUUAUUCUUGUAAUUUUUGUUAGAAUAGUUAAUUAGUAUUUUAUUUGAUUUUUCAGGUUUUGUACUAGUGCAUGAGAAGAAGUAUUCAAGAGGAUACAAAAUACUUUUUUGAUCCUAAGAUUGAAAGGAAAGUAAGGCGAAGGAGGUAAGCAUUAAGGGAAAUGAAGAGGAUUAUAAAUGAUCCAUUCAGAGAAUAUCAUGUACUCUAGAAUGAAAGGAAUGCUGAUAUUCCUCGAAUCUUAGAUGACAGAGAUAGACCCAUCAGAAAACAUGUAGUGCCUAAUUUGGGUGAUCUAAGUCCAGGAAUUGUUAGGCCACAUAUUCAAGCUCAACACUUUGAAUUAAAACCAGUAAUGUUUCAGAUGCUGCAGAUGGUAGGACAGUUUAGUAGUUUAACAACUAAAGAUCCCAGAUUGCACUUGAGACUUUUUCUUAAAGUCUGUAACUCAUUCAGGCAGUAGGCUAUUCCUGAAGAUGCCCUCAGAUUAAAAUUAUACCCUUAUUCAUUGCGAGAUCAUGCUAGAUCAUGGUUGAAUGCAUUACCAUCAAGUACGGUGGCGUCUUGGAAUGAACUGUGUCAUAUAUUUUUGCUUAGGUACAAUCCUCCCAACAUGAAUGUCAAGCUGAGGAAUGACAUUACAUCGUUCAGGAAAUCUGAAGAUGAGACAUAAUACGAAGCAUGGAAGCAUUUUAAGGAUUUAAUUAGAAAAUGCCCAAUGCAUGGUUCUCAACAUUGGACAAAAAUGGAAAUUUUCUACAAGGGAUUAAAUGCUCAUACAUGAAUUAUAGUGGAUGCAUUUGCUAAUGGGACGUUGCUUGACAAAUCCUACAAUGAAGCAUAUGAAAUUUUGGAAAGAAUAGCCAACAAUGAUUAUCAGUACUCCACUACAAUGAAGAGUUGGUACUGGUAGAAUAGCAAACAUUUGAGGAACGCCAACACUUAAACUAGGUAGUUUCUUCUCUUAUCUAUUAGGCGCACAUUAGGGACAAUGUGCCAAAUAAAGUGUAAGGUAACAUAGAAAUUUUCAUAAUUUUUCAAAAAAAUUCUAAUUUCUUAUGUUUUUAUUAGUUGUUUUCGUUAAUUUUUGUUUUGUAUGUUUGUUUGUGCGUGAGCUUAUAGCAUACAAGUGAUUGGAUAGAAACAUGUAAAUAGGAUUCUGUGUUUGAAUUGUAAAUAUAAGUCGAUGGCAAUCGACUUUAGGUUGUUUAAUAUUACACUAAUUAGUUCAUUCUGUUACACUGUGAAUAGGUGAUAGUGUGUUAGGUAUACCAAAUGACAAAUAGGUACAUAAAAAGCAUAUGUGUUUGUUUGAAUAAUAAGUGUUAGAGUGUUAAUAUUUAGUUAAUUGUAAUCCAUGAAUUGAUAAAAUUAGGGAUGACCUAAGGCAUUGUUUGGCAGAAAAAUUUUGAUCUAAAAUGCCGACCUUGAUUUAAAAUCCCUAAUACCCUAUUUUUUAGCCUAAAACUCUAUUUCUUGAUGAACUGCAAUGGAAGCCCUAAGCCUUAAAUAUAAUCUCUUGAUCCGAUUUUCAUCUUCCUUGCAUGAACUUAGACUUCAGGCCAUCGAUAUUAAGGGUUAGGUAGAGACGACAAGGUAGUUUUCAAAAUAAAAGGAAAAUAAAAGUGAACCCAAGGGAUAGUAUAGUAUGGUGAGUAUAAAAGUCUUGCAAACUUGUACGUAAAUAGAAAAAUAGAAAAAAAUUAUCAAAAGAAAAAGUUUGAAAAGGCUAAAAUAGCCAAGCGACAAGUUCUCGAGAAAAUAGGAAAGCAAAGUGAGUGAAAAAGAAAGAAAAGAAAAUUUCCUCAUUGUUUUGCACAAAUAGCUCGCUAAGACGAUUGUAUUCACUAAUAUUGUACUAUACCUUAGGAAUCAGAGAGAAAAGGUAGGUGAGAGAAGGGGAUAUAAAGUGGUGAACUAAAGGGGUUAAUCGGGAAAGUAUUGGGGUCAAUAUAAUUUUCCAAACUAUUUUCAUGCUUAAAUCGUUUUGUUGUGUCUGUCCUUUAAUUCCAAAUCAACCUAAGUUGUAGA
rnacentral:lncRNA from 1 species